rnacentral:lncRNA from 1 species
GCCACUAAAUUCUAUAGAUGGACCUCAAGUUGCUGUUCCGUUAAAAAAGCUGAUGGUAUCAAGAUUACCAAAGCUAAAGUGUGUAUGGAAAAAAGAACUCACCCAUCAAGUUAACUUCCAAUGCCUACAUUCUAUUAGCGUUUUCGAUUGCAAGAGCCUCACCUCUCUAUUUCCAGCCUCAAUAGCCAAAGAUCUAGUCCAACUUGAGGAGUUAGAGAUCAAUGGAUGUGGCAUUAUGGAACUCAUUGAAAAGGAAGAAGGACUAGUUCCCACGUUUGAUUUCCCAAAGUUAACCUCCCUCAAGCUUAAGCAUCUGACAGAGUUGAAGUGCAUCUACACCGAAACACAUGUUUUACAUUGGCCAACAUUGAAGACCUUGCAAGUCUAUGACUGUAACAAAUUGGAGAUCUUUGCUUUGCAACUUGAGAAUGAGAUGCUACUUCAUAAACAACCCCUCUUGCUGAUAGAAAAGGUAAGACCUGAGAUUAUCUGUGUUUGCUUUGAUGGUGAAUAUUUGAAGUGAUGAUUAGCGUCAACCAAGCAUCUCAUACAAGCAGCUCUUACAUGCGAAGAUGUAAAUUGUACGACUCUCCUUGAAUCCAUAGAAAUAUUACAACAUUGAAACGUCAUAUGUUCUUCAAGUAUUAACUGAAAAUUCUUGUCAAUGUCUAAUGUACCGAAGGAAUACUCGUUGAACCCCUUUCAAAAAAGAUUUAGGCUAAUUUCGAUGGUUCUCUCUCCUAAAUGCCACAAAGAUUGAAAAAACGUGGCAUAUGUCGUGAUAUUAACAUGGUACAAGUGUAUUUGAAUCGUAAGAGAUUAAUGAUAUUAUGCUAAAAAGGGAAAGAUGGGACAUUAUUGUUAACAUUAUUGUUAUUAUUCACAAAAUGUAUAAUAUAGGCAACUCUCUUAAAAACCAACAUGAAGAAUGGAAAGGAGGACCAUGUUUAAAAAAAAAAAAAAUACUAUGCUAAUCUAAUUGACGCAUGCCUUUUGUAUAUCAUCUUUAAACAAGCAAUUAGUCAUUACAUAGACCUCAUAAUUAUAAGAGCACGGAAUUUUGUAAUAUGUUCAUGCGUGCAUGUAGUAUGCAUAGAUAUAUUUGUACGUAUUUUUGGCAACACAAACACAAAUCCACAAUGGCUGCUCGAUAUCUUAUUAAAUUUGUUAUUGAUAGCGAUUUACUAACAUUAAAGAGAAGUUUGUAAGCUAAGGACAAACAAUUGCCUGGAUAAGAAAAACGCACGACUGUUUUGUCCAACGAAAGUUGACGCGGCGGGAGAGUGGGGGGGGGGGGUGGUGGGGGGCGGCGCGGGGGGGAGGGGCGCAAGACUCCCUCAAUAUGUUAAUUUUUCCUCUGGGUCUGGGACAUAUUUGUUAUGAGUCCCACGAAGGUGUGUGUGUGCCUUUGCGUUUUCGCUUUUUCUUAACCGCCUCUUUGGGGCUUUUAAUUUUUGCCAUUGUUCUCAUUGGACACUAGCAAUAGAUAUCAGUUGAACUUUUUUUUGGGCUGAAAUUUGAGGUUGAAAGUGUUGUCAAGUUUGCUUCAUUAUACAGAGAGAGAUAACUAGUGCUCCACUCGCUAAUCCAUUUUUGAAGGAGAAAUUAUUGGUAUGGAAUAAAACUAGCUCAUCAUCAAAUUAAGCUCAGCAUUGCAAGUUUUUUUUAGCUAAGAAAAGACUGAAAAUCAGAAACAACGUUAGUAUGGAGAUUUUUUUUACUCUGUUUUAUUGUUUUAUUCUCUCUUAUUUUUUUCCCUUUUGUGCAACUUAAUAAUUUCUCUCUCCCCUUGGCACUCGUGUAUAUUUACAUCUUGAAAGUUUAUGAUUCAAGAUUUAAUUAAUCACUAAUUUCAUGAGCAAAUUCUAUAGGUUGGCUUUCAGAGACUGGGGACAUUAGAAAUCAGUGGCUUGGAUAAUCUCAAGUUUUUAUUUUUCCCAUCCAUGGUUAAAUCUCUUGCACAACUGAAAAAGCUGACCAUAUCAAAUUGUGAGAAGAUGGAGGCAAUCUUUAUGGAGGAAGAAGGGUUGGGAAUGAAAACAUCAGAAUUUUUGGCAUUCCAGAUGUUAAUCAUUUUACACUUAGAACAAUUGAACAGUUUGACUAAACUAAAAGCAAUAUAGGCCUUUUACCUAAAUCGUUGUUUAUGCACCCAAAGAGGCUGUGGAAACGGGCCCUCCCACAAAAUAAAUACAUCGACUUUCUUAAAUAAUUUUAAUUCCUAUAAUGGGAUAUUCGGGAAAACCUUCGAUUAUUUGACUUGGGUAUAAGUAUGAUCUAUCCUUGAUAUCUAACUAUUGGAUCCUCCAGCAUGGAUAAAAAAAUCAUUGAAUUUUAAAAGGAAAAUUCAAUCGAUUAAGUAUAUUUAGUUCUUUCAAGUGGGGAAUGAAGUAAGUGAGAUUUGUUCGUUUGGCCCAUUCAAUUCCUUUUUUAAUGGCUUUCUCUUAGCCUCACUCUUUAAUUGCUUUAGAGUGAUAUAAUAUUGAUUUGAGGCAUUUGGUAUCGGAAAAAAUUACACGCCUUAAUGUAUUGCACCUUUUGAUGGAUGAUUGGUUGGCUUUUUAAUCUCAAUCUCUCCAUCAUUUUAUUUCUAAUUGCUAAUAUUCUUCCUCGAGCGAUCCACUGCAAUUUUCUUUUACUACAUCAAUUCCCUAACUUCUAACGUUGAUCACCCUUUUGACAUGGUUUUUGUUUCUUUAACUCAAUUCUUCCUUGUCUGUAAGUGAUUUAAAGUACGAUCCAAUAUUAUUUGUUUUGCUUUGAUGGUGAAUAUUUAAAGUGAUGGUUAAACCAAGCAUCUCAUACAAGAUGCUUGUACAAGCGAAGAUAUAAACUGUACACCUCUCCUUGAAUCCAUAGACAUAUUGCAACAUUGAAACAUCAUAUGUUCUUUGAGUAUUGAUUGAACAUUCUUGUCAAUGUUUGAUGUGACAAAUGCAUACUCAUUGAUCCCCUUAAAAAAGAGGCUAAUUCCAAUCAUUUAGCUCUCUUUUAAGUACCACAAAGAUUAAAAAAACACGUGGUAUGUGGUGUGAUCUUACCAUGGCACAAGUGUGUUGUCUAAUUUGAACCCUAUAAAAAGUGUUGAUCUUAUGCUAACAAAGAAAAGAUGGACAUUAUUGUUGACAUUAACGAUUGAAAUUAGUGCAAUUGUGACUAUAAUUGAUGCAGGAGUUAUUUUCACAAGGCAUAUAUCUUUAGAAAUGUGAAUUUAAGGAGUUAAUCAAGUUCAAAUAUGGAUACAAGUCAAAUAUAAAAUAUCAGCGAUAAUGUUUGUUUCAUGAGGGCACAUUUCUUUCCAUUGAAUCACGAGACUCGACAUUUUAAAAUGCAAUUAUUGUGCUCGAUAUGCAGGAUUCAAGAUAUAUUCAACAUCUGCAAACUCUAGAUGUGUCACAUUGUGAUGGGUUAUUAAAUAUGUUCACACCGAUAAUUGCUGAAAAUUUGGUGGCACUUACAAAAUUGAGGAUAAGUAAUUGUAGAAUAUUGACAGAAGUCAUUAAUGAUGAGAAAGGUGGGGAUGUCCGUGUGGUGGCUUUCAAUCAAUUGAAGUAUAUGGAGCUUGAUGGGUUGAUAGGGUUGAGAAGUUUCAGUUCGGGUGGAUACACUUUGAUGUUCCCGCUCUUGGAAGAUAUCAUUGUGACUAGAUGUCCCAACAUGAAGUUUUUCUCUUAAGGACCGAUGGAGGCAUCAAAGUUAAAGAGAGUUCAAGUAUCAAAGGAAGUGUGGUUUUGGGCAAGAAACCUCAACAUCACCAUCCAGAAUAUGUUUGAAGAAAUGGUACGCACUAGUUACCAAAUUCCAUGUAUUUUGAUGGUUUUGAUCACUAGAUGAAUAAUAGCUUUUUGCUAGCUAGAAGUUUAUGCUUAACGAUGCAUUUUUUUCAUAGGGCACGUUUGCUGGAGUAGAGAAAAUGUUGCUAUCUGAGUUCCCUGGGUUGAUUGGAAAAUGGCACAACGAACUUAAUCCCAUCAAGUCGUAUUGGCAACUAAAAUCAGUGGUGGUAGAUAAAUGUCCAUUUAUUAACGCUGUUCCAUCCAGAUUAAUGCUUGUCUUAGACAAUUUGAGCUAUUUGCAAGUGCGUGAUUGUGAGUUGCUUGAAGAAAUAUUUGAUUUGGAAGGGCUGGAGGUUGUGGAAAGCACUCGAGUACUGCCUCAGCUACGGGAAUUGAACUUGGUCAAUCUACCAAAAUUAAGGCGACUGUGGAACAAAGAUCUUCAAGAAUCGCUAUGCUUCAAUUCUCUAAAAAGUCUCAUCCUUUAUAAUUGCAGCAACUUGGGACAUGCUUUAUCUCCAUCAAUGGCUCAAUGCCUUGCCAAUCUUGAAGUAAUGGAAAUAAAGGAGUGUGGUCAAAUGGAAGGAGUGAUCGUAGAGGAAGAAGCAAAGGGAAGCGCAAUGAAGAAGAUUACAUUCCCAAAGCUCCAGUGGAUGAUGAUGGAAUACUUGCCCAAUUUGACUUGUUUCCUCUUGGGAAAAAAUCAUAUACUGGAAUGCCCCAAAUUACAAAAGAUGAUAAUUGCCCAUUGCCCCAAGAUGGAAAGUUUGAUUAGGCAAUCUCAGAUGGAGGAUGACCACAGCACCCCUUCAUUUUUCACUUCCCAGGUCAGUCUUUCAAAUAAAUGCGUCUUUGGUGUUUCAUUGGGACUUGUUCUCGUAGUAUUGGACAAUGCACGAUAUGAUGCAAAUUUUGUGCUUGUGCCAAUUUAUAUACAUAAUCUUCUAAUAUUUAAGAUGAAGAUUAAAAAUAUUCUAAUCCUCAAUAAAUAUUACUAUUAUAUGUACAUCUCCAUAUCCUAUUAGAAGUGUUAAGUUGGUGUAAGUUUAUGAAAUCAUAUCAUAUGCAGUACUUUAGAAUUAAUCAGCGAGGUUCCUAAAAAAGUUAUCACAAUAACCAUAUAAAAACAUUUGCUUUUUGCAAUUUCAAUUAUAAAGAACUAAAACAGAAAACAUAGAAUGGCAUCUAAAAAUGGCAUAAAAAAUAUUAAGUAUCGCCCCUUCAUAUUUAUUUGCGUGGAAGCAAACUAUUGUCAUUCUAUUAAACAUGAAGAAAAGGGAAAAGUAAAACUUCAUAAUUGUAAAAGCCAAUUUCACAAAUUGUUUAACUAUUACAGCUCAUUAUACCAUAAUUAGUGGAGCCAACUUUUGUAUUUCUUAAUAAUCAUCUAUGCUUGAGCAAGGUCUUGAUAAUAAAAAAAAAAAUAAAAAUAAAAAAGGUCAAUAUGCAUGAAGUGGUUUGCCUUCCUUGUUCGUAAAUCAUAUUUGAAUAGCUAUACUCCAACAACCUAUCAAAUUAUGCACCUGUAUUAUACAAUAAAUUUUAACUUUGGUUUAUCAUAUUGAGUGAUAAUUAGUGUGAUAUUAUGCACAAUCUAUAUUUAGUAGGAGAAAAUGCAGAUUACUUUUUCCGGAAAAAGAAAUGGCUUAAAAAAGGAAAAAAUAAAAGAGAAAAAAGGACAUCUGGAUAAAUAGUAGCAAUUCCAAGGGCGGUUGCUGACAUUGCAAGUCUUAUUUCAUAACUAGAUGACAAUAUUUAGUCAAUGUCCUAGUUAAAAUGAAAAUAUUAUAAAUCAGAAUAAAUUAUCCGACCAACAACACCACCCAAGGGAAAAUAUUAGGGGCAUUAAAUACACUGCAUAGGAUUCGUAUUGAAUCAUCCGCAGACUGACACGUGGCAACGCCGGACCCACUUGUCAGUUGAGCGAUUAAAAUUUUUGCUCCCCCUUUCUCUUCAAUAACAGCCCAUCAUAGGGGAAGCUCUGCUCUCCGCAACAACUUGGGCGAAAUGAGGUUCUACCGGGAAACCAUGGAUUUUUUAGUUUUCGCCAUUGGUUACUGGUCUGCUCUCCUCCUCCUGGUAUGGCUCUGCUCCCUCUCUCUUUCCUCCGCGAAGGUGCAUCUCUAUGCGUGAACCACACCACAGCCUUGGCCUCCAUUAGUUGCUGUGCGCUCACUGGACAGAGGAAAAAAAAAAACCAGAAAAAGGAAAAAAUUAGACAAAGUCUAUUUGGUGUUUUAGACUUCUCCCCCCUUAAGAAUUGUUCUGUCUCAGCCAUUUCGGUUCACCUUGAUCCUCUUUUUCGCAACAAGGAAAAAAAAAGUGAACCAAAUCUUAGAGUCAAGUAACAGUAACUCUUCUUUCUUCCCCUCGCUCCCCUUCCUCUACUUUCUUUUUUUGGGAAGAUUAAUUGGGUGGUCCGUCCAAUGGUUGAAUCGGAAGCUUCGGAAUCGCUUCUCUAAAGCUCGCCUCCUCUCUGCGCGCGUGCAUGCGUGGGUUCCGAGCGAUUACGCGAACCGAAGCUUGUUGGUUAUGGUGGUGGAUCGAGGUGGAUCUCCGAUGCGGAAGCGAUUGCGGCGUCAAUUUUGUCGGGGCGUUGAUUCCCGGCAAAGAAAAAUUAAAAAAAAUCUUCUCUUCAGCCCUCUCUUCCUCCUCCUUCGUCCACAGCUGUCCGACCUUCGCUCCUCCUCCGCCGUCGCCAACGGCGGAGUCACCAGCACCUUGAUUAGGCUGACCCUUGCUGUGUCCAAGCCGAGCAUGGCCGUCUUCCUCUGUUUUGUCCGCCUCAUCGUUCUAUAGAUCUCGAAAUCUGGCCGUCCAUAGCGACGGAGUUGCAGAUCUGGAAAUCAACCACCGUCGCUUGUAGCCAUGGACGAGCCGCUGUCGCUGUAGCCAUGGUUGCAGAUCUGGAAGUCCCGUCGCGAGUAACGACGGCUUAUGGACUGCCAUUGUCCCCUCCGUCGACGCCCACGGUCGGCUCGUGGUCGGCCCCGUCCAUGGCCGAGCCACCCCUCCAUCGUCACAACUGCUCGUGGUCGUUGCCCGUUCUGAUCUGGACUGGAGUCGUGCCUCCAGAUCUGGUUUCAUCCAUGGACGCAAGCCUAGCUCGUCCAUGGCUCGCGAGGAGGCUCCCCCACAAAUCUGGCGACCACUGCUUGUCCAUGGCCAUGAGCCUUGACGGCGAGUUUGAGAUCUCGACGGCUAUGGACUGCGAGAUCAAACAGCGAAAGAAAAAAUAGAGAAACAGAUGUCAGGGAAGAAUGGCCAUGGAUGAGAGGGCCGGAGCUUGAACGCGGCCAUGGACGAGCGGCGUCAUGAACGGGCAGACCACAAAGACGACGGAGAGGGUUGGAUGCCAAGCAAUGGUCGCCUUGGACGCGGCGCCGGGAACUCCGCCGGUGGCGACGGCAGAGGGAGGCGGGAAGGUUGGGCUUAAUGUGGAUGGAGAUGGAGAUGGAGAAGGAAAGUGAGGUGGAUUGAGAUUUUUAAUGUUUAGUCAAUGUCCUGGCUACAUAAAAAAUUAAAAAUAAUAGGAAUUGAUCAUCCAGUCAACACUUUCAUUCCGUCUCAUGAAGUUCUUCUCCUCAUGUGAAGACUAAACGCAAUAAAUGACAACCUCCUCCGGCACUUCUCUUUUUUGGGUCGAAUCCUCAGGCACUUGAAAAUGCGCGAUGUCGACCCAAAUUUGAUUGUUUUGACCUUUUUUUUUUUAUUACAGAUUCCAUGCAAGUUUUGUUUUGUUUUUUUUUUCCCUGAUGGAGGAAUUUUUUUUAUUCUCAUAAUUCUGCGCAAUUCUUUCAAUUGUUUUAUGUGAGUAGAAUGUUUAAUUAUAACAAGUAUCUACACAUUUGUUUACUUUUUAAUUGUAAGAAUUAUCACUAAUUAUUUAUUUAUACUGUCAUUUGCAUGUAUAAGUUAUAUAAUACCCAGCCCCGCAUUCUAAGAAUAUUUCAAAAAGUCAUUAUAACACUCAAUCAACAAUACUAAUAAAUUUGGGAAAGUAUGAAAAUAGUCAUCUAAUCUUUUGGUAGUGAUAAGUUGUAAUAGCGCUAAUUUCAUUUUUAUAUCAAAUAUGAGCUGUCAUAUACUAAUUGAUAGAUUUAAGGAAGUGUGGAAAGUCAAUUCUUUUUUUUUUGGUGACAGAUCGUAAUUGCAUUAAUUAUAUUGUAACCAAAUGAAAAAUAUCAAUACUUACUUUUCAAUGAAUAAUUCAUUGGAGGUCAUGAUGUAGUAAAAAAAAAAUCUUGAUUUUCUCCAUACAAACAAAAUACGAUCAGCGGAUGCACACCCACUUUUUGCCAAGGGGUGGAUCACUCGGUACACUGCAAGAUUCUAUUUUAUUUUUCCACCUUAAAUUUUAAUAAAUAUUAUUUCAAGGAUGUUAUUAAUGGUCCAAUGUAAAACUAGUAAAUUGACCCAACUUGUUUUUGCUGAGAUCAUAACAUUAUGUUAUUUAUUCAAGUCGUUAUGUUACCCAUGCCUAUUAAGAAAUUAUUUUCUUUCAAUACAAAAAAUUUCCAUGCAUAAAAAAGAAAAAGGUUGUGAACAAUUGAAGUUACUAUAAUUUUUUUUUUUAUAUCCGGUUUGCCAUAUAAAUUUCAUGACUCUUCUCUGCAGUGAAUUUUAUUAAUUUGAGGAUUCAUAAGUACUGUUCGCAAUUUAGUAUGAAUAAUUAGCAGUGCUCAUGGUAAAUAAAGGAAAUAAUGUUGAGCCAAGCAUUAGUUUCAUCCAUUCCUUAUUCAAUACAUACACUACUUAAGUUCUUCACACCCACUAUUCAUAUCCUUAGUUGACUAGCUCAUCAACACCAUGCCCUUGCUUUUUCUCUAAUUGUUAUGCAUGUUCACCUUGAAGCAAACAAAUCUAAAACAUAACCGAUCUUUGCCGACUAACAUAACGGAAAUUUUCAGCUUGUAUCACUGAAUCUAAAUGUUGCUCUUUUCAAUAGUUCUAUCGGACUGCCUAGCAAGCUCCCUAAACUUUUUGCCAAUCUUCGUGCUUAUUCAUUACAAAAAUACAACUUGUCAUGCCUCCAUGGAACCAACAUUGUUUUGCGGGAUUCAUAUUCUGUUCUUCUUCGUCUUUGUCCUCAUUUAAUUGCAUAGAGAAACAAUUGAGUGAGCUAUCAUUGAUGUUUAGUCAACGGCUCCAUUCAUGCAUUAGCAUAAAUAGGAGGGCUCUCAUUUCUCUCUCUUUCAAUUUUGCAUUGUAGGUUUUCUUAUGCUUUAGAUGCUCUUGCAUCCAACUGGAAAAUAGCGUCUCUCUCUCUGUGAUUGUGACAUAAGAGCUACUAUAAAAAAAAAAAUGAGGACUUAGGAGGAGGGGGAUUAGGAUGAAGUUGAAAGGUACAGAACCAGUCUUAGCAACCAUUUGAAUGAACCCAAGUUCCAUGUCCAUAAGGCCUAUCAACCUAAUUCCCAGACUUUUAAGUUAUCGCUAUGAUUUGCCGAGUAAUUAAGAAAAGUCAACAUUGUCUGGUCACUCCAAAAUCUUAUAAAUGCAUUUAUAAUUUCAUGUUUGUUGCAAUGCAUUAUCUCUAGCCUUAGUCUUCAAUCAACUUGUAUAAAGGCAUCAAUCAACCCCUCUCUAUUUAUGUCACUAAUGAGAUCUUGACUUCUCAUGAUUUGUGAGAAUGAGGGAAGUCUGGAAAUUUCUUCUUUAAGGUCAUAACUCAAUGCAAUCACAUUCAUUGUGUCAUUUUUUUUCUCAAUAUGGCAGGUACAAUUUCCUCAACUUAUACGGAUGGAUCUUUCCCACAUGGGCAAUUUAAGCAAAAUAUGGACUGACGGUCCUCUAGAAACUCUGACUUUUGAUUGCUUACGGGAAGUGAAGGUUCUUAAUUGUAAGAGCCUUGCAAAUUUGUUUCCAUAUUGGGUGGCUACAAGUUUAACCCAACUUGGAAAACUUCAAGUGGAGUCUUGUGAGAUUGAGGAAAUAGUCGCUAGUGGGGAUGACACUCCAUGCUCCAAUACUACUCAAGAUCUUUUCCCAGAACUAACCUCUCUGGUGUUACAUGACAUGCCACGACUCAAGAGCUUUUGUCCUAACUUGCCUUUGAAUUUGCCAUUAUUGAAGCAAUUACGAGUGACUCAUUGUGAAAAACUAAGCAUGUUAUCCUUUGUGGCAUCCAUGAACAGAUGGGUUCAAAGAGAUGAUCAACAAGACCUUUCAGAUCAAGAAGCACACUCUUCAUUUGAGAGGGUAUGAUUAUAGUUGCUCUCCCUUAGUUUCCACUUUGUUCUUUAAAGCAGUCACUAAUAUCAUAUCCAUUGCAUAUCAUGUCGCGUUAUGAUGUUAUAGAAAACAUGAUCUCCCCUACCUAUUAGUUUGUCGACAACAUUAAGAUAUUUCUAAUAUCUUACGUACACUUCCAUUUGUGGACAUGCAUAAGAUAUUCCAUUACCGAGAGUUACAAAAAAAAAUUAUAGUAUUCUAUUGAUAACAGAAUAUAUUCCUAAUCUAACCUAAUGGUGCUCUUGGGCGACAUCAAUAAGGAUUUGCCAAGAGGUCCUCUCCAUUAUUGACACGUGUUGCACACUUGAACUUUUCUUCUCUAUUUCAUUUUCUACAAACUCUAAAAAAAUCAAUUCAAACAAUUUUUUUUAUAACAAAAAUAACAUUAGUACCUUAGUGCACUAUUUUCUACUGUAUUUUUUAAUACACUAGUCGUCGUGUUAUCCUGUUAUAAUACUAUAGAAAACUAGAAUCCCUUUCCUAUAAGUUUGCAGACAACAUAAGAUAUUUCUUAUAUCUUAAGCAUACUUCUGAAUUUAUGGACCCCAUAUGUUUUAGUGACAUCUUGAGUGCAUCCCGUUACAUAAGAUUCCAAAGAAGAUAAAUUUUUGUCAACAAGAUAAGAUAUUCCUUACAAAAGAUGAAUUUAGUGAGUGCAGGGAUCUUGAAUUUAGAUUCACUCUAUCCACUUGACCAGACCAACCUCUACAUGAGACUUUUAAAAGCUUGAGUCUUGAACACAAGGUUCUUGAGAUAUAAUGAACUUUAAGAAGAGGACCACCUUCCAUGCGAAUCAUCUUAAUAGGUUUACCUUUUACAGCACGUGAUUUAUUAUCGAAACUUUGUUGAAUUUACUUCUCUUGUUGUAUUGGCAAUUCGACAGGACUUUCCCAACUUGGAGAGACUUUUAUUAGUCAAUAACAAUAUUCAAAUGAUACAAGAUGGAAAUUUUUCGGAUGACAUGUUUAGCAAGCUAAAAGCACUAACACUAGCAUACUUUCAUGAUAAAAAGGCUGCCUUUCCUUCCAUAUUCCUCCUAGAGAGAUUUCAGAAUUUACAAAGCCUUGAAGUCUUCUGUAGCUCAUUUGAAGAUUUAUUCUCGAACGAAGGGCUUGUUGAAGAAAGAAAACAUCCGGUGCUUGAAAAUUUAAGAGAACUUAAGUUGAACAAGCUACACAACUUAAAGUGUGUGUGGAGAGAAGACUCUUUAGUGUCGAAAAUUCUUCAGAGCAUCGAAACAUUUGAGGUUUGGGAUUGUCCCUGUUUGACAACAAUAUUUCCAACCGAGACAUCCUUCCAGAAUCUAACAGAUUUAGUGGUGAAGAAUUCCUCUGGAUUGGUACAUCUAGUAACGACUUCAGCAGUCACAAAUUUGGUACAUCUCACUUAUAUGACUAUAAUAGGAUGUGAAAGAAUGAAAGAAGUAGUGGCCGACGAUGGAAACAGAGAAGAAAAAGUGAUUUCUUUUGAAAAGCUAAUAUGGUUGACACUUGAACAUCUGCUAAACUUAGAAUGCUUCUCUUCUAUCCCAAGUUGCAUCUUUAGGUUCCCAUCCUUAUGGAAUAUUAAAGUGGAAGAGUGUCCAAAAAUGAAGACCUUUUCUAAGGGUAUACUAAACACACCAGAACUAGAACAUGCGUCAUUGUUCAGAUACAAGUGGGAAGGGAAUUGGGAGAAGGGUGAUGAUCUCAAUACAACCAUACAGAAGUUAGCAGCAUAAAUCAAUGCACAUAGAAUUGGAAAAUUCAAUUGAUGUCAUUCUCUCAUCCAUUUUUUUUUUCUUUAGUCUUUCGGCAGCGCCGCAACUUUUUAAAAUUUUUCUUUUUGUGACUUUUCUAUUAUUGAUUUCGUCAAAUCAACAUGACCGUCAACCCUAUCGAUGGAUCUCGGCUCAUCCUUAACUGAACAGAAGGAAGCAAAGCGGGUCUCUCCUUCUCCUUCUCCUUCUUGACGCCAAAGGCUCUUUCUCCAUCUUUCUUCUUCUUCUUCCUCCUCUGUGGAGCGAAAUUGGGGGAAGCCUCUGCUGCCUUCACAAAGGACGGAGCAAAAAUGAAGCAUCAGGAAUUGCCAGGACUGCCAGAAGCGAAGCUGCAAUUAGCCGAGCGGAGCCAAGUAGAUUCAACCAGACGCUGUCGUUGUCGCCGUCGUCACCGCCGGAGGUGGCACAACCGAGUGUGGACAGUUAGUCGUCCACUCACUUCAUCAAAGAAGAAGAAGAUCACACUCUCUCUCCGCAUCUGUAUCCGACAAAUCGUAAGUUCAUGUUUCUUCCGAUUUUGGUGUCUUAUUGCGCGUGAAUUAGGGCUCUAUUCUUCAAAUUCAUUCCACAUUCGAGUCUAAAAACAGGAGUUACUCAAACAAGCAAUAUAUUGCCCUUAAAUCUACAUCUUCUGUACUUCCCUCCCGAGCAUUGGCGAGAUUUCUGCGUGUUUGAGCUCUCAUAGAUGGAGAUGAUAUAUUGUGUUCAAGGUCUCAUGUUGAAAUUUCUUUAGGUAGAGAUAUCUCUGUAACAUCAGGUACAAAUUUCUACCAGGAAAAAGGGAGAAAUCAUGGAACUUGAAAAUAUUCCGAGAAUUGCAUGCCUUGUCAAAAAUCUGAAAAGUCACUUUUACGCCUUGAUCGUAAUAUAGUCUGGACCGUCUGAGGAAUCACUUGUAAUCUUGAUUGGUUAAGUGAUGCUGGAAGGAUAAAAUUUAUUUCCAAUUUAUGCUAAAAUCUUUUUCAUAGCAAGUCAAACUAAUGAAGUGUACUUAAACUAUCUCUAAAGUUGUCGUUUUUUAAGUACAGGCAGGUCCAAACAUUCGAGCAGAUUGAGGCAUCCUGAGCUGGUUUUUUAUGGUCCCAUGCGCCCAAGGCCUCUCACUGCUUUUACAUCGGCCAACAAAUUUCAAAUGGAGCAUCCCUUUUCCAAAGGUGGUGAUGAGGCCUUCUUAUGUUAAGUUUGGCUUGGUAUGAUCCCAUGCUUGUUGAGUCGAGCUCAUGUCUGAAAAUCAAACAUAUCUUAGCUUAUACUCUGGUUUAUAUGCAAGUUGACUUAAUGUAAUAAACCACAUGACAUGUUAUUUUCCUUGAAUUGUUCAUGGGUGUAUGUUUCAAACCAGGUAUAUAUCUUAACAACAAAGUAGUUGAAGUAGGGAAAAGAAUGAAAGGACGGUUAUCGGGACAUAAGCUGGUGGUCAAGGUUUGAAAAGAUAACAAUUAUCUCCUUUUUUGUGGAUAGAUGUUUUGGAAAGCAAUUGCUGGAGCAAGUGUUAAGAAUUAGAAUCCAAGUACUCUUAUAUGGAGAAAUUUGACAAUGUUAUUCAAUGCUGUAAAAGUAGUAAUUAUAUAAAUCAUACAAGGGGACCAGUUGAUACAGACAAUCAAAUUGCAAAGAAUGUUGCUCCCUCCGUGGCUCAAGGGAAAGACCUAAAAGAUAAAAGGGUGGCUAGUUAUGAUUCUGAAGUUUGAUCGUAGAUCUUGAUGACUCUUAUUAUUAAUGUCAAACAGGAGAUACUGUUUUAUUCUGUUAUAUUAAUAAGAUAUUUGAGGAAAAAAAUAGAUGAGUUUACUUUGUCGAAUUGAAUCUGUAGUUUGAUAAAAUUCGAGCUGCAGUUGAAAGAAUUGAACAGCUUAGAUUGAAAUUUUCACUUCCAUCCAUGUUCCAGUCAUCGAUGUCUUUGCCUUUUCCCCUGCACUUGUGGUUUGUGUGGCUGAAAUUCACGGUCUCAAAUAUACAUAGGACAUGGAAGGCCUUUUCUAGUUAUGUACGCGAUCGCACUCCAGGGGCAUAUAUCUUGACAUUUGACCUUGGGUUGCAAGUUGAGAUUGUUUACUCGUAUUAUAUGGUUUAUUUUCAAUUAAAACUCCUGAAACUAGCAACUACUGCCUUAAAUUCGUAUUGUGUGAUUAGAUUCUCUCAUUAGUGUAUGCUUAUGUUUUGGUCUUUCUUCACCAUAAAUUGGUUUUUGACCAUGUAAAUGGGGACUCUGCUCCUGUUCAAUUCAUCAGGCAACAUAAUCUGGAAAAAAUGUAAAUUGCAACUCUCAGCUAUUCAGACAAGUCAUGGACGUUGAAACUCAGGAGCCAUGGACGUGGACACAGGGGGGCCUUUUUUUCUGCUGGUUGGCCCACAUUUGCUAGAGAAGCUCAUCUGCAUGUAGGAGAUGUUUGUAUUUUUGAGCUAAUUGAUAGUGAGGAUGUGUGUUCAGAGUCUACAUUUCCACUAGAGCUGGUAAGGACUUGGUUUACAUUGAUUGAAAUGAACUAUGGAAGUGUCAUUUUCGCUCAUCCAAAAUAAAUCCUGUAUUCAUCGUCAUUUCUUCUUUGGUGGUCUUGGUGAAUCAAUGAAGUAUACUUCUUCCAUUCCCGUUGUGUUUGUGAGGUUCGCAAUAAUCCAGAUGCUCACUUAUUAAUCUGCAUCCCAAAUCUAAAUGAACCAAAAAGGAUGUGAUUCAAGAUUAGAGCAAAAGUUAAAGCCUGAAACGCUCGUCAUGAGAAUUUAGAGAGGCGUGACUUGUUGGUUUCUAAGUUAUGUUUAUGUGAACAACGACACAUUCUUUUUCUUAUUCUCUCUCAAAAUUUGUGAAAUUCUCCUAAUAAGCUUUUUGUAUAUUGAUUUUGUGGCAUUAUGAUUUAGGAGGUGCUAAGGGUAGUAAUCAAUUAUGUCUAAAAUGCAGAACAUGUAGACAUUAGUACCAUGAUCACAAGUACUGAUGUUUAGAUCAUUGUAACUCAAUACAAUGUCGACAGUGGUACCUGCGAGAAUUUUCUUUUUUCUUUUGUGCCUAUCGAUCUGAACAGUCUAAAUGUCAUGUAGCCCUCCUGAGCAGGUUUUGUAUGGUUCCACGUGUCCAUGGCUGGCCACUGCUCUUGAAAAAACUAGAGAAUUUGAAUUUGAGCAUCCACUUUUGAAAUUGGUGAUUUGGCCACUUUUAUUAAAAAGAGAAUUGCAGUAAGGGCCUAUUUCCUUUCAUAAUUGGCAUAUCCCAACCGUGAUGCCAUCUACAUCUCGCCCUGUAGUCUACUAUUUUCCCAAGUGGUUUUGCUUUUUAUUGGAGAUGUUGUUUUCUUUGAAAUGUGUAUGGCUUUAUGUGUAAAACUAGGGCAGUUUUGAUUUUGAAUUUUUUUUUUUUUUUUUAAUUAUGGAUUCAGAAGAUUACAGAUUCUUAAAUAAUAGAUUGUACUUUCCUCACUACUCAGGUGUAAAGAAGAUUGCUUUUGUUCAUUGACUAAGAGGAUGUGGUGAGACAAUCAGUGUUAGCACACCUGAAGCGUUAUCAUGAGAGUUCAAAAAUAGUGUACACUAUUGUAGAGUCUAUGAGCACUGUAUCGUGACAUUUUAACAUCAAAUUGCAAGUUGGGAUUGAAGACUUCUAUUUGUCAGUUAACACUGUUAAUUGAAUUUACUGAAACUAGUAAAUACUAGCAUAUAUUAACAUUUUGUUUGCCUUGUCUUUUUAUUGUUUGUUUGUAUUUAAUCUUUUCCUCAUCAUGCUACAUUGGCGGAGUGUUCCUUGUGAAUUCAUCAAGAAGUACAUUCAGAAGAACCAUUAGAUUGCUACUCUUAGGUAUUUGAACAAAUCAUGACCAGUGCAACUCAAGACCUAUCAACACCAUUUUUUAGCAAACAUCUCUGUGGUUGGCCCAUGUUUGUGAGACAAGCUUAUCUGGAUGAAGGGGAUGUCUUCGUGUUUGAGCUCAUUGAUAUGGAUGAUUUUAUGGUCAAAGGCUCCAUCUCCAAUUAUGCUUGUAAGGACCUCAUUUAGGUCGAUUGAGAUGAACAUUGGACGCAUCACUUGAGGCUGUAUAUUAGUGAAGCAAUUCCUGCCUCACUUAUUCAGUUGCGACAAAUCAAUUGAAAGUGCGCUUACUUUUGGCUUUGCUUCUCUCUCUUGACCUACUUAUAGUCUUAUCAGAAUUCUCUUUUUUCUUUUGUCCAGGUCAGAACAGACAAGUCUGAAUGUCCAGUGAGCCCCUCCUAAGCAAUUUUUUCAUGAUUCCAAGUGUUCGAGGCCUCUCACUGCCCUUGAGAAAGCUAGAGAAUUCAAAUUGGAGUAUCCCUUUUCCAGACAGUGAUGUGGCCAUCUUUUCUUAAGAAAGAAGUGGUGGUAAGGCCCAGAUCUCCAUUCAUAACUGACGUCUCAAUUAUGCAUGCCACCUAUUCUAUAUAUGCGCCCCACUGUGCAAAUUUUUCCCACGUUAAUUUGGUUUUUAUAGAAACACAGGACAUGUUAUCUUCUGUGAAGUGAUCAUGGUUAUAUGUUUUAAACAGGAAUCUUAACAACUGAGUAAAGGGACUAGGAAAAACAAUAAGUUGGGACAGUAAUCAGGAAAUAACCUAAUGACAGGGGGUGCGGAGACAGGAUCAGAGGGUUGGGAAAGGCAAUAACAACCAUAAGUUAGCAAUUUAAUAGUUUCUAAUUGAAGUAUAAGUUCCUCCCAAAGAUGACUACUUGGUACUUUCUCAGGCUGCCUAGGCUUGGGAAGAAGAGGUGACACGAAAUGUCCAGCUUAAGCCAUAGCUACUGCAACAGGCCUAGGCUUGGCAUGACUGAGCUCACUGCAACAGCAUGGCAACACUAGUCAGAUAUUGCUCACUGGCAACAAAUGGUUUACAAGAGCUACCAUUGCAAGCAGGUUCAAACUUGCAAUCGAAAAUGAAGGGAAGCCAAUGUGGCCUAGACCUCAAAAAUUAGUGCCACCAACUCGAUGGUAUGAAACGAAGAAAAGAAGCUCACUUCUUUUUGGCCAGGCAAAAGAAGAUCACUUACUUUCUGUGCUUGUGUGUCCAUUUAGGUCCCUAUGUGUAGCUUUUCAUGUUUAUUCGAUGCAUAUUGCAAUGUAAGAUUGGUGACUCAGAUAUUCACCAGAUUCAACUUGUCUCUAUAUUGAUUACACGUACUUAGUGUAGAAUCUAAGAGCACAGGAUUGUGAUAUUUUGAUUUCAGAUUGCAAGUUGUGAUUAAAGGCGAUCUCAUCAUGUCUUUUAGACUGCUAAUAUGGACUUUGGAAACUAACAACUACUAGCAUAAAUGUACGUUUUGUUUGCCUUUUCGCUUUAGUGUAUGCUUACAUUCCUAUGUGUUAUCAUAUAUUGGCUGGUCAAAUGUCUUCAUGGGUAGAGUGUUCUUAUGAAUUCAUAAAUACAUGCAUUCAAGAAAACCAGCGAAUUGUGACUCCUGGGUGCUCGGACACAUUGUGGCGGUGACCAUAAGGACCUAUCGAUGUUGUAGUGAACUUCUGUGUUGGUUGGUCCAAGUUUGUGAGUCAAAGUUGUCUUGAGUGAAGGGGAUGUCUACGUGUUUGAGCUCACUAAUAGGGACAAUGUUUAGGUUGAAUUGGGAUGUAUUUUGGAAGUCACUUUACUAGUUGAAAGCAAUUUCUGCCACUAUUCUGUUGUGAUGAAACCGGAUAAAAGUGCACUUAUAUUUGUAACCGUGCUCUGUUCAGGUCUAGUUACGAUCUUAUCAUUUCUAGGCUUAAACACAUUUUCUACCUUAGGUAUCUCUCUUGAGCUUGUCGCGCUUUUAUCAUCGCCUUUUUGGAAAGGAUCUCUGGUUCAGCACUCGCCCUGGUUACUGAACCUGGUUUUGUAUUACAAGAGAAUGUCAAAAGUGACGUGCUUUAGUUCUAGAAAGGAUGUGGAAAUUUAUGCAGCAUACCAUGAUGCAGCAUACCAUCCCUCAUGGUCACUUGUUAGUUUUCAAAUAUGGGAAAGACAGCCUCUAUACUCAUGUAAUUAUAUUUGAUAAAAGUGUUUAAAUAGAUACAUUAUCCCCAAGUAGUGAUGAAAUUGAAAACCCAGAGAGUGAAUUCCAUAUACAUCUUGCCCUAUAGUCCGCUGUUUUCCCAAAUUGUUUUGGUUAGUCAUUGGAAUCACAUGGAUAUUAUUUUCCUUUAAGUGUAAAUGGCUACAUGUGUAAAAUUUUGGUUUUGAAAUUGCAUUUUGUUAAUUUAUGGAUUCUUAAGAUUACCAAUUUUAAAAUAAAAGAUCGUAUUUUGUUUUAAUACUAAUCAAUUGUAAAGAAGAUCACUAUUAUUCAUAGGCUAAGAGGACGUGGUUGAGAGGAUCAGUGUUAGCAACUCCUGAAGUGUUAUCAUGAGAGUUCAAAUAUAGUAUAUACAAUUGUAGAGUCUAUGAGCUCUGUCCUAUGACAUUUUGACUUCAGAUUGCCGGUUGAGGAUCAGUUAAGACUGUCGAUUGAAACUCUUGAAGCUAGUAAAUACAAGCAUUUAUUUGCAUUUUGUUUGCCUUUUUCUCUUUAUUGUUUGUUUGUAUUUAUUCUUUUCCUCAUCAUAUAUUGGUUCACAAAUAUCUACCUCGCCAAGAGUGUUCUUUGCCAAUUCAUAAAGAGAUACAUCUAGAAGAACCAGCAAAUUGUGACUUAGGUAUUUAAACAAAUCAUGGUUGGCGCAGCUCAAGACAUCUGUUAUCCAGCAAACAUCUCUGGUGGUUUUGCCCACGUUUGUGAGAGAAGCUUGUCUGAAUGAAGGGGUUUUCGUGUGUUUGAGCUCAUUGAUAGCGACAAUUUUAUGGUCAACUCUUUAAUUUGACCGUAAGUGAAAUCUCCGCAAGCAAUGCAAUGCGACUGUGCCAGCCACGCUCCCUGGUCGAAACUGGUGCAGUAGUUAAAUCCCCAGGUUGUAGUGUUAAGACCUCACAUUAGUCAAGACUUGAUCCAAGCGUAAUCAUCUGUGAACCGGACGCCGUUGCAUAUCUUGGACAUAAGCGUCACGUCCGGGUUGCUUCUUACAAGACUUGGACCCCCACAGAAGCCCAGUGAACAUAAGGGUGAGCGCAUGUGAUGUGGCCAUGGUCAUCCUAGAGCCCUUUUUUCCUCCUUUUGGCUCUCUUUGGUUUGCUACAGAGAGACACACAAUUGAGUUUGGCUAUGAUAAGGGUUCGUCUUCAUGGCGCACUCCAUUUAUUUGUUGCUCUUGGGCUAAGUCAGUCCCAAUUUUAGUCAUUUAUGACGUCACGUAAUUUUUUUUUAAUCAUUUAUGACGUCACAUAUUUUUUUUUUUUUUAAUAACUUCAACGGUUGUUUCUCCGGAAUUUUUUUUUUGUCAGUCCUACUCUAAUCUUACUCUACGCUCAUUCUCAGACUUUUGUCCUGCCUCUUGCAGGGCGUGGAAGUCGAAACCCACUCCUAAAACUCACGCAUCCCCACCCCAUCCCCUCCUGAGAAAGUGGAGAUUUGAACCCCUCACCUCCCCCUUCCAUGUUGGAAGGGUGGCCACUGGGGGCUGUUUCUAUGGAUUACUCACCCAUUAAUGUACUUUGUUGUUGCCAUCCUCACAAACCAUAAUCUCAUAAUUUUCAAAGAAAUAUUUCCCUCUCUCUCUCUGACUAUGCAUGAAAAUUCAAAAUUGAGAUCCUCUAAGUUUAGGAAAUAAAUUUACGCUACGAUAAGGGAGUGAAUAAUAAUCAUUUUGUUCUAGAAUUCGAUUUUUUGUCAUUCCUUGGACGAAUUUAUGAACAAAAAUAUGCAUUUGAUAACGACAUAAAGUUUCUGUUAUUGAAAUAGAAAUUCGUUUAACAUAAAAUUUCUCCCUCCUAAGCAACUAGCAGGUGGCGGCCCUAAACAAACCAUUUCACUUUUAUUUUUUAUUUUUAUUUUUUUUCAAAAAUAGAGAAGUAUAAAAUUUUUACUUCUCAUUUAGUAUUUCUAAGCUAACAAUUUGUUUUGGAAUUUGAAAAAUGAAAUUACAUUAUCAAACAAAUUUUUGUUCCGAACUCGUUCCUAUAUCAGAAAAAUAACAAAAUAGAAAAACAAAAUUGUUGUCAUGCGAGUACCCUAAAUGACCCACUUCACUAUUAUUUUCUUCUUUCUUCUCCUAUUUUGCACACACGUGUUUGCUUCACAUAUGAGUCUCGAAUAUAUUUCUACAUGUAACAUUGUAAGCUUAGGUCAGGUAAUUAAUGGAGUUUGUAAUACUUUUAUAAUCCAAAUAACACCAUACUUUUGUUGCUGCUAACACUACUACUAAGAGUAUUAAAAAAGAAAAAAAAGAAGCCCAAACACCUGGAUUGAACCACCCGAACUAGCCUGAUAAUUUUGGGCUCAAAUAGUCUCCGGCCCGGCCACUAGGCCUCAAACUAUCCAUGAGUUUGGGACCUGAAUGAUUGCCAAAACCAACCCGAUUCAUAGAUCGGAAACUGUACAUAUGUAUGUCCCCCUAUGUCAAUUCCCUUUCACCUGUUGAGGGCUCAACUUCUCUCAUUCGCUCAUUUCUCACGUUGAUCGAGAUCUGGCUGCCACCAAGCUGCCAUCGUCGCCACGGUCAAGCCCCAGCACUCGCCAUAUGGCCUCCGUCUAAUAUGUUUCACUCACUCCCUUAGUCCCUUUUAUGCUUGUUCGCAUCUUGAUCUCCCUUGCGCUCCCUCGCUCUCUACUAGUAGAAAACUGGCCUUACUAGCUUGUUUUGAUGUCUUAUGGUUUUUUAUUUUUGUACAUGCUAUUUGAAAUUUUUAUUUGAAAUUUUUAAAUAAUAGAUAGUCCCUCUUUAAAAAGAUGCAAUUACCUUUUUAUUAUUUUUGUUUCACAAUUAAUUAGUUACGUUUAGAUUGUGGAGAGAAGUAGAGAGUGGCCAUAACUGACGAUUUUCAUUUUUUAAUUACAAAAUGACGAGAAUCGCCCCCGAAUUCAUUUAAAAUUUAAUUGGAGUUAUUAUGAUAAUAGGGUUUUUGAGUUAAUUUAAAUUGAGAGACAUAAGAGGAACCUCUCCGUUAAAGAAUUGACAAAUUUGUUGAUGUUUUAACAAAUCAUAGCCAACUAGUGUUAGCACAAGAUAUGAUCCCUCAUCGAGCUAAUUGAGUUGGGAAAAUUGUUACUUUCACCUGGUGCAUACUCUAUUCAAGAAUUGUUUGAACUCGGGUUGAUGAUUUUUCGAGAAUUAAUAUCUAGUCAAGCUCUAACUCAAGCUACUUGAGGAUCUUGCAAAUUGAAAGCUUAAGUUCGCCACUACUCGGCUCUUAAAAUUUUGUAAGCCUAAUUCAAAAUAUUUGAUUGGUAUGUAAUUAUACAUAGACAUCCUCAUCCACACACAAGUAUAUUUAGUGUAUCGACUUUUCGUAUGAAUCAAGCUCUAGCAUAAGCAUGAAGUUAAUACUUGGUCAAGCUCAAAUCAAACACUGAGUAAGGAGUUGAGCCAGUUUCGAGUUUGGCACUGUGGUGGCUUGAUUAGACCCCUAGGUGCUAGCCGUUUUGACAUCCAAUUCGAUUAAUAGAAGCCAACGUGUUCAUUAAAGCGAUUAAGAACUCUGACGUGCAAAAUUCGAGUGCAAGGUUAUUGUUGGGAAAUCUCAUUAUUCAAGAUGCACUCAUGAUUUUCGCAAGUUUCAAUCCCACUAUAAUUUUCAAUCCCUAUAUUAACCGAUAGGUCAAAUGAUAAAAGUAAGUGAACAUUAAUAAAUGUAUGAAAUCUUCAAAAGUCACUUUUCCGAAGUCCUAGCUGUAUUAUCCAUGGGACGUAGCUUGGCUUCACAAAUCCUUGUUGUAACUUCUAUCCGAUAAAAUGGCACUCAAGUUCCAUUUACUUGGUAAUGUUUAUUGAAAACUGGACUUUUGCUGCAAUUUUUGUCACAAUUUCCCUUUAAUUUUCAAUAACCAUUUGACAAUAGCAAAAUUCCUCGACCAAUAAGAAAUUUUAAAUAUCAAAUAUCCUCUUGUUUAUUUUUCAUAAAUUAACUCAAAAUGUACAUAAAAAGAUCCUUGAUAAUUUUAACUUUUGAAAUUAUUUGGGAAAUCAUUAAAUUUGCGUUGCGUCAUUUCCUCUUUUAACAAAAACUUCCUAUUGUUGAAAGGAAAGUUUCGCUAUUAUUUUUUGCAACUUAAAAUCCUAACAAUUUUUUAAUUUUCCCAAGUUUUUAGCCGAAAAAUCAAAUUUCAUUCCCAAUUAUCAAUAUAUAUCAUCAACAUAAACUUAAAAAAAAAAAACAUGAUAAAUGAAUUUCCUCUCCUUGAAGUAAAUAGGGAAAAAUAAAUAAAAUAUCAACAAUUCUUUACAUCUGAGAAAUUAGAAAGGGCAGAAGAAGAAGAUCCCCUAGGCUUUCCAGUUUUGCGCUUCAAGCAUUCGAUCCCCCUCUGCCUUCUCUCUCUCCCCCCAACCCUUAGGCCGAGCUGCACCGCCGUGUCGCGGCCUCGGACCCCCCGAGCUUCACCCCCGGGGGCCCCCCUGGGGGUGGGGGGGGGGGGCCCCCCUUUUUUGGGCUUUUUUUCCCCCCUCCCCCCCCCCCCCCCCCCCCCCCCCCCCCCCAAAAGAAAAAACCUAGGUCCCUCGCUUCGGUUCUCCGGGAUUGCUCGAAGAUGGACGAGGACCAGGAGAUGGAGAGGCUCGGGGUGGACAACGAUUACGACGACGGGGAGUUCUACUACCGCAGCGGAGGGAGAAGCGCGCGCAGACCAAGGACGACGCACUCUACGGCGUCUUCGCGUCGGGGGACUCCGAUUCGGACUACGACGACUCCUCCAAGAGGAAGCAGAGGAAGAACAGGGACCUCCAUGGUAAGGCCGAUCUGUCGAAGCCCGUGAAUUUCGUGUCCACCGGCAUGGUCAUGCCGAACAGAGAGAUUGAUGAGAACUCGAAGACGGAGAAUGAGGAUGACGAGUCCGCUGACGUGGAUGAGGAUAGGCCGGGCUUGGGGGUUGGUGCUGGGGUGGGUUUGGGGUUUAAUAAGCGAGACGAUGGUUUUGAUGAGAACGGCGAGGAGGAGGAUGGUUUCUUGCCGACGGCAUUUGGGCGGAAGAUCAAGGAGGGAGCGGAGAGGAGGAGAGAGCAAUCGAAAUUGGAGAAGAAAGCGCAGCAAGGUGGGGCUAAAAGGGAUUCUUAUGAAUCGGGAAACGUGGGUGGCUUCGAGAAGUACACCAAGGGAAUUGGAAUGAAGUUGCUCGAGAAAAUGGGUUACAAAGGGGGUGGUCUUGGGAAGAAUCAGCAGGGGGGAUUGUGACACCCAUUGAAGCAAAGUUGCGUCCUAAGAAUAUGGGUAUGGGUUUCAACGACUACAAAAGAAAUUCCUGCAAAGGCGCCUGUUGCCUCGUUGGAGCCAGAGGAAAAAAAGCCAUCACCUGAUGUGCCCGGUCAGGAGAAGCUUUGGUCUAAGCAAGUGAAGAAGGCGAUGCUGAAAAACAAAGCAAAAUAUAUUACAUCAGAAGAGCUGUUGGCGAAGAAGUAGGAUCAGGGUGUUGAAGUUGUGCAAGAGGUACUCGACAUGCGUGGACCUCUAAGGUUAGGGUGCUAGCUAACUUGGAGAAUCUGAACGUGGAAGAGAAGGCGAGGGAGAGCGAUGUUCCUAUGCCCGAGCUCCGGCAUGAUGUAAGGUCGAUUGUGGACCUGGCUGAGUUGGAUAUUCAGUAGAUCAUUACGGACCUGAGGAAUGAGAAGGAGAAGUUGCAAGCUGAGGCAGAACACCAGAAGAAACAACUAAAUUACGUGGAGAUAAUGAAUACACUAGACCGGAUUGAGGAGCAAAAGUCGAUGGGAACAUUGACGUUAGACUUGCUAGCCAAGUCUUUUGGUGACAUGCUAAGAAGGUUUCCUGAUGAUUAUAAACUUUGCAACUUAUCCUGCAUUGCUUGCUCAUUUGCACUCCCUCUGUUUAUCAGAGUAUUUAAGGGAUGGGAUCCUCUUCGGAAUCCCUCACAUGGGUUGGAAGUUGUUUCACGGUGGAAAUCUCGAUUGCAAGGACAUGAAUGUCUUGAUAUAUGGGAUUUGAGAUCCCCCUGAUACCCAGUUGGUUACAGAAUUUGUCUUGCCUGCUGUGUGAAUAUCAGGCAUUGACACUUGGGAGGCAGGGAAUCCGAAGCCAAUGCUUUGAUUUCUUGAAGAUUUUGUGAUCAGUCUUCUCGCAUGUGGGCGUAAAUUCAAGUUUAUCAGUUUCUUCUCAAGUGAAGAGCAUUUGGAAUUCAUUUAUUUAUGUUUUCAUAUUAACUGAAUGUUGAUAUUAAUGACAAAAGCAAGUAUGCUGGCAUCUUUUGCGUCGCUGUGGCAUGACUCUUCUGCAGUCUCUAUCUCUCUCUCUCUCUCUCUCUCGACAAACACAGCAGCCGAGCCUCCGGCAGUGGCUUUUUGUCUUACAAUCGGCAACAUCCCGGCGCUCUUGAACUCGAACUUGCUCUCCCCGCUGGAUAAAGCUCGCUGAUUCUCUCUUUUUAUCUCUCUUCCUUGCGAGAGCUCGAUACCUCAUCCAAAGUGUAAUCAACGGCAAUGAAAAUUUGGAAGAUGGCGAGAGGAUGGGAGAAAAUGAAAGCAAAACGGAAAUCAAACAGACGAAAUUUGGAAUGAAUCAAAGACAAUUUUAGAGUUCGAGAUGGAACGUCCCGGUAUUUGUUGACUGUUGAUUAAGGAAACUCCGUGGUCGAGUUCUGCUGCCACGGCAGCGAGGCGAGCGGCAUCUUCAAACCGGUAGCGACACUUUUUGUGCUUCGGUCAGUGCUGGAAGCAACAAUCGUCAGAGAGCUCAGUCUCGAUGAAUAGUUGGUGGGUACUCCGUUCGCGGUUGGAUUCCCUCUCUCUCUCCAGAUUUUCUCCGGCCAGAUGUUCUUUUGCAUAUUUUCUCUCUCUCACUCCGGAUUCUCCUUAUUCAUCUCCACCAAUUCAGAUCUAUCUCGCUUCAGAUUCGCACAGUGAACGACACCAUCAGAUUCCACAUUUUGAGUCGUGGCCACACUAAUUCCACUCUGAUUUUGUGUCAUCGCUUUCGUGUCCUUGCGCGUGUCUGGACCAGAUUUAUAUGUGGCCGGGCCAUCUCGAGCUCAUGCCGCCAUCGCUGCCAAACCAUCGUCAAGGGUGUUUCAUAUCCAAUUGAACUUCUGAGUCAAAAUUUCGAUUCACUCCAAAAUAUGUUCUGUCGAUUCUUGCUUCUUUCUGUUCACUCCCACUUCAUCGCAAUCUUUCGAAUUCCUUUGUUUCGCCCAUCUACGCCUCGUGCAAAGGGAAAGCGGGGUGGUGUUCACUGCUUAAAAGAGCUUUAUCCUAUUGCCAAGGCUGAGGUUGGAUGGAUCAUCAUCAUCUGGACAGGAUCUGCCGAUUCGAAGGAUGAGAUUCUUCGGGUUCACUCCCGGCACUCCUGCCGGUCCGAGGUCGUUUCAUCAACCAACCGCAACAGAGGGCAAUCUGAGUCAUCAAAAUCAUCCGAAAAGAUACGCCAAGCAUGAAGAUUGGCGGUGGUGAGCACGGAGAGAAAACAAGGAAGAAUAAAAAGUCUCGAAGCGAAGCGAAGCAGUGGAUGGAGAUGAUUCGGAUUUUGCGUGGGGACUGUGGGGAAAACGGGGCAAACAAGGUGAAGCCGGCGGUGGUUCUUUGGAUGAGAAGGAAGUAAAGUGUUGAAAUUAAAAAAAAAAAAGAAAUAAAAGAAAUAAAAGACGAAAGGAAAAUAUAGAGAGCCCAUGAGAAAUCGGUCAAAAGGAAGACUUGCACGAAAAAUGUAAUUCGACAUUAUAUCGAGCACCUUCAUUGCAAACUCGAUCCCUCCUCCACAGUGCAAUCGACGGCAAUGGGAAUUUGGAAGACGGCGAGAUAAUUGGAGAAAAAUGAAAUGAAAUAGAUAUCAAUAGACGUAGUGAGUAUGGAUCGAAAUUAAUUCUAGAGUCGAAUGGGAGAUGAAAUGACCUGGUGGUGAGUACGAAUAUUGACCUGACAGAUAUCAUCAUUGUUACAGAAUCGUCUCACUCUCGAUUUCUCUUUGGGGCAGCUCAACGAACACCUUCCCUAAUGUCCAUCUUCAUAUUUCAGCAAGUCUUCCUCCAUCAGGGUCGUUUCCUAUCCGAUUGAACUUCCGAGUCCAAUUUCGAUUCAUUCCGGUAUACGUUCUGUCGAUUCUUGCUUUCCUUCAUCUCCGCCUUUCGGAUUUCAAAUGACGUUGCUCGCGUCCUUCGUUUCGUCUCUCUAUGCCGCACACAAUGGGGAUGUCUGGCUGGUGGAUAGGAUCUGCCGAUUCGAAUGAUGAGAUUCUUUGGGCUCACUCUCGGCCCUCCCGCCGCUUCAAGAAGCAGCAAAGACUUGCACAAAAGAUGGAAUAUCUUGAGAGGAAGAUUCAUCCCAUAACUCAGCCAUCAUUUUCUUUUUCUUUUCCUUGAAAAAGGCAUCAAAAACUCCAAACGACGCCAUCAAGGACGCCCAUUGCGUCUCUUCGCUUCAAGUACCUUUAUUGGAUCUCUCCCUCCAUCCCGACGCGCUCCCCGGCUCAGUGAGUUCCGAGUCGCUCCACCAUCACCCUCGCUAUCUACUCGCCUCGUGAUCGAUUCCGUCGCUCGCUGUCUUUAGAAACUCCGGUGAUCCUCUCUCUCUCUCUCUCUCUCUCUCUCUCUCUCUCUCUCUCUCUCUCUCUCUCUUUUCCUGUCCUUCUUCCGGUUGGAAUCAUGCAUUCGUUUUGUGGAUUCUUAGGUGUUUUGACAGAGGUUUGAAUCUGGUGUCCUUGAGUGAUGUUUAAUGCUAUUGUCGUUUUGCUCAUCAAUGGAGUUCAUGUCGGAUUUUUUUUUUCUUUUUUUCCUUGUUUCCGACCGUGAAUCCGAGACCACUUGGAAACGAGCGAUGAUUGAACUGAAAACGUCCUGAGAAAUCGCCGCAGUGAGCGAAAGUUGUGCAAAGUUAAGCUCGGUCGAACAGUGGUUCGGUUUUCCUCUAUUUUUUGGCAUUAUAUAAUCACUUCUGGAUUCAGUUGUGGUGCGAGGGUGACUCGCUAGCCAUUCCUGAUCGGUCCUUCGGUUAACGCUUUUCUCUGUAUAGAUUUCCGAGUGGCUUGGGACUUGGAGAUGGGAGUAGCACCGAUGAGUUAUGACAUGGAAGAGGGGACGCUGGAGAUCGGCAUGGGUGAGCUUUCGGCCCUCUCCGCUUUCCAAAUUUUUUUUUUUUUUUUGGAGCUACGGACAAUAAAAAUCUGCUGGGAUGCUUAAAUCUCGUAAUUAAGUUUUGUCUGUAUUGUGGGGAGUAGCUUUGUCUCCUUGUUCGUGGCUUAUUAUGUCUUUCGCCAUCUAAAUUUCACCGUGCUUGGAAUCAGAACUUUAGUCAUAGGAUAUUGUUGUUUUCUAGGCUUUCCAUAUAGCUUUCUCGUUUCUGAAAAGUUUAUGCUGCCCCUGUUAUGACAACGGUUAAUACAUUUAUUACUUAGAUCUACACAAUCUCUAUCAUUUCGUAUAUAUUGGCUGAGAGGUGAGGAAUGAUUUAGCUCUUGUCCGAGUCAAAUGUUUAGCAUGCCUUAGUCGCUGGGUCUUAGUUAUCAGUUGUUCAAACAAUUGCUUUGCUGCUUGCAGAGGAUAGGACCGUCUCUGGUGUUGCUGGGCCGUUGGUUACACUCGACAAAGUCAAGGUAAAUUUCACUGGUUAUAAUUUUACGAGGUUGAGUGAACUCCUAUAUGGACAUGUUGGAUUAAUUUUAUUGUAUAUCAGGGACCAAAGUAUCAAGAGAUGGUAAAUAUCCGCUUGGGUGAUGGAACGACUAGAUGUGGGCAAGUCCUUGAAGUUGAUGGAGAGAAAGUUGCUGUGCAGUUUCAGUCUCAGUUGCCAGCCUCUUCUUUUUUCCUUUAGCUCUCUUGAUACUGCAUUUUUGUUGUUUGGACUGCAAUACUUGGGUCAACUUUGUGUGCAAUACUUUUCAGCUGAUGACCCAGUGAAUUCUCUGUCAUUCAUUGCAAGCAUUAGAAAAAGCAGAACAUGAAGAGUAUUAUCUUAGGUAUAUGUGAUGAAAUGUGAGAACAUCAUAUGGGAUGAUAAUUGAAAUGUGAUUGAAUUUCUUGAGAACAAUGUUAAGAGUCUAAUUAGCAUUCCGUUUAGGCAAUUAUAGAUCCUCUCUGCUCUCGAGUGAUGGAAGUCUAGUCAUGGUGUGACACCCAUCGAAGCAACCAGCAGGGGAUUGUGACACCCAUCGAAGCAAAGUUGUGUCCUAAGAAUAUGGGUAUGGGUAUGGGUUUCAACGACUACCAAAGAAACCCCUGCAAAGGCGCCUGCUGCCUCAUUGGAGCCAGAGGAAAAGAAGCCAUCACCUGAUGUGCCUGGUAAGGAGAAGCUUUUGUCUAAGCAAGCGAACAAGAUGAUGCUGAAAAACAAAGUGAAACACAUUACAGCAGAAGAGCUGUUGGCGAAGAAGCAGGAACAGGGUGUUGAAGUUGUGCAAAACGUACACGACAUGCGUGGACCUCAGGUUAGGGUAUUAGCCAGCCUGGAGAAUCUGAACGUGGAAGAGAAGGUGAGGGAGAGUGAUGUUCCUAUGCACGAGCUCCAGCACAAUAUAAGGUCGAUUGUGGACCUAGUUGAGUUGGAUAUUCAGAAGAUCGAUAGGGACCUGAGGAAUGAGAAGGAGAAAGCUCUGAGCUUGCAAGAGGAAAACAGAAGCUGCAAGCUGAGGCAGAACUCCAUAAGAAACAACUGAAUAAUCUAGCAACUAAAUUGUGCACAUGGAACAGCGGAAGCACAAUCACGGUAGAGUCUGAUUCCGUUAGUCUGUACCCCACCUGAUGACGCCAAAUUGCGCUGAGUUAGCAGCAUGCGAUUGGGGAGGGGUGACCCAUAGCGCCGGAGGUGUGCAAGAACAUAGCUACAUCCGAGGGAUCAUUGACAACUGUGGACAUCGAGUCGAGGCUCGGCUCGGCUCUACGUUGGUCGAAGAGAGUGAUUUUGGUAUCGGCAAAGUGAAGAUUGGCGGUUAGGUGGGGGAUGUUGAGCUUGGAAGCAGCGGAUUGAGCCCGUCGGUUUCCUUCUUGCAGUGUCAAUAGGAGCUUCGGUUCUGAGUCGGAAAGGUAGAACUCGAGCACCUUAGCUAUGUAGAAGGGAUUGAGCGGAGCUACAGUGGCUCGGCAAUGGAUUACCGCUGGAAAUAGGAUCACAAACUGCAAAACGAACACAUUUUCCAAUAAGAAAACUAUCACACCAGUCCCUGCGGAUUGGAGAUACACACACAUAUGCAGGAUAUGCAGACAACUAGUUUGUCAACGUUUAAUUCAUUAAAACAAUCCAUCUCCUUUUGAAAAGCGUUGACUUUGUUUUACGAUGAAUCGGUGCUUGUACGUCCCAGAAAACAACCCUUGGACCCGACAGAAAAUUCUCUUCAUGCUUUUCCCAUUUCAAUUUGUUCCUGUUCAAUUUGCACCACGCGCUCACAGAAAUUUCAUGCCUCAGAUGCAAUUUUUUCAGUAGAAAUCGAUGCCAUUUCCGUCUCUCUGUUCUCGAAGUACUGUAAAACUCCAAGAAACAUCUACCUCUUUCUUUUCCAAGCUAUUUCCCAGUCGAUGUUUCGCAAGUCAUUGAUCUCAUCAUUAGAAAUUCAUCGUCACCGCAAUCUUCCAGAUAUUGUGUUCUCGAAUUUAAACGGCAUCAUCCAUACUCGCGAACAGACCGAGAUGACACAGACAUACCUCGAUGUUGUUGAGGAAAGUGAGCGCGACGGUGUCGGUGUGAGGCAGUGAUGAGCGCGGUGGUGUGGUUGACAAGCUCUUGCAGCUGCAUGUGCGUCAGGUCGAGCUCCUCGCAGGCGGAGACGGCUCUCUUGUUGGGGAAAUCCGACGUUGCCUUCUUCAAUAGGUCCGUGAGCGUAAGUUCUCCCAUCACUAACCACAGGGAACGAAUCGACAGCAAUCGGCUUAAGCUGAAACCGAUCCCCGAUCGAACUGAAGAGGGGCACCACAAUCGCUUGGCAAGACGAGAACGAAGGAUCGACAAGAACAGGAAUUCGCACGUAUGCAUAUGAAAUGGAAAUGAGACCAGAGGGAGGGAGGGAAGGAAGUUGAUGCAAUCGAGGUGGCUCCGCGGCCAGUGCGAGCUCGGUUAAGGUGGCGACGGAGACUUAAUGGAUCAAAGGCUGUAACUAGUCUCACUAAUGUCUUCGCAAGAAAAUGUUUCAAUAAACUAAUGAUAGCCACCUAAUCAAUACAUUUGUCCAUUCAGUGGACGACAAGUGGCACUAUGGGGGCCCGCUCUAUCAGCAAGUCUGCAAGUCCAUUCUGCACGACAAAACAAAUGUCGUCCAAGUUUGAGAUAAGAAAUGAAAACCGCAGCAUCAGAAAAGUUCAUCACCAAAGGAUUAAAAUCCAUUCCAAGUUUGCGGCAAUGGCGUUUCUUGCACAGAUUGUAUAAAUGCAAGGAUCAAUGGCGAUUCUGACAGUUCAUUCUUUGCACGCACACACGCAGAUCUCCUGCUCCUUCACAACAGAAUACAAAUUUAACUCGAUUCUGUUCAUACAGAACACUUUAACUCGAACCAGAGGAAUCAGCAAGCCACGAGACAGCAAUUUUCAUGUCAUACGCCGAGCAUACGAGACGAGAAUACUAACACUAUUUGACAAAUGAGCAUCCUAUUCUGACAAAGUCGGCCAUAAUAAGUAUUCAAAAAGUUGAGAACAAAUCAAAUUUAUGUAAUAUGAUUUUGCGGUUCAAGAAUUGAAUCGAAUUUACACACCGAUCUAGUUCGAGCAUUUUAUCAAACAAGUAAUGUGCAUUUAACCAAGGAGCUCAUACGCCAAUGCAAAGCAAGGAUUGACUUUCAGAUCAUCACGAAAAUAACAGUACAAGUCCGAGUUGUUAAAUAAAGCUUCAAUAUCAACUGAUUUACUCACAGACAUUAGCUAAAGCUAACCGGCUCUGUUUCGUUCAUGAGCAGCAGAAACAGAGUGCGUGGGAUUUACCUUGAUGAGAGUGAGUUUUUCACUUCGGCCCGUGAGCAGAUCGGAGAAAAGUUAAUGGAGCUCUCCACGUCGACGAUUGAUCUCUGGCUCGUGCACGUUUGGGCGGCGUGACCAGAAAACAGAGCAGAAGGAGAGGAGGCCUUGCGGCAACGGAACCGGCAAUGGUGGAGCCGCUAUGGCAGCGUUUCGACAGUGUCUAAAGGACGAUGGAGAAGGAGAACCGAUGAAGGAUCCUCUAGAAUUCCGAAGAGAGAUGGUUUCUUCGUGAGCUUCGGUGUGUGCGUUCUAUCGUGUCAUCGCUGAGCCUGUGGUGGCCGUCGAUGGUGGUGCGACGGUGGCUGUGGUGAUUGUAGAUGGGGGACGGUGGUCUAGGCUGCGCCUUGUGGAUAAGGUCUGGGCUACACGAAUUAAACCAGGCCCAACAAACCGGACCAGGUCCUUUCGAUUAUGAUUUUUUCUUUCUUUCUUUUUCUUUCUUCGUUUGUUAUUUAUUUUUAAUAUUAUUUUUUAUUUAUUAUUUAUUUAUAUUUACCCAAAUGCAUGUUCAACUUGUUGGCAAAAAUUCAGGAGUCGAUAGGAGCAAUAUUCCAUCAUUUGGCCUAAGAACAACUUCACACCAAACUCAAUUACAAUUCAUUAAAUGUGAUAAUUCACUAUAAUUUUUCAAUUAAUAAUAUGGAUGAAACCUAGUUAUACCAUAAAAACCGUGAUAGGGUAAGUUCCAGAGUAUGCAAUGAGUAUUCUAUGUUCUAAAAAAUUAGGAAUAUGUUCAAACGCGGAGGUUCAAAAUUCUAGAUUAGGGGCCAUGAGUCAUUUGAUCUUUCCAAACAUCAAUGAUAAUUUUUUAUAAGGGAUUUGAUAAAUUUAGAACUAGGAGACAAGUCGGGAAGGAGUGGAGGUGGGUCGAAUUUUUUUCUUUUAUUCAUUUUAUUGACAGUAGAUUGAAUUGGAGAUUUGACAAUAUUAGAAUGAAAGUGAAACAUAAGUGGAUGUUGAAGCGGCAAAAAGUCAAUUUAUAAAAAGUAGCUAGUUUUCAAUCCCGCGUACUGGGCAUGAUGUAUUUCACAAUUUCUCUAUAAAAGAAGAUCGACACAAAAUGCAGAAUGUUUAAAGUAUUAUUUUUACUAGCCUACGUAUAUUAUAGAUUUAAUAGUGGUUUUAUAAUUUUUUUCCCUUGACUUCUAUGUCAAGAGUACUAGAAAGGUUAAUUGACUUGUAAAUCACAUUUGACCUUCUCACUUUAGUAAUUAACCUAAAGCUAGGCAUCAAGAGGGGGGAGGCAUGAGAGAGCUUCCACGAAAAUUUUCUCUUUUGUGCCUUGACUUUUGUCUUUUAAAAAACUGCAUAAAAAAAAAGAAAAAAAAAAAGACUUGCGGAAUUUCGUAUGUCAGUAUUAUUCAUGUACGAGGAUAUUAAGGCGCUUUUAAGCAGCUGGCGAUGAGGAAUUAAAGGGAAGACCGAGCUAAAAAGGUAAGCGUGGAAGGCAGUUCGGUCAAUUCGGGCCGGGGGAUUCGGGAUUCGGGGAAAAGUUGUUGUGACUUCUCCACGUCGCGCAUUCCCCGCAUUAAAUGAACAACAGAGUUUGAAGAGGGCAUGUCCCUGUUCUGCCUUCUCUCUUUUCUCUCUCUAUUGCGCAAAUAAUUCUGAGAAAUUUUCUUCCUGAAUCUGGAGAUCGUGCGACGUGGCUCGCCCACUUCGCCCCUUCUCUCUCCGCAACAAAUCAAAAUUCAAAUCUCCUCUCUUUAUCUCUCUCUAGGAGAUCCCGUACGCGAGAGCGAGACGAUGAAGUGCCAGAAACACCAAUUCUCUCUACAUUUCUGCAGUUGGCAUCGCCACCUUCGCUGCCCCGUACGGCCCCCCGCAUCGUCAGAGGCGUACCCUCGUAUCUGCGAGCCGAAAUCCCGCUCGGGCCUCGGGUCCCGCCGUACCUCCGCUCGGCGGCCGGGGAAGCGAUCUCCACAGCGGCGGCCGCGGGGGGCCCGGCGUCGAACGCGCCGAAUCGGGGGCGGGACCAAGCCGGGUCGGCGGCGCCGGGGCCAAAAUACCCGUCGUCGUCCCGCCUGACGUGGGGAGGGGCGUAGAAGGACCCGCCGGGGGGGCGACCGGGCCGGUGAGCCGGCUCGCCAAACGGCUCGUUCCACGCCAUCUUCUUAGCGUUCACCUGCAGCGUAAAGCUUCACCCGGAGGAACAGGCAGACCGCCAAGAAUGGAAGCGAAACCCUAGAACGAGGGUACGCCUCUGACGAUGCGGGGGGCCGUACGGGGCAGCUGCAGAAAUGUAGAGAGAGAAUUGGUGUUUCUGGCGCUUCAUCGUCUCGCUCUCGCGUACGGGAUCUCCUAGAGAGAGAUAAAGAGAGGAGAUUUGAAUUUUGAUUUGUUGCGGAGAGAGAAGGGGCGAAGUGGGCGAGCCACGUCGCACGAUCUCCAGAUUCAGGAAGAAAAUUUCUCAGAAUUAUUUGCGCAAUAGAGAGAGAAAAGAGAGAAGGCAGAACAGGGGCAUGCCCUCUUCAAACUCUGUUGUUCAUUUAAUGCGGGGAAUGCGCGACGUGGAGAAGUCACAACAACUUUUCCCCGAAUCCCCCGGCCCGAAUUGACCGAACUGCCUUCCACGCUCACCCUUUUAGCUCGGUCUUCCCUUUAAUUCCUCAUCGCCAGCUGCUUAAAAGCGCCUUAAUAUCCUCGUACAUGAAUAAUACUGACAUACGAAAUUCCGCAAGUCUUUUUUUUUUUCUCUUUUUUAUGCAGUUUUUUAAAAGACAAAAGUCAAGGCACAAAAGAGAAAAUUUUCGUGGAAGCUCUCUCAUGCCUCCCCCCUCUUGAUGCUCACUCCCUCAUGGUUUCGUAGAGAGAGAAAGAGAGAUUCUUCUCUGAAUUUUGGACAUCUUGUUCUUUUCUCCUCUCUCUCCUUUCUUUUAUUUGCACUUUUGUUAUUUCUUUUUAUUUUGUUUUGUGUCUUUGAUUUGUAUUUUAUAAAUAACAAAAGUACAAGUAAAAUUCAGCUUCUUCAAUGAAGGAACUGAAUUUUAAUAUUUUAUCCCCUCUUUUCUUUUAUUUGUAUUUUUGUUAUUUAUUUUUUAUUUUAUACAUCUUUAAUUUGCCGAUAAAAUUAAUGAUAUAAUCAAAAAGUUAAAGCUAUGCUCCGAUACUAGAUGGGCAUCACUCUUUAAUUUGGUCAUAAGCGAAAUCCAUGCAAGUAGCACGUUCCAACUACUCGAAUCCAACGAUGCAUGCUCCCUGGCCAAAGCAUUGGGCAUCACCAUAAGAACCACCGGCAUAGUGGUCUAAUCCUCAAGUCUCAAUGUCAGAUUUUCAAAAUAUCUUUUAGUUAGGCCCAAUUUAGGAAAUUUGGAUUUUAGUUAAAGUUGAGAUGGCCAUUAUCCGCUUCAUUUGUAAUUUAGAAAUAAUGUCUUAUUUUCCUUCUCACCAAGCCUCUUUCAUUUUCCCCGAUCUCUCGUUCUCUCUUAUCUCAUGAUCAUCGAGUCGUCCAGUCCCCACCAACCCGCCACCGGGCCACCUUCGAGCCCUGAGCCCUGCUACUCACCGUAUGCUUGCUCGGUCAAUCUUUUCUCUCUGUCUUUCUUCUCGUGUCUCGUCCACAUGUCAGCGAGUUACAAAGCGAGUGAUGGGACGGACUCACUUUUUUGCUCGUGUCAUGGUCUCCCUCCCACUCCCCCUCUCUCCAGCAAGUGGCAAAACAGGUUUUUACUAGCCUGUUAUGAUGUCUUCAAGCUUUUUGAAUUUAGGACGUGCUAUUUGAAUUUCUCAUGGAGAGCAAAAGCAAAAAAUAAAAUAAAAUAAACAUAUUUUUUUUUAUAAUUUCGGGCCGUGCCAGACCCUUGGAUCUGGGCCAUAUGGCAUGGCUUCAGUCCGGGCCAGGUCCUCAGUCACACAUUUUUGGACUGACCCCCAAAAUAAGAAAAAGGUUUUGCUCCGAUCCUUUGGCCACGAGGCCUUUAUUGGCUUCCACAGCUAAUAGGUGGUCCAGCGAAUGACCGCGGAGCCGUUGGAGAAAAUAAGGGACGAUAUUCUUCCAUAUCAGCUAACCUCACAAGUUUUCGGAGAACGGUUUGGUUUCGCCUCUUCUCUAUGUGUUUUUCCCCUUUUUGGGGUUCCUUUUUUCUCUCCCCUUUCUCUCAGCAUUGUGUAAUAUCAGCUCAUGCGAGCGAGCCAAUCGUGAGAAUUGCUUGUAAUUUUCUUGUUUUUCGUUUCUUUUCUUGGCAAAUGAAGCAACACCUAAAACUCCAAUCGCAUUUCAUUAAAUUGGGUAUCAUUCAUCCGGCCAAACCUACAACUUGAGGUGAGUUGUUUUCUCUCGUAACAAAAGCGGGAACACUAGCAUCUUACUAGUCGAAAGUUAAAAAGACUUUUAUCAAGAUACAAUAGUUGGAGCUAUAUAAUUCGUGAUAAAAUAUCGUGCUCUUCUAUUUCCUAUCGAUCGAGUGACAUGCAAAGACUAACAUAAUUUCUAAAAUAAAGGGUUUAUUGUUAUUAGCCCGUGAGAAGACCCAGGAAAAGGGCGAAACAAGAAUUGAAAACUUGUCAAAGAGGACAAAGGAAGAGCAAAUUCUUAUCUGGAUGUGGGGAAUCAUGACCAAAGGGGUUCUCAUCGUUGUCGUUAACCGUUGGAGCCCCGCACGUGAUUAACGGCUCGAUCUCGGGUGCAUGAAUUUGGAUCCAAGGCGAAAAGAGGGAAAGGGCCCCGUCCUGAGUGAUGUUUUUAUGUGAUGGGCCUAAGUUGGCCCGUCCGCCCAUGUUGGGCCUAAAAGCCCGGCCCACAAGAUUAGGACCCAUGGAUGGAGGGAUAUGAUGAAGGGGUACGUUUCUAUUUUGGAGGAGACGUAUAUAAGGGAGGAAAGAGAGGGAGGACGCACCUUUUGGCAUUUGUACGUAUGUUCCUCUCUCUCUCUCCCUCCAAAAGAAAAACUAAGGCUAAAGGCGACGUUGUCUUCCCUUCAAAGCCAAUCGACGUCAUCGGAUCGAACGACAUCGGUUUUCUCUUCCUCUAAUAGGCGUCGGUGUUUAAUCUGUGGCUAACAAGGUACGCUCGAUUCCGUGAUGUGCUUUAGGAUCUGUGAUACAUGUUUUUUUUUUUUUCUGGGCUCGUCUAUCGUUUUAGCGGUUUGAUUUUGUGUCGAAUCCGCUUUUUGGGAAUCCGACAAUCCCAACAUUGGUAUCAGAGCCCUAGUUCAUGUUUUCCCGAACCCUUUCAUGUUUAUGAAUGAUUUUUGAUUGAUUUUUUGUGAAAAUAAUCGGCUGACAUGGAUCAGGGCGAAAAAUCCCGGCACCCGAGCACUGUUCAUCCAUUUUUUCGAGUUUUUGUAAGUUGAAAUCGAUUUCUGAUGGCAUAAGGUGAAAGAGCUCAUCGAGACGAGUCCGUCGAUGGGUCGAACGUCGCCGAGAGACGCCGAACGCGCCCACACGCACGGCCAGAAGCCGCUGCGCGUGGGCGCCACGCGCCUAAAGCGUUGGCACAGCCAGCGCGUGUGCCGCACGCGCUGGUCGGCGAACCGGCAAGCGCCAAUCGGCGAAUCGACGCGUGAUGACGUCACCAUGAUGCACCAUGAUGUCACCCAACGGUCAGUAACCGUUGGGAUGACGUCAUCGAUGACAUCAUUGAUGGCGACAGUUGGCCGACCGGUCACCGACCCGACCCGACCGGCGAACCGACUCAACCCGAGACGCAACCCAACCUGAGAUCCGACCGGUCGCUCGUGCGUGCGAGGCACGUGCUGGGUCGGUUCGUCCGACCCGGUCCAACCGGCCCAUCCGAUCCGGCGACCCGACCGACAACCGUUGACCGUUGACCGUUGACCAUCGUUGACCAUCGUUGACUUUUGACCGUUAACGACCGUUGACCAUUGACAAAAAAAAAUGAAAAAAAUGUGUUUCUUUUUCCCAAUUAAGUCUAUGUGGAUUAUAUAUGAUCCCUUAUUUGUUCUGCAUUUGUUGCAGGAACAAUGCCUCCCUUGAGGUUGGGCACACCUAUUCGCACAAUUACCGAUGAACAAAAGAAAAUGCUUUCUAAGUUGAUAGCUAAGCUGACUGAUCAUCGAUGGAAGAGUAGUGACUUAAUUGAUCACGUCCUUGAAGUCAACGGGAAAAUUCAAAAGAUCAUAUGGAAUGGUCGUCCUAUGCCACAGUCUGAGAUGGUGCGUUUUUUCAUGAACACCCUUCCACCAGAAUGGCAAGGAGUGUUGAAUCGCAUAUGAGAUGUCAACAGAGCUGCUUCAUAUAAGAAAAUUGUGAUGGAUUUUAUAAAUGAAUAUUAUUGGAUUGUUACAAAGGAAAAGAUCAAGAAAUUGAACAAAAGAGGAUUGUUCCCAGUUCGUGUAUUGACUUGGUGUUAGUUGUAUUGGCUGAUCUUUGUUAGGUGUGCUUUGUGGACAUCUUAUGUUUACUACUUGAUUGUUGUUGAUGUAGCAACCAAUAUGUUAGUUGAAUUAUGUGAAAGCAUUAUUAUUCUAUUGGUUGUCAAAUAUUAUUUGCUUUCUGUUAUUGUUGGUUGCUGUGGGUAGUUCAUAGAAGUUUUUGUAGCUUCAUAAACUUUAUUUUGCAUAAGACAAUUAUAUUAAUGAUAGUUUUAAGUUAGGAUUUUUGGAGGACGAUUAGAAACAUAGUGACCUUUUGAUUCUGAAACAUUACUUGAAAUUGUUCAUUAAUAUGAUGGGUCUGUGCAAAAUGGAUGCAUAAAUUAUAAGCAUUAAUAAUUCGUGCAUAUAUGUCUGAUGUGUUCAGAUCAAUGACUUUAGCCACAAAGAGCAUAGUUGCCAAGCUGAACAAAGGUGAAAAGCUCAAUGGCGACAACUAUGAAAUCUGGCACAUGAAAAUCCAAUAUGUGCUAGAAGAGCAAGAGGCACUAGAGGCCCUUAACUUGACCAUGGUUGAACCUGAAGAAGGAAACACUGCACAGCACAAAAGAGAUAAGGAAACAUUCACUGCAUGGAAAAGAAAGAACUCUCUUGCUCGCAUUACGUUGCUGAGCAGCAUGGAUAAUGACGUCAUGCGAGAGUUUAGGCGUUUUGACAAUGCCAAGGAAAUGUGGGAAACAUUGGCAGCAAGAUUUGGUCAUAUUUCGGUGACCAGACUGUUGACACCUAUUUUUAGCAAAUCUAGGAAAAUAAGGAAAAUAAAAAUUGCAUUUUUUGGACAAAUAAAAAGAAAAAAUGAAAAUGGGGUAAAUUGAUUUGAUUGAAGUAUGCAAGGAAAUAUAGAAUUUUGAUGGAUGUUCGGAUUUUGUUAAAUGCAGCAAUAAUUUUAAAAUCAGGUGAACAAAUGGCAAUGAUUUUGAUAAAAUGGAAGGAAUCGAUGCAAAAUCGAGCUGAUUGCGAAAUCAUGCUCCGAUUUGCAUCCAUGAUUUAAUGCAACAGAAGAUGGAAGUUUAAAAUUUUCCCUAAAAAACGGUCGAUCGAAAUCACUAUAAAAGGGGUUGACCUGCACAAAAAAAAAAAAAUUGAGAGAGAAUCCGCUAAAAAAAUUCGUGCAAGAGGGAGAGAUUUUUCGAAAUUUUGGAAAAAAGAAGGCGGGAAAUUGUGAGAUUUUCGAGGAAAAUUGAGGAGCGAAAUUCGAAAAUGAGACAAGCUCCCUCCGUUGAUCUUUAGCCGAAAAGAAAGUGAUCUUUCUUUUCUCUUCUGACAGGCUGCAAAAGAAAAAGGAAAAGUCAGCCACUACAGUGAGGGAGACGUGAGGGACGUGUGAGGUGAGUUAAAAAAAAAAAAAAAAUCAAAAGAAGGCCACUGUUUGUCUUCCUCGUGCAGCCCCCACUUCGACGCCGCAGCACCUCCAGACGCUGGCAUCUCCCUUUGCCGGCCACUGUUGCUCUGCUUGCGACCCAGCGACGCCGCUGCCGCAACCUGCGACAGCCCGCGACCCCCUCGCGCCGGUCACGUCGUCCCGCUAGCCGCCGGAGAUCCCUCUCACCCACGAGCUUGCGCCACCACCUCACCCGCGAGCUCGCACCGCGCCCCCGCCAACGCCUGCAACUCCGGAUCCGCUGCCCGACGCCACCGGAGACCACACCGCCCCUGCUCCCCUCCGCCCGAGUGCCACACAUCCUUGCUACUGCACCACCAGAGCCCGACGCCUCCGCCUUGCCUCGGGCGAUCCGCGGCCAGGCGCUGCGACCCAAGCUGCGCCUCCCUUGCCGAGCGCUGCUUCGCCCUUGCCGGACCUCCGAUCAGCCACCCUUGGUCGGCCCUACGGCUGCCAAGCCCAUUUUGAGAAAAAAUAAAAAAAUAAAAGAGAAAACACAUUAGGUAGUUUUCUUUAUUUUAUUUUAUUUUAUUUAUUUUAUUUUAUCUUGCUCUUUUUAGUAUAAUUAGCCUUUAAUAUAUGAUUGGAAAUUCCAACAUAUCACCCGAUUCGCAACCGCGCCAGGGUUUUUUUAUUUCAUCUAUAAGGCCUUAGAUGAAAUAAUUAAUUAAGCGGGAAUAAAAUUGAUAUUUUGAUCUUUAAGGCUUAAGAUCAAUUUAUCGAUUUUAUCAGCGAAAUAUUACCCAUUGAUCUGAACGACGUGUGAUAUUUUUUAUGAUUUUGGAUGAUCUGUUUUGUCCUGGUUGUUUUAUUUAUCUUGACAUGUGUUUGAAUUAGAAUAUCGCAUGCUUUAGGGUAAUUUACAUAUUUAGACUAAGCAUUUUAUUUAUUUUGAAUUUUCGAAAUAAAAAAUAUACCAAAAACAUGAAUUUGGGAUGUUAGAUUUUCAUUUCAUUAAUUUGAAUUGCAUGUUUAAUUAUUUGGCAAUUAUUAAUUUCGAAAUUAAACAAAAAACGAAAAAUCAUCAUAUACAUGUCAUGUGGUGUUAAAGCAUAUUUCGCACGUCAUUGCAUAUUAAGACUAAAUUGCACUUAGUUCAAUUCUAGAUAAUUUUUUUCCUUAAUUUGUUAUAAGUUUAGGUAUUUUUUUUAGAUAUAUUGCAUUUUAGGAUUAUUUAGGUUAAGAUAAUGUUUUAGUUUAAAUUAGGAUUUGGCUCAACCUAAUUCCUAAUAUAAAUUAAAUAGGAUCUUAAUCUAAUUAGGCAAUUUUCACAUUUCACCUGAAAAAUAAAAAAAAAAUGUCAUAGGUUAAAUUAGUUUUAUUAUUCAUGAUAAAAUGCAUUCUUUUAGGAAAAAGAAAAAAUGUCAUAUACACGUCAUUAGGGCUAGAUUCACUGGGAUGCAUGUCAUUUAGUAUUUUUUCUAGGCCUAUUUAAUUAGAAAUUGCAUGUUAUUAGAAUUAGGUCAUUUAGUUAAUAUUGCAUUGCAUAUUGCAUGAUUUUUCAUUAAUUAAGUGAAAACAAAAAAAGAAAUUGCGUGGUAAUUAGAAACCAUAUCUAGGGUUGUUGAUGCGGUUUUUAACUUAACAUUGCAGAUGCUUUCGUUGCUUGGAGGUAAGUUUUUGCAAUUUAUUUAUUGUUUAUCUGGGUGUUAAAUUGGUGAAUUGCGCACCCGCAUGAUCACCUCACAUGUUAGGAAGUAGAUUUAAAAUUAAUCCGAACUGCCUGCAAAAAUAUAUUUUGAAAAUUAAUGGAAAUGGUACCGAAAGGGCAUUAGAAAAUUCUAGUGUAACCAAGUUCCCGUACCCUUAAUCUCUGGUUCGUAGGAGUAAAAUAAAUCUCCCUUUAUUUUACUUAGGUGUCUAAUCGACCUACCAUAAACUGAUUAGUGGCGACUCUUAGAUAAUAAUUUUUUGCAUGUUAAGAAACUUGAACCUUUAAGUCGCGAAUUGGUAUGGGCCUGGGAGAGCCCGAGCUAAGUUUGAAGACUUAGUAGUCCAUUAACCUAGUUUUAGGUGGUGCGCCAAAAAAAAAAAAGGCUGCGACACAGACUGAGGCAGCUCACUAUUAGGUUUGACUCUUAUAAGAAGUCUCAUGAUCAAACCAUGAAGCAACAUCUUAGAAAGAUAUCAAACAUGAUAAAUGAGCUGAAAGAUGCUGGCCAUGUCCUGACAGAUGAGCAGCAAGUGCAAGCAGCGAUUCGUUCCUUGUCUUAGAGUUGGGAGCAUAUGAAGGUGCACCUGACCCAUAAUGAUAAUAUCAAAACCUUUGAGGAUGCAGUGCGUCAUCUUGAGCUGGAAGAGAACCGCCUCUUGGCGGCUAAGCCGGAAGCUGAAAUCUAUCAUGCUGGUUCUAGCUCACAUGGAGCUUCGAGCUCUAAGCGCAAACGUCCUAACUGGUUUGAUAAAGGGAAAGACAAGGAAGCAGGUCCUUCAGGGAAGAAACCCAAGCUUAACCAACAUGAAAGAGGAAAGCGCCCUCAAAUGAAGAAGCUUACAAGGGUGAAGUGUUACAACUGUGACAAGAAUGGUCACUAUGCUCGCGACUGUCGUGAGCCAAAGAAGGUAAACACUCCUUGUACUUUUCAGAACUUUACUUUUGUGUCGAGUUCUGUAUUCUUAACUGAGUCUAAUCCUUUGUGGACUGUAGAUUCAGGAGCGACAGACUAUGUAGCGAAGGAUAAAGAAUCUUUCGUGGAAUUUCGACAAGUACCAACUGGAACUAAGUGGAUCUAUGUGGGAAAUAACUCCAGAGCUGAAGUAAAAGGAAUUGGCACCUGCCAACUGAACAUGCGUGGUGGACGCACUUUGUUCCUACAUGAUAUAUUGUAUGCUCUGGAGAUUCGUCGGAAUUUAGUGUCUGUUUUGGUGUUGGUUAAACUAGGUUUUAAUAUGAACUUCCAUAAUAGAGGUGUGGAUUUGUAUUUGAAUACAAACUACUAUGGUUGUGGUUAUUUUCUGGAUGGUUUCAUUGUAUUAGAUAUUGAUUAUGUUAAUGCAAAUGUGUGUUAUUCCAUUCUCACGUCUACUAAUUCGUAUGAUAAUGAUGUAAAUGUGUAGCAUGCUAGACUUGGUCAUAUUGGCUAAUAACGUAUGAAUAGAUUAGCCAAAGAGGGCUUGUUGGGCAACAUUGAAAAAGUCGAUUUGCUCAUAUGUAAGCAUUGCCUAGAAGGGAAAACAACAAGGAAACCAUUUGGAAAAAUGUCAAAGAGCUGAAUUUCCUCUACAUUUAAUCCAUUCUGACGUCUGUGGUCCAAUGAAUGUGAGAGGAAGGCAUGGGGCUGUUUAUUUCAUCACUUUUAUAGAUGAUUAUACUCGAUUCGGAUAUGUCUAUUUGAUUUCUCAUGAAUCUGAAGCAUUGAGUUGUUUCAAAAGAUUUAUAAACUUGGUAGAAAAUCAAUUAGACAAGAAAAUAAAAGCAUUGAGGUCCGAUCGAGGUCCGAUCGAGGUCGAGAAUAUUUAUCUGAUGAGUUCAGAAAAUUAUGUGAUGAAAAAGGAAUAAAAAGACAGUUGUCUAUUCCAUAUACUCCUUAACCAAACGGUGUUGUAGAGAGAAGAAACAGAACCCUACUGGAAAUGGUUAGGUCCAUGAUCACUUUUUGGAGUGAUGCGUUGUUAAUUGCUGCCAUAUACUUAACCCGGUGCCUUCUAAAUCAGUUACUUCCACGCCAUAUAAGUUAUGGACAAGUAAAAAACCGGACUUAAAUUUUCUUAAGCCAUGGGGUUGUGCUGCCUAUACUCAUGAGUCCUCUCACAUGUUUGGAAAAUUGGGUCCCAGAGGAAAGAAGAGUAUUUUCAUAAGAUACUCCGAACACUCGAAAGGGUAUGUGUUCAUAGGUGAGCAGGAAAGUAGGAAUAUAACUGAAUUUGAAUCACAAGAUGUCACAUUCUUAGAGGAUGAAUUUCCUAAGAAGGGCGAAAUAUGGGAAGAUUACUCCCUAUUUGAAAUCUUGGAUCAAGAUAAUGAUAUUAGUGGAGUUCGUCCAAGUGGGAGUAAUAUGAGAAGUGAUGAAUUGAAUUCAACUUAUUCUCAAUUGCAACCACAUGAUGAGACAACGUCAUCAUUAUCUAAUCCAAGUGGGAGCAUAAUGGGGAAUGAUGUGCAAAGUGUACAAUUUCCCAUACGGCGAAUAAGUCGCAAAAGUAUUCCUUGUCGACGUUUUGACAUUGAAAAUGAAACUUUUAUGAUUGCUCUACAAGAUAAGGAUGAGCAAAGAAAUAUUAACGAUGCUCUGAAUUGCCCUAGUAAUGAGAAAUAGAUUCAUGCAAUGGAAGAGGAAAUGGAGUCAAUGAAAUCAAACUAAGUUUGGGAACUGGUUGAUCUUCAAAAAGGACGCAAAGUUAUUGGGAACAAGUGGGUUCUCAAAAUAAAGCGAAAGGUUGUUUGCUCGAUAGAAAGGCAUAAGGCUCGCCUUGUGGCGAAGGGGUAUAAUCAACAAGAGGAAGAUAUGAAGAUACAUUUUCUCCUGUAGUGAGAUUUACCUCGAUUCGCAUUAUUCUGGCAAUAGUGGCUAGUAUGGAUCUUGAAUUACAUCAAAUGGAUGUAAAGACUGCUUUCCUCAAUGGAGAAUUAGAGGAAGAAAUAUAUAUGGAACAACCUACUGGUUUCAUAAUGAAAGGCCAAGAAGAAAAGGUAUGUCGACUUUUGAGGUCGAUAUACGACCUUAAGCAGUCAUCAAGACAAUGGUAUAUACGUUUUCAUAAUGCCAUAAUGGCAUAUGACUUUACAAUGAUAGAUGAGGAUCAUUGUGUAUAUUUAUCAAAAGAUCCAAGGAUCAUUUUGUGAUCAUAUCAUUAUAUGUUGAUGAUUUACUAAUUGCCGGAAGCAAUAUGGAGCUUGUUAAUACUGUCAAGAGUUGGUUGUCUUCCAACUUUGAGAUGAAGGAUAUGGGUGAGGCUGCAUACAUUCUUGGAGUUAAGAUUUCAAGAGAUCGUUCGAAGAGACCAUUAUCUCUUUCGCAAGAAACAUAUAUAAACAAGGUUCUUGAACGAUUUCGUAUGUAAGAUUGUAAAUCUAUAAACACUCCUAUUGCAAAAGGUGAAGGAUUGAGCCAUAGACUGUGUCCAAAGACUCCACAAGAGAAUGAACAAAUGAAGUAUGUUCCUUAUGCUAGUGCUGUUAGGAGCUUGAUGUACGCUAUGAUGUGUACAGACUUGACAUAUGUUUUGCAGUUGGAAUGGUGAGUAGAUACCAAUCCAAUCCAGGUCUAGCACAUUGGAAAGCCGUUAAGAGAAUACUAAGGUAUCUGAAGCGAACUGCUGAUUACAAGUUGAAUUACCAAGGAAAGGAUCUGCGACUUGAAGGCUAUUCAGAUGCUGAUUGGGGAGGAGAUUUAGAUGAAAGAAAAUCUAUCUCUGGAUUUUCUUUCUUAUUGAACAAUGGCGCCAUAUCAUGGAGCAGUAAGAAGCAAACGUGUAUAGCCUUGUCAACGAUGGAAGCUGAGUUUGUGGCAUUAUCAGCAGCGGUACAAGAAGGAGUUUGGCUUAAGAGAUUUUUGGAUCAUUUAGGUGUUAUUGAGAAAGCUGCGAAUCCAUUAUUGGUUAACUGUGAUAGCAAGUAGCUAUUACGUACACUAAAGAUCCAAAAUAUCAUGGCAAGACCAAAUAUAUAGAUACCAAGUAUAAAUUUGUCAAAGAUACGAAAGGAUGUGAACUUACAGUACAUAUCUACGAAUAGAAUGGUAGCAGAUCCUAUGACAAAGCCAAUAUCUAGAGAUGUGUUUUGCGGUCAUGUAAAAUCUCUAGGAUUGCGUAAAGUUUGAUAUACUGGAUUGUAAUUUCCCUGAUUUGUUCACAUUUAUGAACUUGUGUUUUUCAUUGUUAAUGCCUAUGAAUCUUUGUUUGAUCUUUAUGCAUCUUAAUGCUCAGUGCAUUAUUUUAAGUUGAGAAAAUAUGUCGGACAUAUAUAAGAUUAGCCUACUUACAUGGGUAAUCGCCUCUAUUUACUGUGUGAUAAAUAGAGAUGAGACUGUUUUUAAGCUUAUUAUCUAGGUGAUAAUCGAGAGCUCAAGUAUUUUAUUUUAUCUGUCUAUGAUGUCAGAUGUGAGUUCUGAUGAAUUUUGUGAAUGAUUAAAUACGUGAACUCAAGUUUGACAUUGGGUAUGUCUGAAUUAUCAUAUGUACGGUAUUGAAAGGUGUAGACAUACGCUCAAUGGGAAAUGAGUUAAUACCGUAAUACGUAUUUCAUACUACGUAUGCAUGAGCCGACCAAUAAGAGUGUCAAAAGUUUGAUCUCAACUUUUAUGCCGUAUGAGACUCUUGAGGAAAAGAGUUCCUCAAUUUUAGUGCCCUCAUGACUUUUACUUAUUCUAAAGAUUUCUAUUUAGUGUUUGCUAUCUUAGGAUGUUGCCAAUGGUCAUGAGUAGAUUCAAUCUAAUGGGACAUUUCUAGAAAAGCAAGCUAAACUAAAAUUGAGAGUUUGAAGGAAAGAGGAAGAUCGAAUUUGGAGAAUCACAUUGUGUUUUUGUAUUCACUGGUCGACCAAUUAUGACUGUCUCUGGGAUAAUCAAAUUGAGAUAGAUAUAUAUAUCAUUGUUUAAAAGAGAUCAAGAGAGAUAUAAAUGUGAUCGAUCGAUCUAGGGUACUGCAUACUAAAUCUACUCAGAGUGUGAUGCCCAUUAUGAGCUGUUAUAUAUUCCUAACAGAUGUAUAGCAACGAGCUCUCAAAGUAUGCUGGUCGCACGGAUUAUUCAUUGGUAUGAAUAUUGAAGUGAGGUAAAGAGGAUCUUGUUCGGCCCACCAUGUGCGAGUGGGAGAUGAUUUUUUUUUAUGUGAUGGGCCUAAGUUGGCCCGUCUGCCUAUGUUGGGCCUAAAAGCCCGGCCCACAAGAUUAGGGCCCAUGGAUGGAGGGAUAUGAUGAAGGGGUACGUUUCUAUUUUGGAGGAGACGUAUAUAAGGGAGGAAAGAGAGGGAGGACACACCUUUUGGCAUUUGUACGUACGUUCCUCUUCCUCUCUCCCUCCAAAACAAAAACUAAGGCUAAAGGUGACGCUGUCUUCCCUUCAAGGCCAAUCGACGUCAUUGGAUCGAACGAGAUCGGUUUUCUCUUCCUCUAAUCGGCGUCGGUGUUUAAUCUGUGGCUAACAAGGUACGCUCGAUUCCGUGGUGUGCUUUAGGAUCGGUGAUACAUGUUUUUUUUUUUUUCGAGCUCGUCUUCCGCAUUCGUUUUAGGGGUUUGAUUUUGUGUCGAAUCCGGUUUUUGGGAAUCCGACAAUCCCAACACUAAGGAUGAUCAGGCGCGGGAGGAGGGAGGGAACACGGUAAAAGCGGUGAGGUGGCGGGGCAGCGGAGUGCACCGGCAGACUACUCCUGUUCAAUUUCGAUUGGGUUUGUGAGGUUAAUAAUAAUUCAGACGCACACUCAUUAAUGCCACAUUCCAAGCCUAAAUGAACUAAAAAGGACGUGCUUCUGGAUGUCCUUAUCCUUUCUCGUUAUGUUGUUCUUCAUUUUGAAUUUGAAAUAAAGGGUCAUGACCUAGUUAAAAUUAUGGGUUUUAUUUUUCCCACGGGGAACACCAAAGAGGUUCAUGAGAAAAUAUAAUGAGAAAUCUUCCAAUGGCUUGUGGAAUUGGAAAAAUGUGAUGAGAUGGUUUGGUUAUCAAACGGUUGGGAUGAAUUCGUAGAGCAUUAUUCUAUCUGUGUGGGACAAUUUUUGCUCUUCAAAUCUGAAGUGGACUCCAUUUUCAUGUAAUCAUAUUUGAUAAAAGCAAGUCCAAGAUAGAAUAUCCGCCAAUAAAUGCCAAUGGGACGAACCGACCCUCAGUAGUUGGGCAUUUGUCUGGCUGAAAGUGGAAGAUGCCGACGAUUUCCAUGAUGUUUCGGUCAAGCUUGAAGUCUAGGGGGAAGAAUUGCAUUCACCCAAGUGUCCUCGGCUUUGUAAGGGAAUGGAAUCAGAUCGGGUUUGCGAAGUUCAUGACGGUUCCUAUGCACACUCAUCAGCACGGAGUUUGCGAAGAGAUGGAAGUUCGAACUGCUUAUCAUGAGAUUUUCGAGGUAUGAAUCUUAGUCUAUGAGCUGGUUCUCCAUUUGACUAUGUUCUCGUGUUUGAUUCCAAUUCCGUAUUCCAUAUAGGAACUCUCCACGUGAUUUGGCUAAGAGAGGGAGCGUUAAAGAUAAUUCAUCCUUGUAGUGUUUAUCUAUCUCUAGCUUUCCCAUGUGUGCAUAUGUAUGUUUUAGGGGAUCUCAUAAAUGUCAAGCCAAUGGAAACAGGCCGAAUGAGUCUUAUCGGAUUUGAUUGUGCUGAAAAUGACAUUGGUGUGCAUAUAGGCCUCGAAAGCUAGACCAUUAGAAAGACCCAGAUCCAUCAAAUUGGGGUUGAUGUGUCGGGAAAUAUGAAUUUCACAUAAUAAGAAUAGCAUAUGCCUAAGCUUUCUUCAUGUUCUAAUUUGCGACUGUUGCAGAUAAACUGAAACAACUGGGCUUGCGCAGAGUUGUCAAAUCGGCCAGCAAAAUUAAACCGACCACAUUGCGGUGAGGUCAAUAUAUCUAAAGAAAAGCAAUGUGGUAUGAUCCUCCUGACAAUGACAACACUUGAAUUUAAAUCACAGAGUCGCUAAACUAUAUUUGUGACAUCCUGAAAUUCGACCCCAUUUCGAUAAAGUGAAAUGGACAUUUCGUCAACGUGCUUAGGGUCCUUUUUCUCUGAACUGAUCACUCACGAGUUAACUAACCAAUUGGGUGAAGCCGUUAAGGGACGUAUCUGCAGUAAAAUCCCUAAAAGCUACUCAAUUUGUUGGAUUGGACUAAAAUCACGUUUGAUCGAUUUUUAACCACGAAAUUGAACUCGAUUUCGGGAAUCGAAUUUUAAGCGCGUCAUAAUUCUUAUUUUUAGGAUCCUGUCUCAUCGUUCGUCAAUUUAUUGACGAGUCCGAAAUUUCAAGAAAGAAAUUAUCGGAAGAAAAAUUAAAGCACGAAAGAAAAUAAAAAGAGAAAGAGAAGAGAAAAUAAAAUAAGAAUAAUUAUAUUAGUUUUACUUUAUUUUUCCCUCUCUCCCUCUCUCUUCUUUUCUUUCUUUUUCUUUCUCUUCUCUUCUCUCUCUCUUCUCUCCCCUCUCCCUUUUUCCCCUCGUGCAAUUCCCCCACCGCCUACCUUUUCUCUCUCUUUUCCCUCUUUGACCGGUCAAUACCUAUCCUCUCUGUCUCUCUCUUUCUUUUUCUUCAUCUUCCUCCCCGUGCAUCCGAAGAAGCGUACCAGAAGAGGAAGCUUGAGCAGAAGCCGCUGCUCACCGCCCGUCCCGUCGCUCGCACCCGCGACGCCCGCCCGCGCACGUCGUGCGCUCCGCCCCGCGUCCGUCGCCGCUGCCGCUCCUUCCUCGCGCGAAUCAGCCCCUGCUCAGCUCGGUUCCGUCCCGACCAGCCCCCGUCCGGCCACCUCCAGCCGCCGUUCGACCUCGCCGGACUUCCCCGGCGUCCCCCUCGUCCUCCGCCGGCCUCCCCUCGCCGUUUUGGCCGCCGGAGCAGCCCCGGCCAACCCCGACCAGCAACCCACGAAAUGGAUUUCUAGCGGCUUUAGGCCCGCUUUGAGCCGUUCCGAGCCCCGAACCCGAGCCGUGCUUUGGAGUUUGUUAUUCCUCGUGUCGCCCCCGUCUGAUUGAUCCGAUUUGCACGCGAUUUGGUGAGUAAUCUCACUAAUCUGGAUUAGUUGGCUAAUUAUGUUUAAGGUUGGUUUAUUUUUAAUUAAUUAUGUUUAGGUUGUUAGAUUAGAAUAAAUUAGCAAUUAUUAGUCAAUUGUGAUGCGAUUUAGAUAAAUUGAUUGCGUAAUUAGCAAGUAGACGUGGUCUACUAAUUAUUGGAAGUAUCUCGGGAAUUUUCCGACCCAUAAUCGGGCUUCAAUUUGGCGAUUCGGACCUAAGUGGGAUUUUUGGCAUUUAAAUAUUAUUUUUCGGAAUUAAAUUAAUUUUUUAUUUAUUUUCCGAAAAUUCAACUGGGAUGGUCAGUGACCGGAAUAUUAUCUUGAUGACUGUGGUGAAGUCCGUUUAUUUAAUCGCGCUUUAUUUUGAGCUAAAUUGAAUUUUUAAUAUUAAUUAUUUAAUUUUCGAAAUUAAUUAAUUAUUUAUUUAUUUCCUGAAAAUUCAACUGGGAUGGCCCGUGACCGGAAAUUUAUGCUGGUAAUCGUGGUGCAGUCCGUUUAUUUAAUUGGGCCUUAUUUUGAGCUAAACGGAAUAUUUAAUAUUUAAUAAUUAAUUUUCGAAAUUAAUUAAUUAAUUAAUUAUUUUUCGGAAAUUAUGAUUGAGAUGGUCGACGACCGAAAUCUCGUGCUGAUUGUCGUGGCACAGUCCGUUUAUUUAUUUGAGCUUUGAAUUGUGCUGAAUUGAUUUAAUUGUGGAUAUUUAGGAUAUAUUCCUAAAUUGAUUAUUUGGGUAAGUUGAGUACGAAUUAAGGUUGUGUAUAAUUACUUUAGAAAUGUGAUGAAUCAUCAUGAAAGGCACGUGGCUCGGUGAAUAGUACAUCAUCUCGGAGAAUGCACGUGGCUCGGCGAUUUGGUAUAUCGCUUCGGAGAAUGCACGUGGCUCGAUGAUUAGUACGUCGCCUUGGAGAAUGCACGGGGCUUGAUGAUUAGAUAUAUCACCUCGGAGAAUGCACAUGGCUCGGUGAUGAAGUAUGUCGCCUUGGAGAAUGCAUGUGGCUCGGUGAUUAAGUGUGGCAUCUUGAAAGAGACACGUGGGCUCGGUAAUUUGAUGCAUUACCUCGGAGAAUACACGUGGUCUCAAUGAGUACAUUUGGCAUCUUGAAGAGACACGUGGGCUCGGUGACUUGAUGCAUUGCCUCGGAGAAUGCACGUGGGCUCGCUGAUUCAGAAUGGCAUUUUAAAGGGCACGUGGGCUCGGUAAAUUAAUGCAUUACCUCGGAGAAUACACGUGGCUCGGUGAUUGAUUCUAUUAGUUAUGACUAUAUAGCAAUGACUAGAAUGACCUAGAGAUGGUCCGGCUGACAUGUAAUUGACUAGGUCGAUUGAUCAUUGCUUUGAUUUGACGUCGUGAAUUGAUCGACUGAUUGGGAAUGACCGUGAGUGGUCUUGUUGGCAUAUAAUUGACUAGGUCGAUUUGAUCGAUGCUUCGAUCUGUGAUGUGAUUUCUUGGGUGUCUAUUUGAUCUGUGCUAACAUGCAGGUGGGAUCUGAGGCCGAGGUACGUCUUCUGCCCUAUGCGUGUAUAGGCAGCCUAUAGUAUAAUGAUUUACUAAUCGGGCUUAGUGGGGUAGAACUCGCUGAGAUGUAGUCUCAUCCCAGUUUGGGGAAAACAUUUCAGGACUUCGAUGAGGAGCUGAGGAGGAGGAGUCUGAGAAUGAGAACUCGGAGGUGAAACCUGAGGAGAAGGAUUUUUUUGAAAGAAGAAGAUAAUACUGAGAGGAGUCUUAAAUAUGAUGUGAAUAGAAAUAGAGUAAAAAGUUGUGAAGUACUCUGGUUUGUGUUUUGUAUAAAAGGUUUGGUUAUAAGGUUCAAUAUGAAAAAUAUGACCCUGCUUUUCUAUCCCAUUGUUUUAUUGUCUGGGGAUUUAUAACUGCUUCCGCAUGUGCUUAAUAAAUGAAAGGGUCGGCGAUACAUUGUCCUGGGAUAUCGCAUUAUAAAAUCGACCAAGUGAGAAGGAUGUGUGCGUGCCCGAGGAUCGGGGCGUGACAAUAUUAGCUCUAGAUUGAUUGUGCAUCGGGUCAUUAAUUUCUGUUUUUAUCCUUGACAUGCUUUGAAAAGGAUCCUCGUACUGUCUUGGUUAGAAAUCGUUGGUUGUCUUCUUCUUUCUGAUGACAAAACUGCCGAACGUGCGCUUGAGCAAAGAGUUCCCGGUCCAUUCCCAAAGAUGCACUUCAAGAAAAGCCUGUAGACUGUGGCUCUUAUAUAUCAGGACAAAUCGUGGCCGGUGAAGCGCAUUAGCCACGAACAUUAUGGAAAGUCAUCUAUUGGUUGGGCUACUUUCUCGAGAGAAACUUCUCUGAAGGAGUGAGGCUUGUGCAUGUUCGAGUUCUAUUAGAAGGGGCAACGUCGUGUUCAGAGUAUACAUCUUCAAGACCACUAGCCAGAGGUAGCUGAAAAAUCCUAUGCAAUAGGACACGGCAAAGGAAGCAUCACUUUAGCUCAGAAUUGCUUGGCUAAAAUCUGCUUCAAAUUUGACAAAUCAGAAAAAAGCAUGAGUUUUAUUCUAAUGAAUGGAAAGAUACCUUUAAUCGAUCCUAGCGUUACAAUCACCAUGUGGGGAUGAGUCAUGAGUCAUGAGACGGAGGAAGCUAAUUGCAUCUAGUACAAGUCACACAGCCUCAUUUCCUUACUCCUCCCAUAGUAGAUUUCCGUUGUCAUCGGACCACUCUCUAUACUUCAAAACACAAAAGGAAAUUUAUAUUCAUUUAAGCAAAGAGAGAUAAUAAAAGGAUGUAAAAGCCGUCCUUCGAGUCUAUAUUAAUCAAAAUAUUUAGUGCUCUCUUGCAGUUAAUACAUAGAUUCUGAUUAUAAUCGGACAUCUACUGAGCACAACCGAAGAAGAGUUCUAUAAGCCAGCAAUGACAUAAAAAAUAGUUCCACAAGAGGGCUCAACCUCCUCGACUUAUUAAAUGAAUCACAAGGCAAGGAAAAGAGAACUUGGGCAAUUAAUGGCAUUAAACACAAUUAAUGCGAAUUAUGCAGGAAUUAUUAGAAUUAUAGUGAGCUGGGGCUUAGAUGGUGUUCCUUACUCAUGUCAAUUGAUGAUGAUAAAGAAAAGUAACUAUGUGAAAGUUACCAAAACAUUUAAAAAUUUAGUGUCACUUUAAAACUUACAAAAUUUAUUAAUCAGAUAAAAAAAAUUUACAAAUUAUGUACGGUUACAAAUUACUUUCAAUCUGCGGAACGUUACUUACAAAUUUGAAAAACUCUUUUAUGCAUGUGACACUCCAAAUUCCAUAUGGAUUGGAAGAGGGAUAAUUGACCAAUAGAUAAGUGUGAACACGAACCACCCCCGCUAGAUAUUCAUCCCCGCUAGAUAUUCAUCUCCCGAAAAACUUAUUUAGGGGCUUAAAUCAUAACAAACCGGAUUGUUAAUAUUAGAAAAUUUCAUGCCUGACUUAUAGCUCGAACUUGCACAUUAAUUAAAGAUAUUUAACUUUUACUAGCCGAGUGAGUAGACAAAUCUAGCGAGCAAUUAUCUACUUGGUAUUUGGCUCAAAUAAAGGUUGUACUCUACAAUGUUGACUUAAGAAAAGUAUAUAAUUCUCUCAAAUUAAGAUAGGUAAUUUCACACAAAAAUUGUUAAGCGUGAUUGUGGUUGGUGGAGGAGAAACACCUAUGUAGAUAAACCAAGAAAGCGAAUCUUCUUAAUACCAAAGUAAGUUAUACUAGCCAUUUAACUUAAUUCUCCAAAAAAGUAUCAACUUUAUCUGGAGUAUCAAUUCAGGCAUAACCUUUUUUUUGUAACAAAAAAUCAUCAACUUCCAUGCCUAAAUCUGACCCCGAUUAGCUUUCCAUCAACUAUUGGUGUUAAAUGUUUGAUGCAUCAAUUUCACGUCAUUAUCUUUUUCCAAGUCAGAAUUCAUAUAUAUAUGCUGUCUUCUUUUUUCUUUUUUUCUUUUUUCCAUUUUCCUUUUUCUUUCUUCUUCUUCUUCCUUUCACUGGACGAUAACCUGACCACCGUGAGUCAGCCGUACGAUCCAAUCGGACGAGGUCACAUGACUUCCUCUUGGUUAAGUCACCCCAAACAGGGAGGCCAAUCUGUAGUUUCAACACUCUGAAUCCCUUUCGAGUGACAUGUACCAUGAUCUCAUGAAGGUAAAUGGAGUAACGCAAAUUGAGAAGAUUUCAAUCUAUUUUGUAAAGCUCUGGCCACCCAGAAAGAGGACAAGAGAGAAAGAGGUUCAUUUCAAGAACCAUCAUCAGAAGGAAAUUGAAUAGCUACAGUACAAACUGUUAUUCUGAUCUUAUUAUGUGGAUCAAAUCAAUGUACAAAGAGCAUUAGGAUACAUCAUCACGGAAUUGAUAUUCUCGCUCCCUGCUACAGAGAAAGCAAGUUUCCUAUAGAUAUUCUAAUAGGUCUUGUUGACUCUCCAGUUCCCAAAUCACCGCUUUACCAUCCAAUCCUGUCAUUUAGGGAUUGGAAAAUCAGUUGGCCUCUUUAAAAAGAAAGCGAAAAGAUAAUCCACUUCAAGCAUUAAGAAACAUGAGAUAAAAGUACGUUUGUUUGCCAACCUGAAAUGUCGAAGCGUGUUAUGGUCGAACUUCCAGCCUCCCCAAGUGGCACAAUACAACUGCAGUCACACAAAAUUAAUCUUGCGUAAGUCAUUCAUCCCAUGAUAUUGGCAUUUUACUCAUCAACUCUCCUAAUCCACAUCAUCUACUGGACUCAUGUUUGGAAAUGCCAGAAGAAAAAAAUCUGGAGAAGAGUUCAAGCUUAAUAUACAUCGACGCAGGCACGCAUGCAGUCCAAUUAGCACAAGAAAAACAGCUGUAAGAUGACUGUCAUCUUUAUAAUGUAAAAAGGAAGAAGUGAUUGUUAUCAUGUUGAUAGAUACGUUAUGCAGUUCUCGUGAACCCCUCCUCGCUGUCUUGAAUUGUCAACGCCAUCAUACGUUAUGCAAAACGGCGUCGUUUUGGGUUCCGUUCGCCGGAAAAAGGCCACAUCGACGUUUUGGCUGAAUUUUGGCCGGAUUGGCACUCAAGUGAUCCAUUUUACUCCGAUUUUGGUACUUAAGUGUACCUUUCGUAAGUUAUGGCACUUAAGUAUCCCUUUGGGCAAAGUUAAGGCACUUCAGGGGUCCGCACGUCUUAGGAUAUCCAUUGAAAAUGACCAUGAACCUAAUUUAAAGAUUCACCCACAUAAAGUCCCAAUCCCUUUAUCAAUUCAAAUUAUUUUUUUGAAAUUCUUUACCGUGGAGACUAUGGGAGUCUGGAGCAAAAGUAAGUGACAAUGGAUGUCGGCAUCAACUUUUUCCAGUGGAAAAUAAAGCAUGCUUUUUUUUUUUUUGGUAUAGUAUCGCCGAAGGCAUAAGGCAGGUUCAUCAAAUGUAUGGCACUUGGUCAAUUAUUUGGUUACCCACAAACUUUUUAGACGGUUGUACAAUUCCUUACUAAAAUUAGAGAGUAAAUGUGACUUCAAUCAGUAAGGUAAGGUUUUAAAGAUUUUGGCAUUUUCACUUAAAUAAGUAUGAAAGCAGAGUACAAAGAUCAAGAGGAUGUUUCAUCUUUCAAUUGAAAAUUAAAACUGUCCGAGCACUAGAAAUCGGACCUUCAACAAGUCAGAGUACCACGGCUGGAAACUAAACUUAAUCUAGAAAUCGCGCAUCAUGGGGACCUCCAAAAGAAGGAAAAAAGCACGGAAGAAACAAUUGGUGAAAGCGAACGGUGAACCGACCGAACAACCUCUACAUAUGCAUAUAUUUCCAAAGAAUAACCCCGUCUCACUUAUAGGGAUGAUUAUGAGGGGCUCUCUUUCAAAAAAUCUGUGAAAAAUUGAAAGACAAUACAUGAAAAGUCAAAACUUAUUUUCAACUAAUGCUCAACAUUACCUUAGUUGGGUAGAAGGCUCCAAGUUGGCUCAAGUCAUAUAUGUCAAUAAGUAGAAUAUCAUCAAAGUUGCCCUUCAAUAUAUAAAUCAAUAACACGGCCAUUUUAAGUUUUAGAGCUAUUUUGAUUUGCAUACCAUUUCAAAAAUAAAACCUCAAUUUUUUUUCCCUUUCAGUUAGCUUGAUUAUAAUUUUACUUCUCUAUUUUUUAAUAUGAUUUCAUGCCAACACGAGGAGUGGGCUUAGGAAUAGUACCUAAUCCUUUUUUGCGCUCAAAUCUCUUUGCCUUCUUUGUCCCUAAUCAUUCUUGCUUUGUUUCGCUCUUCCAUUAUUCUCUGUCUCUUUGUUUUUGUUUUUGUUUUUUUUUUCUGGGUUUUCUCAACUAAAAAAAAAAAAAAUCAAAGAAAAAUUUAAAAUCGAUGAGACUGUUGAGAAAAAAUGGGAAACAUCACAUUAAAUUCAUCUCAAGAAGUAUUUGUGGUUAAAGAGCAAGAGCAAAAAAACAUUAGAAAAAUCUCAAUUAUAUCAUCAAAUGAUAAUUUUUUUGAUAAUGUUCUGCUUGGGCUAUGAGUGCAUCAACCUCGAAAAUCCACGUCUAUGCUGGCUCCAUCUAUUUGUCUUCUUGACUCCUUAAAAAAGGAAGUCAUGAUAUUUUUUUCUUGGAUUGCUACAAAAUUUAACAGUUAAUACUUUUGACAUUUCACACAUAAUCAAUGAUGAUAUGGGCAUGCAUCUUCAAUCUUCCAUUACCGCUUUAUUGCACCGAAAGGUGAAUUCCCAAGACUGAAAGAGAAAGAUUCCUCUGGUGGGCCUUCCGUUCCACCGAAACCCUUGAAAAAUAGUCAAGAGGAUCUUCUAAAGUCGUUGUGAUGAUUUGGUGUAUACAUGCAUAUUCACACACAUUGGGCGAGGCUAUUCACUCUCCCAAUUUAGCUUAAAAUCACAUCCUUUUAAGUAAACUCAAUUAUUAAUAGACCUGCAUUUUAUUUAAAAAUAAACAAAUCUGCCUUUUCCAAUUUCUCUCUCAUCUAUUGCCUGGUCUAUUUGAGAGUGCUAGUAUGAAUACCUAGAGGGGGUGAAUAGGUGUUUAAAAUAAACCUUGGCAAAUAUAUGCGGAAUAAAAUAAACUUCAAGUAAAAUAAAGGAGUUAAGGAAGAGAAUAAGAACACAAUGUUUAUAGUGGUUCGGCUUAAUCCAAGCCUACGUCCACUCUCCCACGCUAACAGCCUUCUUGGCUGGAUUCCACUAUGCAAUCAACAAGAGAUUACAACUUUGAGUGCAAACACUUAGUAGUAGAUCACACUAUCUCACUAAGUCACUCUUUUGGUAUUUCUCUCACGAUCACAAAUGUUUAAGCUCUCCAAAGACAAGUGUAUGAUCGAAGGUCGCUCAGACUUUGGAAUUAUAAAUUUUACGCUCCGUCUCUUACUUGCUCAUCGGUCCUUCAUCUCCUUAAAUACUCCUCCACUUCCAAACUAGCCGUUGGACAAUAUCUUGAGGAUCGUCUUCCAAUAUACCCAUUGGACAGCUCUGUAUCUAGAAGAUUUGGUAGCCGUUGAGUGACAAAGGUAAAAUCCCAAAUUAAUUCCAAUCGCCCAUACAAACGGAAUCUUGGUUUCCAUAAGUAAAGCUUCUUCGUAUAGAAAGAUCUUAUCUUCAAGAUCCAAUUGUCAAUCAAAUAGAUUGAGUCAAUCAAAUCAAUCUUGAUGUGGAAUCCAAACCAGAUCACUAGCCGUUAUAUGAUUGGGCUUGAGUUACGUUCUGUCAAGUUCUGGAUAUAAAGUCUGAGAGUAAUAGACUUUACAAUCUGAGUCUGAGUGUGAUAGACUUUGCAAUCUGGGUCUGAACAUAUUCUGCUUCUGAACAGAUUUAGCUUUAAGGUCUGAGUUCAGCUCCAACAUAGAGUCUGUCUUAUGGUUCAGCUUCAGCAUAGAGUCUGUCUUCUGGUUCAUCAUUCACGUUCAGUCUGGAAUUUGUUAGAAUGAGCAGACUUCUGAUGUAGAAUAGACUUUGACACUAAAGUCUGGCAGUCUUCAGACUUUGAGUCUUGAGUCUAGCAAUCUUCAGACUUUGAGUCUUGAGUCUGGCAGUCUUUAGACUUUGACACAGAAGUCUGGAAAUCUUCAAAAUAUACUCUAGACAUAUGUUACAUUCAGUCUUCUGGCCGUCUUCUGACUUUGAUAAUAUCUUCUAUAUGUUCUAACAUCUGCAUGGUCUAUUACUCAACCAUCAAACAUGUUAGUAGCCUUUGAUUUAUUUUGUCAUCUUCAAAACAUCAUAAGGGAUUUCCCUAACAAUCUCCCCAUUUUUUAUGAUGACAAAACAAUCUCUGAAUAUGCAAAUUUGUAAACAUGCUUUUAAAGAUAUUAAUUUAAAUCAAAGGAUAUCAGAAGAUAACAAAUAGAUUGAGCAUAAUAAUAUAUAGAAAAUAAUCGCAGCUCAAUAUUAUGCAAUAAAUAAUAUCAACAAAUCAGCACAUAUGCAUAUUCAUAUCUUCUCCCCCUUUUUGUCAUAAUCAAAAAGCGAUUAUGAUGGAAAAAGUAUCACAUAGAGAAUAGAGAAUGAUAACAAAUAUGUCUUGCAUAAUUUCCAAAAAUAAGCUUUUAUAAGGUAAAUCGAAUAUUAAAAAUAUGCAGUAUAGCUCACUUCGAUCAUAUCGGCAAAUAUCCAAUAAAAAUCAUGGAUGCAUCAUAACUUGCACGUACCCUUUCCUUCCAUCCAUAAUAAGAUCACGAUCAAUCCAAAAAGAUUUUUCCAUAAUUGAUCAAGGCUCCCCCUCAAUUUGUUGCAUUUUUGAGAUGAUCACGAUUCUUUCAUUUUUCUUGGAUUUGCUUUCUCCCCCUAUGAUCAUGGCAAUAUUUGCGAAUAGAAACAAUUGUUGCUUGUUGUCGCGACCUAAAUUUUUAGGGUGGGUGAACCACCUAGGGUUUGGCUAAUGGAUUACUAAGUCUUUAAGCUUAGCUCGAACCCUCCCAAGCCCAUACCAAUUCGCGACUUAGAUUCAAAUUUCUUAACAUGCAAAUUGAUUUUAUUUAGGAGUCGCCACUAAUCAGUUUAUGGUAGGUCGAUUAGACACCUAAGUAAAAUAAUGGGAGAAUUACUUUACUCCUACGAACCAGAGACUAAGGGUACGGGGACUUGAUUACAUUAGAUUUCUCUAAUGCCCUUUCGGUACCAUUCUUUUUAUUUUCAAAAAUGUUUGGCAAUUGAAUUGAUUUUAAACUAACUUCCUAACGUGUGAGGUGAUCAUACAUGUGCGCAUACCACCAAUUUAACACUCAAGAAAACAAUUAAAUAUUGCAAAACAUACCUAGGAGCAACGAAAGCAUCUGCAUUGUUAAAUCAGAAUUCACAUCAGCAGCCCUAGAUAUGAUUUCUAAUUAACAAGCAAUUACUCAAUUUUUGUUUUCACUUUAUUUAAUGAAAAUCAUGCGAUGCAUGCUAAUAAUCUAAUAUGACGGGGCAGCAUGACCUAAACUAUAUGACAUGAAGAAAUGGAAUAAUUAAAUGCAAUCUAAAUGACCUAAUUCUAAUGACAUGCAAUGCGAUGCAAUGACAUACAAAAUUAUUUAACCUAAAAUGACAUGCGACCUAUAUGUCAAGCGACAUUUAUUAAAUGACAUAAUCUAAUGACGGGCAAUUUCUAAUUAGAAAUGAACCUAACAAUAAUCACUAAAAUGACGUGCAUUUCAUGGACUUAAUUUUAUAUAACGUGCACAUGAUUUUUCUAUUCUAAAAAAUGAAAUCUAUUCCUAGAAAUUGCAACUAAUUUAUCCUAAGACAAAUUUUAUGAAAUUCGAAAUUUAAAAAUGCAAAGGUGAUCUAGCCAAAUUAAGAUUCUAUCCAAUUUAAACUAGGGAUUAAGUUAUACCAAAUCCUAAUUUAAACUAAGACAUUAUCCAAAUCUAUGAUGCAAUUUAUCUAAUAUGCAAUGACAUGCAGAGAAUGCCCUAAUUCUAUAUGACAUAUGCAUGAUAUUUUAUAUCUUUUGUUUUUUUAUUUAAAAUUCAAAAUUUAAAAUUGCCACGUAAUUAAUCAUGCAAUUAAAAUCCUAACUUAAUGCAUUUUUUUAAAUAUUUUUUUGAACUAAAAUUGCUAUCCUAGAUAUGCAAGAUAACAAGAAAUAUUCUAAAACAACCUGAAUCUUGAUUCAAAAUUUUUUUGGGUUUUUUAGUGAUCAAGCACUUAUCAACUAAACAUUAAAUCUAAACAGUUAAUAUAAUCACUCAAUAAAGGAUCAAGAUAAUUGAAAAAAUAACCUGUCGUCUCACAGGUUAAAUUAACAAUUAUUCUAACCCUAACUAUCACAAAACUCAAAAUAAUUAAAAAUCUAGUCCGAAGUCUUACGGACCAAAUUAAAUAAUUAUCAUGAUUUAACAAUUGAGAUUCUACCAAAAAGCCCAAAAAUUAAAAAUAAUUAGAAAAAUGAUCCGAUGUCUCUCGGAUCAAAUUAAUAAUUAUAUUAAUUUCGGACAAAAUCCCUACGGAUAAUGCAUAUUAAAGUCACAAAUAUUAACAUCAAAUAUUACAAGUUAAAUAGAUGAACUAAAAAUGAGAUAAAAUAGAACAAAAUAAAUAAAAGAAAAAGCUAAACCACCUAAAGAAAGAGGGGCUUGCUGCAGCGUUGAUGGGUGCCGGACGGAGGAUGGCCGGCGUCAGAGCUCCGGCGAGGGCACAGCAGGUGCACAGUGAGGAGGUGUCGCAGGGCGCGGGGCCUGCUGUCGGGCACCGAGGAGACGUGAGCAACAACGAUGUGGGCUCUGGCGGUGUUGGGUUGCGGCAGGAACAGCAGCACGGCGGCGGCUAAGCGUCAGGUCUCGGCGCGGUUCGGCAGCAGUGUCGGCGACGCACGGGUCUUCGGCUCCGAGUAGCAGCAGGCGGCGGUGAAGAGAGUCUCCAGCGGCAACGGGUCACCGGAAUCGUGGGUCAGCGCGGCACGAACAACAGAGGAGAUGCGGGCCGGUACGGGGGCUCACUCGGCGGUGGAACGACGACCAGCUCGGAUCUGCGAUCGUCGGGGCUCUCGAGUGGGCAGAUCAGGAUAGCGGUGGUAUCGCGGAGAGGCGGAGACGCGGCGUGGGUGGCAGGGUGGCGACGGCGCAGGGGCGGAGGUGCGUUGGAGGCUGGCGUCGCGGUGCCGGCGCAACGCACGGUCGGCGCGUCGGGGUCUCCGCGAGUUGCAGCGGCGGCAGGUGAGGAGUGGCUCCGGCGUCACGAACCAGCGCGGAUUGGAGAUGAGGCGGAGAACGCGGAUUGGUUAGGCAGCAGCAGAAACCUGGCUAAAAGCGCCGGCGAUAGGGCCGGCGUGGGUGCUCACGGACGGACACUCCAAAAGGAAGGUCCGGUGUCGUCGGAUCUUGGUUGCAAACGAAAUUGCAGAAGUGGGGCAGCAAUUUGGGGAAGAUGAUGAACAGUAAAGGUCAAAUCAACCUUUACUGUUUCAGCCGCUUCCCCCUCAAACUCACUUCUCUCUUUUACUUUUUUUUUUUUUGGUACUUUCUGCAGGAAAAUUUUCUUUUCUUUCUCCUUUCUUUUCUGAAUUUUUUUCUAGAGAAGCCCCCCCACAGAAACUCCCCACGGAUGGCUUCUCUCUUUCACUUUUUCUGAAUUUUUUUUCAAAGAAGCUCCACACACGGAUCCUCGUACACGGUUGCUUUUAUAGGGGGUAAGAGAUAAGCCUUCAAUUUCCCCUUCAAAUCUAUAUCCGUGAUACAUUUUCACCAACCGAUCACUACUGAUAAAAAUUCAAGAUUACAAUAAAUAUUUACUCGAAAUCCAAAUCUCGCAAAAGAUAAGUCGCAAUAUUUUUUCACACAUGUGCUCUAUCCAAAAGAUUCAUAUCCCGGAAUAAUUUCAAAAUUUUUAUUUUUCACGAGAUAAUUAAAACACAUGGGCUUGGGCCAACCAGCUUGCUUCGUGGGCUUAGUCCAACUAAUUUGAACCCAUUCGCAUUGAUCCGAUAAAUAAAAUGCCAAAUGCAAAUAUAAAUCUAUAUGCUAUAAAGUUUAACUCCUAAUUUCCUAUGCAAUAAAUAAAUAAACUAAAUCGUCAAAAUUUAGGUGUCAACACUUGUUAAACAUAAUAAUUUUUUUUUUCAGUAUUUCCUUUGUAGCAACAACAUCUGCAACGAUCACUUGCAUUUUGAAAUUCGAGGCAAAAAUUUAUUUUCUUCAAUUAAGCUUUUCUCGAAUUUAACCUGCAUCAACUUAACAAAUUUUUUCACAAAUAAGCUGUAAUAAUAUCCACGUGAUAUAUAAUACCAUUUUCUUCAAAUAGAUAAAUUGAAUAGCAUAUAUAAAAUUAUCAAAUAUUAAAAUUCAAAACUAUUCAACAUUUUGUACGAUGCAUAAGGGAUUUCUUCAACAAUUUGCAAAAAUUUGCACAAGGAAUAGAAUAUAGAAUCUCCAUGAUUUUCUGAUUGAGUUUUCCAAAAAUCCAUAUGGAAGAUUCUUUUGUGACCUGCAAAUUCUUAUAUAACAGAUAAUAAUCUUUGCAAGAAUGUCACGUAAUAUCUUCCUUUGAUUUGUGGAUCAAACUUGCUAGAUAUAAUAUAUCUUCUAAGAAUAUAGCAAGAAUAUCCAUGAAUAUGCAGUAAUAUCUUUCGAGAUCAAAGAGAUUUCCUUGAGCAUAAAUUUCAGAUAUGCAUUUUGCAAAAGGAAAAUAGAUAUUUCUGUCACGUGCCAAAAUUGCAAUACCUUAUAUUUAUGACAAAAGAUAUUUGCAAUAUAAUAAACAAUCAUCCAAAAUGCACGUAGAAAUUUAUAAAGCGGGAUGAUAAAAAAAUAAUUCUCUUACCCAGGUAUAUGUUUGAAAUAUACCAUUGAAAAUAAAAAUCAUUACCAAUCUUCAUAGGAGAUAUUUUUCUGAUUGCACCAAAAUUUGUGUAGAUUUGUAAUCAUUCUUGCCUUAUUGAAUUUCCUGCAAUCAACUCAUUUUCUUUUUGGUAUCCAUUUGGAUCCUUCCAUGACAUUAGAGCAAAAUAUAUAAUCUCCAAAUAUUCUUUCUUAAUUCAUCAUAACAGAGUACUCAGAGAAAGAAUAUUAUGCACAAUGAUAUAAAUUCUUACUUAGUCAUGGUACGAUAAAAACAGAGAGAAUAAAAUCUUUGAAUAUCUAAGAAUAUCUUGCAUCAUCACGUAAAACAGAUUUUCACUUUGCAAAAUAUGAUUAAAUCUGAGAGUAUAAAAUUAGACAAAAUAAUCUGAAUUAUCUCAAAUAAUCACACGUACUAAAUCAAAUCUCAACUCACAAAUCAAAAAACAAAUCAUACGAUUCUUUCUUCCAUAAAGCAAAAUAUGAUCAUUAUAAAAUCUCAAUCAACCAAGGAUAUAUCGAAUAUGAGAAUUAUGUUCCCAAAUCAAAUUAAAAAUUUACCUUCCUUACCAAAUUCUCUUUCUUCUUUCUUCUUUAUAUCCUGCAAAAAAAAAAAAAAUAAUAACUCAUCUUUUCUUUGGUACCCAUUUUUUCUUGGGUCCAUGAGAGUUAGUAGAGUAUGCUGUUUUUAUCCAAUUUUUCUUGAUAGGUCUCCAGACUUUAGGACAUUCUUUCUCAAAGUGAUUUGAAUCUCCACAAUUUGAACAUUUGAGGGCAUUUCGACCAACGGGUUUUACAAACACUUUUUGAAAAUGAUUUUUAUAAAAUGUCUUUGGAGGUCUUUGUUUAAGUCUCUCCUUGACUUUAGGAAAAUCAAUUAAAUAAUCACUUUCCUUAUUGAAACCAAGUCCCGACUUAUUAUAGUAAGGAACUUGUAGAGAGAGGAUAUGCUCUAAUGUUUUUGAUCCAUUUGAAAAUCUUGUCGAAAUAUUUGAAAAUUCUUUCUUCAAAGAAUCAUUUUCUUUGACAAGUAAAUCUCGACUUUUUUUUGUUUGUAGAAAAUCUUUUUGCAAAAUUUCAAAAUUUUCUUUUUGAGAAAGAUCUUGUUGCCUAAGUCGAGAAUUCUCCUUUUUAAGUUCGAAAAUCCUUUUAAGAGAAGAUUUGAGAUUUGAACAAAGCUCAUUUAUAUACUUUGAAACUUUGAAAGGAAUUGCUGAAUGACUUACCUUGAUUUCCUCAUCGGAUUCUGAGUCUGAUUAUGAAUCAGACUUUGAUUCUGAGUUUGUGUCUGAGUCAGACUCAGAUUCUGAAUGUGCCAUCAAGCAUAAAUUUCCUUUCUCAUCAUCUUCUUUUAUUGUUCUUGUCUGGCCAUUCUGCUUGUAUUUUCUUCCAUCGAAUUUCCUUCCUUUUCUACUCAGCUUUUUGAAUUUCUUGACCAUAAAGGCAAGUUCUUCAUCGUCCAUGUCAUUUUCUGAGUCUGUUUCAUCAAAAACAGCAUUAGAUAUUAAAGCAAUGGACUUCUUACCUUCGGGAUCUUCAUCGUUGAUUUGUUCCACUUCAUAGGACUGAAGAGUGCCGAUCAAUUCAUCAACGGUGAGUAGCAUAAUCCUUUGAGUCUCCCGGAUUGAGGUCUUGACAUGGUUCCAAUCUUUUGAGAGACCUCGCAAGAGUUUGUUGACCUUCAUUGGGGCAAAAAUUUGAUGACCUUGAUAUGCUAAACCAUUUACAAUUUCUGUAAAACGGCUAAACAUAUCUCCAAUCGAUUCUCCUUGCUUCAUCUUGAAGGAUUCAUAUUUGCCAAGCAAGAAGUUUACUUUUGUCUCUCUUACACGAUCGGUCCCUUCAUAUGUAACAUGAAGUUUAUCCCAAACUUCUUUUGCUGUUUCACAUGAAGAGAUUCUAUUAUAUUCAGUAGGAGACAAAGCACAAUAUAAAGAAUAAAUUGCUUUCGCAUCAAGCGCUUCUCUUUUGGACAUCUCCAUCCGAGACAUAGGAUCGGGGGGUUUGCUUUCUUUGUCUUUGCCAUUCUUAUUUGAUGUAGACGGAGCGAUGGGGUUGAUUCCUCUUUCCACAACAUCCCAUUGCAAGAGAUCUCUGGAUCUUAGGAAUGCUUUCAUUUUGUUCUUCCACACGUCGUAUUCCUUUCCAUCAAAAUAUGGUGGCCUUGUGUUGCUUUGUCCUUCCAUAAGUCCUGGUGCCAACAUACUAGCCAUGGAUCUUUAACUCUGAAGUAAAACACUUCAAACAAAGUGAGUACACAGGCUCUGAUACCAAAUGAGAGUGCUAGUAUGAACACCUAGAGGGGGUGAAUAGGUGUUUAAAAUAAACCUUGGCAAAUAUAUGCGGAAUAAAAUAAACUUCAAGUAAAAUAAAAGAGUUAAGGAAGAGAAUAAGAACACAAUGUUUAUAGUGGUUCGGCUUAAUCCAAGCCUACGUCCACUCUCCCACGCUAACAGCCUUCUUGGCUGGAUUCCACUAUGCAAUCAACAAGAGAUUACAACUUUGAGUGCAAACACUUAGUAGUAGAUCACACUAUCUCACUAAGUCACUCUUUUGGUAUUUCUCUCACGAUCACAAAUGUUUAAGCUCUCCAAAGAUAAGUGUAUGAUCGAAGGUCGCUCAGACUUUGGAAUUAUAAAUUCUACGCUCCGUCUCUUACUUGCUCAUCGGUCCUUCAUCUCCUUAAAUACUCCUCCACUUCCAAACUAGCCGUUGGACAGUAUCCUGAGGAUCGUCUUCCAAUAUACCCAUUGGACAGCUCUGUAUCUAGAAGAUUUGGUAGACGUUGAGUGAUAAAGGUAAAAUCCCAAAUUGAUUCUGAUUGUCCAUACAAACGGAAUCUUGGUUUCCAUAAGUAAAGCUUCUUCGUAUAGAAAGAUCUUGUCUUCAAGAUCCAAUUGUCAAUCAAAUAGAUUGAGUCAAUCAAAUCAAUCUUGAUGUGGAAUCCAAACCAGAUCAUUAGCCGUUAUAUGAUUGGGCUUGAGUUACGUUUUGUCAAGUUCUGAAUGUAAAGUCUGAGAGUAAUAGACUUUACAAUCUGAGUCUGAGUGUGAUAGACUUUGCAAUCUAGGUCUGAACAUAUUCUGCUUCUGAACAGAUUUAGCUUUAAGGUCUGAGUUCAGCUCCAACAUAGAGUCUGUCUUAUGGUUCAGCUUCAGCAUAGAGUCUGUCUUCUGGUUCAUCAUUCACGUUUAGUCUGGAAUUUAUUAGAAUGAGCAGACUUCUGAUGUAGAACAGACUUUGACACUAAAGUCUGGCAGUCUUCAGACUUUGACACAGAAGUCUGGAAAUCUUCAAAAUAUACUCUGGACAUAUGUUACGUUCAGUCUUCUGGCCGUCUUCUGACUUUGAUCAUAUCCUCUACAUGUUCUAACAUUUGCAUGGUCUAUUACUCAACCAUCAAACAUGUUAGUAGCCUUUGAUUUAUUUUGUCAUCUUCAAAACAUCAUAAGGGAUUUCCCUAACACUAUUUUCUUAUUUACUAGACACUUGAUGAGAGUUUCCGGUUUCAAUCUCGUCAUCUACUCCUUUGAUUUCAAAAUUUUGUUCAUGUAAGAAUUUACCUAAAAAACGUCUUCAACCUAUGAAUCAUAAAAAAAAAAAAAAAAAGUAGAGGCUGAUUUAGCUGAAAGAUUGGAGCAUAAGCACGAUCCGAAAUAUCAAAUUGCACUUAUGUUUUCAUCGAGCUUUAGCCAUAAUUUUUCCAAUUUAUUAUGAUCAAAUCUUCAGUUCUUUGAUCUGUCAUGUUUGAACUUUCAUUAUUUUGUAGAAGAGAAUAUUUCAACGAGUUAAUUUGGUAUAAGAUUUUAUUUAUGAGCUUAUAAAUCAGUGAAUAAUUAAUCCUCUUUAUUCAAAUGGUUAUAGACAAAGUUUUUGAGACAUUUAAAGUUAUUUUUCUUAUUGAUAAUUGGUUUUUCUAAAUUUAUCAUGCUAGUAAAUUUGGGAGAUCAUUGAGUGAGAGUUUCAUUUUGAGCAAUCUCAAUCUUUUUCCACACUGCAUCUCUAGAGUUAUUUCAAAGUGGUGGUGUGGCCGUUUGAUAUGAAGAGAUUCGUGGAAAGGUCCCGAGCUUAAUUCAUUAGUAGCAUGUUUUCAAAUUGAAAAGCUUGCCUCAUAUUUUUAGUUUGUUUUUGAGUUUUCACUUUGUUUGCUUUAUUCCUUAUACCUGUAGCUAGGACUUGAGAUUAUAUUAUGUACCCCAUGAAUAGUUCAAUACCAUAAAUUUUGACAGGUUAAGAUUGAUGUCUUUUAGAUUUCGCACCAUAUUAUAUUGUUAAGGUUGCUAAUUAUAAUUCUUGAAACUAACAAACUAUCAAGUGCUGUGAAAUAUAUAUAUUGUGUGUUCUCUCAUUUUGUGCACUUAUAUUAUGGUCUUUCAUAUCCAUACAUUGCUUGUUCAAAUAUGCAUGUAGGCAAACAAUUCUCUUUACAUUCUUCAAGGAAUAUAUUGAGGGAAUAAUCAAAUCACAACUCUUAGACAUUCAGACAAAUCGUGCAUAGUGAAUCCAAGGAUCCAUCUCAUCUUGUUAAAAAAUGAUAAAUUACAUUUACCUUGUUCCUUGCCAAGACCGAAUUGCAAUCACAAGAAUUUGGUGGUGUCACUCGUAGUUUGAUAAGUCAUGUUUUGUUCACAUUGUGUUGUUUUUAACUAGUAGUUAAGUCACGUCUUUUACAAAUGACAAGUAAUUGAAAUUAUGAGUUCCUUCGAAUGAUUUACAUGACGGAUGAUUUGAUGAUAGCAUUCAGGGCUCUUAGUUUAUACUUUCAUUUUCUAUGACAAUUUGAUUAAAAUUAUUAUUUUAAAGGAAGCAGCCAUGGAUUAUUACUGGAAUCCCAUGAUUGAACCAUGCAGUCAAAAAUGGGGUCCAUAUGUCAUUAGAAGAAAGCUAUGCACGUUGCUCAUGCUUGCCUAUGGUCAUUCACUCGUGAAAGGGUUAAUAGUAAGAGAGUGGCUAAAACAGCCAAGAAUAUGCAAUAAUUUGGCUAGACAUAAAAUAAUGGGAUGUCCCAUCUCCCCCCUUGAGUCUACCUUAGUAUUAAUAUUACAAAAGCAUUGAUUAUUCGUCAAUGGCUUGGUAUAAGGAGCAUCAAACUCCCAAAACUUUUCUUACAAAUCUCAGUUGAGUUUUUCUUUUAGAAAUCAUAACAUUCAAAUAAUAAAAAAAGAAGAAGUUAUGACACUUAAUUUUUUUUUUUAGAAGUCAUGGUACUCAAAUAAUUGAAAAAAAAUAUGUGAGCACUCUACAGAAGUCAUGAUACUUGUGGUAUUUUUUUGUGAUUCUUUUUAGGAUUUUCGUCCUAUCGUUUUCUCAUCUUUCUUUCUCAAAAGAAAAACAUCGACGGAUGCUGCCAUCGAGAAAAAUGGGAAAAAUCACAUUAAACUCAUAUCAAGAAGUAAUUGUUGAUUAAAGGGUCUAAGUUAUGGUUAAAAGAGCAAGGACAAAAGACAUUAGGAAAAUUUCAACCGUAUCAUCAUAUGGCAAUUUUUUUCAAUGUUCUACUUGGACCAUGAGUGCAUCAGCCACGGACAAUCCACUUCUCCAGUGGCUCCAUCAAUUAAUCUUUUGACUCCUUUUUAAAGGGAAAGUCGUGAUGGGUUUUUCUUGGAAUGCUACAAAAUUUAAUAGUAAUUACUUUUUGGCAUUUGACGCAUAAUCAAUGAUGAUAUUGAUAUGCAUCUCCUAUUUUCCGCUGACAAUUGCUUCCUUGCACCGAAAGGUGAAAUUGUCAAAGACUAAAACAGCAAGAUUCCUCUGGUUGACAAAUAGCUGUUGGGAUGAUUGGUGUGCUCACACACAUUUGGUGGAGCUAAUUAUGCACCUAUUUUACACGUGAUACUUUGUUAGGGUCAUUCCAAAUUUGUCUCUACGUAAUAUUUCCGUAAGAGAACCCAAGGACAAAAUGCUAGAAUAGCCAACCUCUUAUAUUUCCCCUCAUUUCACAUUUUUAGCUUGCCAUCACCUUUCUUUUGUCUCCUUAAUUUUUCCGUUUUCACAUGUAGUAUCUCUCUGUUGGAAAGGGCUUUGAAUUUGAUUAUGCUUGGCAUUGUGUAUGUUGGAUGUAAAUUUUCUUUUUUGAAAAAUUAUACUUUUGAUACAAAAUUAUUCACUAGUUCACGUACAAAAUCAACAUGAGAGUCAAUAUCUAUAUAAUUAUGCAGUAACAGUAUCUUCUCUGUGCCCUGCAUCUAAGUUUGACACAUAGCAUUCUAAAUAGCUAGAAGAGACUUCUCCUUAUUUUAAGAACUGGAUUCGCAACGUUCUCCAUUAAAAAAAUGUGCCCACUUAGACUCCACCUAGGCUAAUAUUUUGCAAUACUGACUAGAUAGAUUAUUCAUAUAUCAUGAUGUACUUAUAGGCACUAAUUCCUUAUUAGCUACGUGAGUAUGAGUUCUACUCAAUCUAAUUACAAGGAGAAUGUCUCUCAUGACUUUAAAUUGUUUCUAUUUAGUCAAAAUGUUUUCAAACGGUCAUACUUCAUAUAUGGGAUUAGGGGUACAUUGACAUUUCCAACACAACAAUUUUUUACGGGCAAGUUUGUCAUGUGAAACUAAUAAAGGGAAUUUCAGCCAGCUUAAUAUUCAAAACAGAUCAGAGACCAAUAUUAUGCCUAUCUAUCAUAUGAUACUAUUAUUUUAACGUUAUACUUACUUAGCAUCUCUAUCUUGCACUUAUUGAAUGUUAUUAUAUGAUAAUUUUACGCUAACGUUGUCAUUUUCUUAAGAAAUGGUUCGGAAUAGAAAAUAUACUACUCUUUACUAUAAAAAUUAUGCUUACAUAGCCUCAAAAUUGGCGCAAUUGGUUGGGUCACGAGGGAUUUCCAACUUAGGAACUAGAGAUCGCUAGUUUGAAUCCCACAAACUACAUCCAAACUGCUUUGGGUUAUAGUCACCUACAUAGACCAAAGAUAUGAGUUUAGCUAGUUCAUGGAAUUGGCACAAUAUUUCAUGAGCUUCUAGGUAAAUGGCUCUCCACACCUAUAUUACAUGCGCUCACACACACUCACUUUAGGAGAAUGCUAACUUUACAUGGUGUUACACUUACUUUAGGAGAAUGCUAAUUUUACAUGGGAUUUUUCAUAUGCACUUAUUCCUCAUAAAACUAGGUAGUCAUUAUGCAUAAGAUCUUAGUCAACUUAAUUGCAAAGAGAACAUUCCUCAUGUCUUUGAGGAAUAUUACCCAUCAAUCCUAAACAUAUUGUACGAAUGCCAAUUUAAUUCUAAACUUUUCGAUUUUUUCAAUUUAGUGAUAAACCUUUGUGCAAAAUUCCAAUAUAGUCAUUUUGGUCAAUUUCCGACAUUGAAAUGGCCGUGUGUUACUUAGAAUGGUUAGCGAUGACUGGACUGCCGCAUCAAUAAUUUCAAGCAAAAAUUCAUCAAAAGGGUUUUAUUGGAACUUUCUGUAAAUGUGUAAAAAUUCAUCAAAGUCAAUGUCGGAAUGCACUCAUCCGAGGAGCUAUGCUUAAUGACUCAGCAAGUUGCAUAUGAAGGAAACGCCUUCAUAGUUAGUGGAAUAUCCCCUUUCAACGAGAUUCACGUGGCACUCGGCAUAACAUUUUGUUGUUGUUCCAUAUGAUUGUCAUGAAAUAGGAACACGCAAGAGUGAUUUUGAAAAAAUUCCACGAUUUCCAUAGUCACUUUGGUCGACUCUAGUUCUAUUUGCUUACACUUAUAGAUAAAAAAAAUAAAAAAUAAAAAUCUGCAUUUUGCUCUCCCUCGAGAAAAUUAAAAAUGGAAAAUAAAAUAGGCUUCAUAAAUUAUGAAAAAACAUAUAAUAACUCUACUUGUCAAUAAAUGUAUCUUUUUGGAAAUUUGAAAAAUCAAUUCCUGAUAACUGCAAUAUUUGAAAAAGAAAAGAAAAGAAAAGAAAAGAGGGUUUUGGCCCCUUCACGGGGGGGGGGGGGGACUUCAAUAUGAAUGAGAGCCCAUAGAGCAAAGUUCCUUGCUAGCAAUGAUUUUGCGUGUUAAUUUUGUCAUGUAAAGAGUAGCCAUGGUCAUUUUGAUUGUGUAUUAAUAUUAUCAUCUAAAGAGUAGUAGUGUUUGAGAUAGUAAACUAGUAUAAAUGAGAGCCCACAGAGCAAAAUUCCUUGCUAGCAAUGAUUUUGCGUGUUAAUUUUGUCAUGUAAAGAGUAACCAUGGUCGUUUUGAUUGUGUAUUAAUAUUAUCAUCUAAAGAGUAGUAGCGUUCGAGAUAGUAAACUAGUAUAAAAUGUUAAGAGGAUAGCAAAAAUUUAAUUUCCUUAGAAGUUCUAAUCUAACAAUUACAACUGCAGUUUUUUCUAACCUAGCAAUCAUAAUUGGCUUUAUAAUCUAACAAUCGGCCUAAUUAUCAUGUUAAUUCUAAAUUUUUAACGUUAUAUCAUGGAGCAGCAGAAUGAGCGGGGUAGGACUAUUACCUAACCAAUGUUUGUCCAUCACACGUGGAGGAAAAACUAGAUGCCUAAAUUAUGUUUGUCUAAAGCGGUGAAGGAAAUGAUAGAUAUCUAAUCAAUGUUUGUCCAUUAGCAUUGGAGGAAAGGAUGGUGAUUUCGACAUUGGCGGUGGUGACCUGCUCUAUGUAUUAAUAGAUAUUUUAUUAGACUACCAUCAUUGUCUUGAUUGACGCGACCGACAAGGUCUUUUUUAAAUUUUUUUUACUUUUGGCUAGUAAAGGCUUUUAGGACUUGGAGCCCUUUGCUCCAACUUUUCAGCUUCCGAAGGAAUUGAGUGGGUUUUAGUUAAAGUCUUAAGUGAGGUUAGAUUACCGAGCUCCAUAAUCCAUACCCAUCCCAUCUUUCUUCCUCGUGAUUUGGGCCUUUGUGAUCUUAAAUCAUUGGAACACUAGUAGUACGUCUCAAUCGCUGUUGCUAAAAAAUUCCAGCAAAAAGUUACCGUCUCUUUCUCCAUUGAUUGCUCUUUGACGCUCCCCUUCCUUCAUCUUUUCUCGCACUCGUGUCUCUUCGCCUUUCCGUCUAUCAUCAUUCUUGUCAGGGGUGUGCAUGGUUCGGGCGGACAGUUCCCGACUUAGAACUGGAAACCGCCCGUUAAAGACCGGUUCCAAAAAAUUGAAACCGGAUCCACCCGUUUAUUGCAUGGAUCCACCCGGAAACUCGACCGGACCGAUGGUCCGGUUCCCGGGUGGAUCCAUGGAACCGAUCUUGAUGCGAAAUAAUUUUGGUUUUCAAUAUAGAAUGACUACGUGACAUCAAAGUAAGCCAAAGAAAGAAAAAUUAAAUUUAAGUACGUGGAGAUGCGGAUGGCGGGAGAAGUAAAUGUAGCGAAAUGGCGAUAGGAUUAGGACCCAAAGACGAAGGGAGUGAGAUGAGAUCUAGGGUUUUUUUUAGUAAUUUUUUUUUAAUAUUAAAAAGGUUCCGGUCCGGUCUGGGUGGGUAGGCGGGCGAAUUCGCCCAUGGAACCGGGAACCGGACCAGUACCCACCGGUUCCCAUAAAUUGGAACCGGGAACCAGACCAGUACCCACCGGUUCCCAUAAAUUAAAACCAGGAACCGGACCGGUUCCCUCAGGAACCGCCGAUUCCGGGCGGUUCCGGUCCGGUUCCGAGCGGUCCGGGCAGUUCCCGGGUAUUUUGCACACCCCUAAUUCUUGCUCUUUCACACUUUUUCUUCUCCUUGCUAUAGCCCGACUUCGUACUCUUUUUCUUAAGUGUCUAUGACUCUUUUUCAUCGUUCUCUCCCUCCCUCUCUAUGUCUCUCUGCUUUUCCUUUUGAGGUGUUUUUAUCCGAACAUUAUCUCGCUCUUUAUUUUUUGGAACAAAAAUCAAAGAAAAUGUCAGAUCGAUGCCACUGUUGAGAAAAAUAGAAAAUUAGAUUAAACUCAUAUCAAUAAAUAAUUGUUGAUACAAGUAUUAAGAGUAUGUAGAAAAAGUUUAAUCACUUUAAUCGAAGAGAUUAUCAAGAAAAAGCUCAAGUUUGAGCCCAUUAACAUAUUCAGUUAACCAUUUUUACUAAAAAACAUUAGUUAAAAAGCUAUUGAUCAAUUAUGAUAUAUUAAUUGUUUAAUACGAUAUCAAUUCUUUAUUGUGAAACUUUUCUAACCCAAUUCACACAUUCAUCUUAACAUUCGGCUCUCGCAUGUUGGCUUAGUAUUAUGUCUGCUUCCACUUAAUUCAAGUAUCAUUCACCAUUAACAUGACUCAAUUAGAAUCUCCACUUUCGUGCAUGUGCUAACUAAAAUAACAACAACGCCCAUAUUCAUCCCUAGUCUCUUUAUCCAAAUUGAAUCAUGAAGGUUGUCAUCAGGACCACAUUGCUACACAACAACAUCCACCUUCAUUCCAAGUCUCUUUUGCUAGAUCAAACUAUGAAGGCUGCCCAAAAAUCGCGUUGAUCACAGGAUUCCUUUCCUGAGGUAUUCUCCAAACAUCGGUAUACUUGGGAUUGGCCAUUAGCUAUCAAUCAUUGGCUCUGGCAUAAUUUCUUAGGAGUGUCUAGCAGAAAUUUGAUACCUUUAACCAGAGAGAUCACCAAAGAAAAGCCUAUGUCUGAGUAGGCCAAUAUAUUUUAUUGAAGCCAAAUUUACUCAAAAACUAGGAAAUAUUAAUUGCUCCAUACCAUAGCAAUUCUCCGGUAUAAGACUUUCUAACAUAACUCACAUGUAUAUGUCAAUAAAAAAGGAUCUAAGCAAUGAUUAAAAGAGUGAGAACGGAGAGAUAUUAGACAAACCCCUACCACCUCAUCACAUGGCAAAUUUUGAUAAUGUUCCACGCGGAGUAUGAAUGUGUCUACCUCAAAUAAUUCACUUUUGUAGUGGUUCCAUCAAUUUGUCAUUUGACUCCUUUUUUGAGUGGAAGUCAUGAUGGGGUUUUCUUGGAUGCUACAAACUUUAACAGUAAAUGCUUUUAGCCUCUAGCGCAUGAUCAAUGUCGAUAUUGAUAUGCAACUCCAAUUUUCCAACGAGAAUUGCUUCAUCAAGUGACUAGUGUGGGACGUUAACAAAGAAGAGUUCUGCUAUAGCGUGACCGCACUGUCCCUUCCAAUAGCGAGGGCGCAAAUGGGACCGCAAGUUCUAUUUAUGUAAUGCCAACCUGAUUACAACUUUAAAAUGGGAAAUCUUUACAAAUAUCUUUAAAAUAACUUUUAUCCCUUUCUGAUUGAAAUGUCAGUCAAAAUGCCUUCCCUCCAAAUUGAACACCAAGUAAAGUCAUCAAUCAUUUCUUUUCGUUACUCUUGAAAGCAUAAAACAUUCAGUAUAUAUACUAGUGUGCAACUAACUUAUAACUGCACAUAAUCUCGUCAUGACUAUGAAUGUACAGACGUAAAUAUGUAUGCAAGCACACAUGAAUAUGUCUAAAAGUAUGUGUAUUUUAAUUACCUCUUAUUUAGUUAGAUAUACAUCUUGAUCACAAAAAACUUUUUUUUUCAAAGAAUUGGUAACUAGAUGAGUUUUGAAAUGACUUUAGAAAUGUUGUGAUCUAUAUACUCUUUUAUAUUGACUGUGGACUAAAAAAAGCCUAGAAAUGUAUUUAAAUUAUUUUUUUGUUCAAAUUUUAAAUUUUAUAUGAGUAGUGCUUUUCCACUUAAAUUAUAAACUCAAUCUGAAAUUUAGAUCAAUUCUAAAUAUGUUGACCUAAUGUUAUGGGGGGACAAACAUUUCAGAAGUCCUAAAAAAUAAAUUGGGCUUAUUAUGGACACUUAAUUGAGAUGGCAGUCCAACUUUACUCCUUAUGCUUUUCAUUUAGGUUUUUGGCCCGUUCGGAUUUCAGAGAAAAAUAAGCACCACAACUUUUUACUUUCUAAUAAGAGCCUCAAAAUCGGGUAAAGUAAGAUGCAAAAAGGAAUCAUUCAUUUAAUUACAAUCAUUAUGGUUUUCAAAGCAGAAUUUAAUAAACAAAAACCCUUGAAAGGCACAAAGAUACAUAGAUCAAAGCAGGGCUCGGCAAAUAACAUAAAAUUUAAGCAAAGUUCACAAUAACUGGAAUUACGUGAAAAGUCAUAACAUUGGAUACCACACACACUAUAAAUAUAUAUAUAUAUAUAUAUAUAUAUAUAUAUAUAUAUAUAUAUAUUACUUUAAGUAUGAGUUUUAAUCUAUUUUGCCAUUGCUCAUACUUCAAGUUAAUUAUUCACAUUUUUAUUGAAGGUGUUUAAUAAAUUUGAAACCCCAACCAUCACCUCGUCUCGAUUCCCACAAGUACCCAUACGCACAAACCGAUGAAUAUAUUAAUAUUGUGAAAAGGAUUAAAGAUGCCACUUAUCACGCGCGCAUGGGGUGUGCGCAGUCCUUGUCCGUUUGUUCUCUUUAUUAAUUACACUUUGUUAUAUCGAUAAUGGCAAACUAUAAAAAGUAGUUAUUCCGGUGUCGGGGUUUUGGACUAGCCUCUCCUGAGAUUUACAUCUAAAUAGCGACUUGCGGUAAAGUCUGACAAUCUGGAGGGUUGUGUAAUCCCUAAGGCUGCGUUUGGUAGUCCGGAUUUGAGUUCGGAUAGGAUAACCGGAUAGGAUAAUUUGUUAUCCUAUCCGAUGUUUGGGAAUGUCCACUGGAUCGGACAAACCUGGAUAUAUCCGGAUAAAACGCCGGAUAAAAAAUCCGGGGGAGGGGGUGCAAUAAGCCUGAAUUGGAUAAGAUUUUUUUUUAAGGAAAGAAAGAACUUAACAAAAAGAGAAGAUAUCACUUGUCAUUAUCAAUGGUGGCCACUGCGGAGGUGGCCACAAUUCCUAGAUCUAGGGUUUUUCCAUGGCCUUUAAUUAAUUGAAUUUUCUAUUUUUUAAUUUUAUAAUUUAAAUGAAUAUCAUAUUUAUUUUUUAAUAUUAUCCUGAAGUGCACCAAACACUUGAUCAGAUUAGAUAUGUCCGCCUUUAUUAUCCAAAGGAUUUAAUAUCCUACUUUAUCCUAUCCUAUCCUGAUCAUUAUCCAGACGACCAAACGUAGCCUAAAGGGUAAUCUCCAACAGUUUCUCGGUUAUAAAAAAAAAAAAAGUUAUUAAACUCGUGAUAACCCUAGUCGAAUCAUUUUCUUACUUUAAAUUUUUUUCAUAUUUUUUCUAAGCCACUUGAUGGAACUGCAGUGCAAAGAAUUAAAUUGAAGUUCGCAAUUUUUUGUCUUGAUUGAGGAGACCGAAAGAGCAGUCAUUUUUUAUAUUUAUUUUUGGCCAAUGACAAACUUGAAUAGUGUGCUACCAAUUUUUCAGCUUCCCAAAGAUUAAAUGAUGCUUAGUUAACUUAACUACGGUUACCUUUCAGAUCUCCGUAAUCGACAACCAUAUCCUUCUUCUUUCGAGUGGUUUGGAUUUUUGUUAAGAUUAUCAAUCGUUAGAGCUCUAGUACUAAAUCUUGAUCGUCAAUAGGUAGAAUAUUAUCAACAAUUUCUAUUCAAUAUACAAAUCUAUAACACAAGCUCCCACAUACAUAUAUCGAUGAAAAUAUUAAUAUAAUGAAGGGAUUAAAGAUGCUACUUACCAAAAAUAAUUUUUUUUACCUUACCAAAAAAAAAAAAAAAAAAGAUGCUACUUACAACGUGCGUGUGUCGGUGUAGCCUGUCUUUGACCAUUUGCACUCUUAAUUAAGUUUUGUUAUAUAGACAGCGACAGACUAUAAAAUGUCCUUAUUAAAUAAUGGAUGAUCCAAGUCGAAUCAUUUUCUUACUUGAACAGCUCGUAGUCAAUUUCUUUAACCCACUUGAUGGAGCGGCAACUCAAUUUUUAUGGUGUGAAGAAAUCAAUUUAAUUCCACAAUGGAUUGAGGAGGACUAAGAGCAGUCAAUUAUUUUUUAAUAAAUAUCACUAAAAUCCCCAAAUUGGUCCAUUUAUGACAAUUUAUCCCCGAACUAAUAUUUUUACUAUAAAAAUCUAAAACCGAUACAUUUAUGAUAAAUUUUACUCCAAAUUAAACUUUAAAUUAAUACUGACAAUUUUGUCAUCCGUUAGUUCCUAUUAAAUAGGAUUGCUAUCACGAAAAUACACAAACUAAUAUACUUGUAAUAAAUGAAGGAUAAAAUUUUAAACUAGUACAUCUGUCAACUACUAUAUGUUAUCCAAUUUAGCAAUUUAACGGUAAAAUUUAACGAAAAUUAAUAUAUGGUAAAUUUGUUACAUGCGUACAAGUGAGAAAUUUUUUAUGAUCAAAAAAUUAAUUUGAAAUAAAUUUAUUAUAGAUAUAUUCAUUUGAGAUUUUUCAUGAUAUUAAUUUUUAUUUUUAUUUUAUUUUAUUUUAGGCAAGUAAGGACUUGGAGCAGUGUGCUCCUUACAGUUUCCCUAGGAUUUGACCGGUGCUUAUUAACUAGAGUGAGAUUACUGAGUUGCAUGGUUCUUACCGAUCUUCCCUUUCUUUCUCGCGGUUUGAGUCUUUGUCGAGGUUUUGAAUCCUUGAAUCUCUUGUACCGAAUCUCUGUCGUUGAUGAUACAAGAGCGUCUCACACCCAGGGCCCUAUUCUACUUCGUAUCAAUGUGUCCAUCGUCACUUGUCAUUACCAGACUUUGGCUCUAUAAAAAUAUGAUUCAACAAGCGCCGCCGCCCCACCAACCACCCCCCAAAGAAAAAACCAAAAAAAAAAAAAACCCAAACCUGACUUAAUGGAAAAGGCGAUAGUAGUGCUCUAGUCUAAAGACUCAUCACGUAUCUCUCUCUACCGCCCUCAAUUGAAAAAAAUAGCAAACAUUAUUGUAGCCGCUUCAUUUGAAUAAAUCUGGAAUGAGGCCCCAUAGUAGAGGCUUGGUGUUCAUAAAACAUAUCAUAAUACCAUCCCCGUUAAUAUUCACUACAUAGGAAGUGUAAAAAAGACUUCCAAGUCACCCCUGAUACAAUUAUCGACUGACACCAAGGGCCACGUUCUAUUUCGUAUCAACGUGUCCAUCGUCACUUGCCAUUACUAGACUUUGGCUCUAUAAAAAUAUGAUUCAACAAGAGCAGCAUUUCGCUCUUAUAGAUACAUACCUAUAUAUAUAUAUGUAGGUAUGUAUCUAUACAGAGAGAGAUGAAAGCUGUCAAUCAAAAUGAAAUCAACUUUUUAUCUUGCAAAAAGGGCAUUUCUCAAAGAAAUCAUCGUAUGCAAGUUUGGAAGAAGAGGCCUCGUGUGCACCGUCUAGGAAUAUAAAUAAAAGUCCAUAGACUAUAUUCUCACAUAGUCUAUGAAUUAAAUUGAAUAUGUAUUAAAAGUUCAUAAAUCAUAUUGAAAUUAAAAGCUUAUAGACGAUAGCGCGCAUUGAGCUAAAGUUGAGAAAGCACAUUGAAUAAAUUUAAAAUUUAGAGAUCUCCUUGAAUUUUAUGGACUAUUUAUGUUUAUGUCAACGGUAAUUAUGUAUGAAAAGCACAACUGACAUAUAAUCACAAAGGAUGUUCCUAAAAAAGUCCCUACAAUAACUCAUUAUUUUGAUACGAUAUGUACUCUAGAGAGGCAACUGUUGUGCUCAAAGAAUUUGCACAUCAAUAAUAUAUGGAUAAACAUUUGUAGAACCAUCCAUAUAAAUAAUAACUUUUAGAAAAAUGAUUCUCAUUAAAAAAUAUUAAAAAAUAUUUUUUAAAUAUGGUAAAGUAUGAGUAUUUGGAUUAGAAAUUCCGCGCUUGAGUGUAGAAACGGUAAAGUUCGUUUCCGAAUCCUUGGCAGCGAAGUUGAGUCCAUAGACGCUAGAUCCUAAACCUCAAUGCUCCGGUCUCCGAUUUCUGAACCCACAUCUAUCGAGGCGGGGCCCGCGACAUCCGUGCCUUCUACCUCGGUAUAUGAUGAAUCUGUAGGUCUUAUAUACAUUUCAAAUUCAAAUUCACGCAAGUGAGCGCAGGCAAAUAUCGAUGAAAAUGUUUACCAUCAUGAGGAAGAAUAAAGGUGCCCUUUAAUGAAUUUUCUUAAGUACUCUGCAAGUUCCGAGGGUCGACUCCUGCUUUCUUUCUGCCUCCGCCUUGGUAUAUGGUCCACAUACUAAAUUGAGUUGACGACAGACUGGGUAAAGUUGCAUGUUACGUGUUCUCUUGGUCAAACGGUGCAAUGAUCGCCAUUCUACGCCACGUCACCUGGAUGGUUUAAGACGAAUCGUUUGUUUACUUUAUAACAGCUGAUAAUCAUCUCUCUCUAUCUCCACUCGAUUGCUAUUCUACGCUCCCCUUCAUCCGUUUCUUGCGCUCGAAUCUCUUCGCCUCGUUCAUCUAUCGCUCUGUUUCGCUCUUUCUUCAUCUCGGCACACCCAUUCUUCCUCAUCCUCUUCCUCCUGUCUUCCUCCUUUUUCUGUGCUCAAAUCUCUUGGCUUUGUUCGUCUCUUGCUCUGUUUCGCUCUUUCUUCUCGUCGGCUCAACCAUUCUUCUUCCUCCUCCUCCUCCUCCUCCUCCUCCUCUUUAGUUUCUGCUGCUCCUUUUCAUCAUUCUCCCUCUCCGUCUCUCUUUUUUCUCGCUCUUUCUUUCUCAGGAAAAAAAAUCAUAGAAAAAUGUCGGCAGAUCCUGUCGUUGGUAUUGGAUGGGAUGUCUUGAAGAGCUAUGUAGUUGUUCCCAUCGAACGUGGAUUCGGAUACGUGAUCUCCUCCAAGAGAUUCGCCGACCGUCUUCGGGGGGAAGUCCAGAAUCUGGAGAACGAGAAUCAGAGGGUCAAGGUUCUUGUGGAAGAGGCUAGAAGGAAUGUUCGGAAAUUCCUCGAUGUCUUCACGACGUGGGAGGCUAAUGCUGACAAGGCCUUGGAAGAGGCGCAAGAGCUGUUGGACGACGAAAAGGCGACCAAGACUUGCUGCUAUGGGACUCUUCCCGACCCCAAAUCUCGCUACCAGUUCAGCAGGAAGGCCGAGGGCAAGAUCGAGGUCAUUAAGCAACUCACUCAAAAAUGCAGCACAUUCAACGGAUUGAACGACAUCUCCUUCAUCGAUCCUGCUUUCACUUAUUCUGCCUCGACGUCGAUUAAGCUUGGGGAUGAUGGCGUCUUCGAAUCCAGAGCUUUGAUGAUACGGAACAUCAUGGGCGCUCUUGCCGGCAACAGUAAUAGUGUGGUCGGGGUUUAUGGGAUGGGCGGGAUCGGCAAGUCCACCCUUUUAGUGGAUGUUGAAAGGAAAAUAAGCGAAGAUAAGUCGUUCCAUUGGGUCGCUAAGGCUGACGUGUCGGAAAAUCCAGACAUCAAGACGAUUCAAGGAGAGAUUGCGGACGCCUUGGUCCUUACUGAGAUAAAGAACAAAGAGACUAUCAGCGGGCGAGCGAAACUUCUGCACGGGAGGUUGAAAGACGAGGAGAGGGAGAAAAAGGUCCUCAUUAUACUGGACAACCUGUGGGAGGGGCUUGACUUAAACAAAGUCGGCAUUCCUUGCGGACACGACAACAAAGUCAUAGGAUGCAAGUUAUUGUUGACGUCAAGAGAUCGUAAUGUUUUGCGAAGUGAAAUGGGCUGCGACAAGGACUUCCCCCUUGGUGGGCUGGAGGAGGAAGAGGCAAGAAGUUUGUUUGAGAGGCUGGUGGGAGACAAAGUUCAUGAUGGCGAGUUUAAACCCUUGGCGGAUGAAGCACUAGCCAAAUGUGCAGGUGUGCCUUUCCUAAUUGUUGCAAUGGCGAAACGUUUUAAAUAUGCCGAUUUAUCUGAAUGGAAGGACACUUUGAAGAAAAUCGAGAAGUCUAAAGAUAAAAAAAUCAAUGAUUUGAUAAACCAAAUGUUGCAAUGGAAUUAUGAUAAAUUAGAAGAGGAGGUGAAGUCAUUAUUACGACUCUAUGUUGUUUAUGGUAUCUCCAAGCCUUCUCUUGAAAACUUGGUGAGGUACAGCAUUGGUUUGGGUUUGCUUCAAGAAGUAAGCAGCAUGGAAGAAGCUAGAAAUAGAUUGAUCUCCCACAUACAUGCUCUUCAAGCGUCCUCCUUUCUGUUAGACAGUGAAGAUGUUGAUGGUUUCAAGAUACAUGACUUGGUUCAUGAAUUUGUUGUUUCGGUCUCUUCAAGAGAUCACCCUCUUCUCGCGUUGAAAGAUAAGGACGAGUCGAUAACAGAGUCAUCGAAGGACAAGCUCAAUAGUUAUAGGGCGGUAUGCUUUCCGUUUGUUGACAUGGAGGAGCUUCCUCAAGAGUUAUAUUGCCCUGAAUUGCAAAUCUUUUUGUUUUUCACAAACAAUAAAUCUCUUAAGGUCCCAAAUUCAUUAUUUCACUCUAUGAGGAAGCUCAUGGUCUUAAAUCUUACCGGAAUACGUCUCACUUGCUCCCCUUCAUCACCAUUUCAAUUCUUGGAGAAUUUACACACUCUAUGUCUUGACGGUUGUUCAUUAGAUAAUGUAGCCAUUCUUGGCGAGCUGAAAGGGCUACAAAUCUUAGUUUUGUGAACUCCAGUAUUUAUGGAUUGCCAAAAGAAAUUGGGCAAUCGGCAGAGCUGAGGUUGUUAGACUUGAACUAUUGUCCACAACUUGAGAUAAUUGAAUUGGGUGUACUUCAAAGCUUGAUCAAGUUGGAGGAGUUGUACAUGAAUGUUAGCUUUAAUCAAUGGAAUACCGUGGACCAAACUCCACCAAUUAAUGCUAGUCUGAUUGAGUUGAAUCACAUGAAAAAUCUCUGCACUUUGCAUGUGUACAUUCCUAAUCUGAGGAUGCUCCCUGAGGAUCUAAACGUCGGGAAAUUAACCAAGUAUGAAAUCCGAAUAGGUAAUGUGUGCUAUUGGUGGAGCGAGUGCAAAGGAUCAAGGACAUUGGAGCUCAAGUUGGAUCCAUUAGGCAAUGUUCUUCGAAAAGGAUGCAUUCAAAGUAUCCUAGGCAAAAUUGACAAUCUGUUUUUGGAAGGGUUGGACAGAAAUGAGCAAAGUGUUUGUGCGUUAUCCCAAAAAGGUUUUCCAGAAUUAAAGCAUCUACAGGUCAAAGAUAAUUCCUCUAUCCAUUGCAUCCUCCAAUUGCCAUCCAAUGCACAUUUUACGAUGUUGUAGUCGUUAAUUCUCAAUAAUCUCAUCAACUUGGAGAUGAUAUGCAAUAGCCAUAUCUCCUCCAAGUCCUUUAGUACAUUAAAAGUAGUACGAGUCAAAAGUUGUGAGAAGAUGGAAGUAUUGUUUCCUCUUUUAGUGGUGAGAGGACUUCCACAGCUACAAGAGAUUAAAGUUGCCGGUUGCAAGUGAAUGCAGAGGAUUGUAGAUGCCGAUGAUGGUGGCAAAGUUGAGUUUCAUAAUUUGCGUGUAUUGGAAUUGCAUAAUUUGCCAAAUAUUAAGAGCUUUUUCACUAUAGGGAUGGCUUCUUUGAGUAGUAGAUUUCACGACCAAGUUGGCAUUCAAAUUGCAUUCUUCAAUGAGAAACAGGUAACUUUCUGUCAAAAGAAUAUAAUACUUAUUACUAUUUCCUUCCUUUGCUUAUUAGAUGUAACACAGAUUAUGAUGCUUAUUUAUUUUGUUAUUUUCAGUUUGUUAUCUUCCUAAUUACCUUAUCCGUUCAUGCCUUCUCUAUAAUUAGUUAAAGCAAUCUUCCGUUUAAGUUAAUUGUGUAGAAAUCCAACUAAUUGUACAAAAUCCAUGUAAAUUUAGUUUGUGAUAGGUUUUAAAUUAUUUUCAACUAACAUGCUGCAAGUAUAUCUAUAUUUACAGGGUUUCAUAAGGCAAAAUUGACGAGAACUUCAGCAUUAAAGCAUUCCAUAAGUACAGUAAUUUUUAAUCCUUUGAAAUGAAUAUCACUGAAUUUAGUUACCGAACUUUGUUAUUAUUCACAAAAUGUAUAAAAUAGGCGACUCUCUUGAAAACCAAUAUGAAGAAUAGGAAGGAUGAUUGCUUAUAUAUAUAUAAAAGCAACUAUACUAAUCUAAUUGAUGCAUGUCUUUUGUAUGUCGUGUUUAAAUAGGCAUUUAGUCAUUGCAUAGGCCCAAAAAUUAUAAGAAUACAGACUUUUGUGCAUAGGUUUUUUCUUCUUUUUUUUUUUUUAGUGAAAGUACGCCUUGGCAAUUGUAUGACUUUUUGUGCAUGGUUUUUUUUUUUUUUUUACAGACUUUUGUGCAUAGCUUUUUUUUUUUUAAUAGUGAAAAUAGGCCUUGGCAACUGUGUGAUUUUUUAUUAUGCCGCAUCAAAGUCAUCAUUGCAAAUUUGAAAUUCUUGUUGUUGGAAUUCCAAAGUGUUACAUUUCUCUACUCCAUACGGCGGUAUUAAGGCCAAGUUGUUACAAUAUCAAAUGAUGGAACUUGAUGCCUUGAUGGAAAAUCCACCAUCUUAAAGUCCAACUAGUUUUAGAGAGACUCACUUCAAAUGUUUUGAUGGGCCUAGUAUUUUAAUUUGGCACUUGGUAUGUCUUAGUUUAAUUUCCAAAGGUUCAAGUGCUCCACAAUUUAAUCUUCAAGAAAUUUGUGGCGAAAUUUGAGUUUUCUUUUUGUUGAGUCCAUCCAAUUUAGAUUGUGAAUUUUAUGUAGCUUCGAUAUCUUAUCAAGAAAAACCGGUGGGGGUUGCCCAAUCUCGCGAGACCUUAUGUAAUCAUUGCGGUUUCUCUCCAUGUUAAUUUACAAAUCUAAAUACUAAGUCCUUUAAGUAAAUGUCUUCACAUUUGGCCUUUAAAGUAUGUAUAGAUAUAUUGGUAGACAAAUCCACAGUUUGUGUUUAAUAUCCUAUUAAAUUGGUUAUUGAUAGUGAUUUAUUGACAUUAAAAGAAGUCAAGUGAACUAUGGAUAAACAAUUGUCCAAUUAAGGAAAACACGCGUCUAUUUUACACGUGGAAGUAGUUGCUGCCGGUGGAGCCUUUUGGCUGACUAGACAAGAUUGCCCUUUAAUAGUGGCUUGGUUAUAGCUGAAGUUGAUGGUGGGGCCCAAGACUCGGGCCAUAUAUUAGUUUCCCCUUAGUAAAGAGUCGUGGAGAUUUUAGUUGAUGGUGGGUCCCUCAAGGUAGCAUGUCUAAGUAUCUCCACUUCAACCUCGACUUUUCUACUUCGCAUGCAAUAGAGGAGUUAGAUUGGGAGGCUAUGCAAAGAGGCUUUUGGGCUUCUAACUUUCAAGGGUUCUAAAUCUUCAUUAAAGAAUUUUACUCUUGCCUUGAUGCCUUCUCAUUUUAGGCAUGGAAACUAGAGCUGUGAAGAUCUAUGAGAUUAUAAUGAAAUGUUUUUGUUAACUAUAAUAAAUCUCUUCCAACAUUGUAAAGAGGUGGAGCAGACGAAAAUAGCAAUGGAAGGUUGGAUUGUCGAGAAUGACAAUAGUCAAACAAAGAAACGUAAAGAAGUUAAACUUGUUGUAAUAGAUGGGAGUAACAGGCAAUGGCAGGUAGAUGGGAGAUUUCGAGUAACUUUGCAGAAGAAGGGUCUUCCCAAGUUGAAGCAAUGAACUUUUAAGAAGACUAGUUACUUUUUGCCAAAAAUAAAAAAGAGAAGAAAAUAAAGCUGUCCAUUGUAAGUUAUCCUUCAGAAGGAAUAAAACUUGCUCACUAAUCAAAUUAAGUUCCGCAAUCAUUUUCCAAGUAAAGAUUGGACUAUUUAGCAACGACAAUAGUAUAGAGAUUUUUUUCUCUUUUUUUUUUUUAAAAAAAAAAUUCGUUUUUUCCCUUUUGUGGAACUUAAUAAUGCCCCCUCUCUUCUUGGCACACGUAUAUAUUAACAUUUUGGAAGUUCCUAAAUUCGUGAUUUAACUAAAUCACACUUCCAUGAGUGAAUAUUGCAGGUUGUCUUUUCAAAAUUGGAGACAUUAAAUAUCAAGGGCUUGGAUAAUGUCGAGUUUUUGUUUUCCCCAUCCAUGAUUAAAUCUCUCGCACAACUGAGAGAUCUACGAGUAUCUUAUUGCAAGAAGAUGGAGGUGAUCAUUACGAAGGAAGAAGGGUUGUCAUUGGAAAUAUCAAAAACUCUGGCAUUCCCGAUGUUAACUAACUUAAACUUAAAUUGUUUGAAAAGUUUGAUGAGCUUCUCUCGCGAAAAGUGUAAGAUUGAUUUUUUUGUUUUCAUCACUAAAGAUCUUCUUGUGGAUAAAUUCAUCCUUGCAAUACAAAUGGUGACAUUCUUUUCAUCCAUUGAAAAACUUAUGAUAGGUUCAUGAGAAGCUUGGAGUCAGGACUGCAUCAAAUCAUGCUCCACUGCACUCUUCAGUCAAGAGGUACAUGAUUAAUGUUAUGCCAAAAUAUUAUUUAUAUAACAAAAGUAUUAAAUAUGCAAAAGAAAAAGCAUAGCCAAAAUAAGAACUAACUAAAUAACUUACAAAGUGUACCUUGGUUAAAAAUAUUUUAAAGAAAAUGAGUGGUGUACAAACAUAAGUACUUAGAGUUGCCGACAUGUAUGAGUUGCAAUUUUUUUAAUUUUAAUUUCUCUAGAAAUAGUUUCCAUAAAGAUGGUUAAAUAUCUCUUAUCAUACUUGCACAAAGCAUGAACGAGCAAUACAACUGCGAAACAAGAUCUCUAAAAGCUUUUUGAUGUUCAUAGGAAACUCAAAGCUCUUAGCAACCUCGCAUGUAUGGCAUCGACAUUGCACGCAAGCACAUUGAAAGCAAUUUAAGAAACAAUGGAGAGGAAAGUGAUAGUAAUGUUCAAGAAGCUGUAGAUGAAGGGCCUUUAAGAUAGUCACUUGACUUCAUUUGCUCUUAAAAGAUCCCCUUUUUUGCCGUUAAUUGAAGGAAGCUUUAGUCUCCCUUAAUUCCACUAGCAAAAGGUAUUGAGCCCUCUCCGUCGCUAAACUGAGCAAGAAUCUAGGGUCCAGGGCAUCCGAAAUCACUCUUUUAAGUUUUAACAUGAAUUGGAAGACCAAAGUGAUCAUUCAGUGACUUCUCUAAGUGCACUGCAAGUUCAUUUAAUUAUUUCAUCCAUAUUGUAACUUAAAUUACCGUUUCUAAGUGAUUUAACAAAAGCCACGUAUACUAGCUAUUUCAUUCUUGGGUUAGCAAAAAAAAAAGCACCAAUUGUGAUUUGAUUAUUCUGGGAAAUUGACUAAAAUCAAGAGAGGGAGUGAUUUUAUUUAAAUUUGAGAUUAUGAGAGAUAAAUGUGAUUAUAUGAUAGUUCAGGAGCAUAUCCAAAUUACCAUUUUGCCUUGUCAACAAAAUCCGGUCAGAAUUCUCACUUUUUGUUUUGUCUGCAGUAAUUCCAAAAGCCUUCUAGAUCAACAUUUUUUUUUUUUUGUCAAAGAGUCAUCGACAUUUUUGUAUGGACAUUUGUGCAACUUAAGACAGACUCAUUAAUUUCAUGAAUUCGAAAUUUACAUCUUGACAUUCAUCUAUCUUGGAAGUUCAUGAUUAACUCAAUCAUCAAUUCCGUGAGCGAAUAUCGCAGGUUGCAUUUCCUAAAUUGGAGGCAUUAGAAAUCAGUGGCUUGGAUAAUUUUGAGAUGAUAUGGGACAAUAAAGUUGCUGUGGAUUCUUUCCCCAAGCUAAAAACCCUUUGUGUGGUUGAUUGCAAUAAGCUUGUGAGUGUAGUUUGUUCUUUCAUUCUAAGACAGCUCUUGAGCUUGGAAAGAUUGGAUGCAAGAAGAUGUGGUUCGCUUGAAAUUGUUUUUGAACUUCAGACAUUGAAUCGUCUAGAUGGACAUCCUAUUGCUCUUCCAUUAAGAGAACUGACGGUAUCAAGAUUACCAAAGCUAAAGUGCAUAUGGGAUAAGGAAAUCCAUUGUCAAAUAAAUUCCAGUGUCUACGUUCUAUUAGCGUUUCAAGAUGUGAGAGCCUCACCUCUUUGUUUCCAGCCUUAGUAACCAGAUAUCUAAUUCAACUUGAGAAGUUGGCGAUCAAUGAAUGUGGCAUUGUAGAAACCAUCAAGAGUGAAGAAGGACUAUUUCCCAAGUUUGUAUUCCCAAUAUUAACCUCCCUUGAGCUUGAGUGUCUGAGAGAGUUGAAGUGCCUCUACACAAGAACACAUACUUCCCAUUGGCCGGCAUUGAAGACCUUGAAGGUGCAUGGCUGUGACAAAGUGGAGAUACUUGCAUCGCACUCUGAGAAUGAGGUGCAACUUGAUAAACUCCCUCUCUUCUUGAUAGAAAAGGUAUGAUCGAAGAUUACUUCUUUUGCUUUCACAGUGAAUAUUUAAAGUGAUGAUUAGGGUCACAACCAAGCAUCUUAUAUAAGUAGCUCUACGUAGGAAGAUGUAAACUGUAUGACUCACCUUCAAUCUAUAGAAAUAUUUCAACAUUGAAACAUCACAUGUUCUUCAAUUGUUGACUGAACAUUCUUUUCAAAUGUAUGAAAUGCAUUUUUAAUGAUCCCCUUUUAAUAAAGGUUUAGGCUAAUUCCGAGGGUUUAUUUCUCUUCCAAGUGCCACAAAGAUGAAAACACAUGGCAUGUGUCAUGAUCUUAGUAUAGUACAAGUGUCUCAUCUAAUUUAAAUCCUAUCCUGCUAAAAACAGAAAGAUGUGACAUUAUUGUUGACAUUAAUCACUGAAAUUUGUGCACGUGUGACUGUAAUUGAUGCAUAAGUUAUUUUUGCAAGGUAUUUAUCUUUAGAAUCGUGAAUGUAAAGAGUUACAUAAGCUCAAAUAUUUAUACAAGUCAAAUAUACAGAUCAGUGAUAAUGUUUAAUUGAUGUAGGCACAUUUCCUUUCAUUGAAUCACAUGAAACUCAAUAUUUUAUAUAUAUAGUUACCGCGCGCAACAUACAGGCCUUAUAUCCUGAUACAUGAAUGCUCUUUUAACUAAGCUGGCUUUAAAUUCUAAUUUGACUAUUUUCUCAGGGCGCAUUCCCUAAUCUCCAAGAGUUAACGUUGGAUUUAUCGGAACAGAUGGAGAUAUGGCAUGGACAUUUUAAUGAUAGAGAAUUUUUCUGCAAGCUUAGAUUGCUUAAGCUUCGUCAUCUCUCCCAUGAGUCUUCAAUAUCCAUAUGUCGUUUUGUUGAGAGUUCAACCAAUUUGGAAGAGCUAGUUGUAUGUGAAUCUUAUCUAGAAGACCCAAGCAAUAAUGAGGAAGCCAUAGAAGGCACAAUUCAUGACAUGAAAGUAAUAUUACCCUUUUCAAGAUAUAUUCGACAUCUGCAAACUCUAGAUGUGUCACAUUGUGACGAGUUAUCAAAAAUGUUCAGACCGACAAUUGCUGAAAAUUUGGUGACACUCAUUAAAUUGAGGAUAAGUAAUUGUAGGAUAUUGACAGAAGUCAUUAAUGAUGAGAAAGGUGGGGAGGGGUGUAUGGUAGCCUUCAAUCAACUUAAGUCUAUGGAGCUUGAUGGGUUGAUAGGGUUGAGAAGUUUCAGCUGGAUACACUUUGAUGUUCCCGCUCUUGGAAGAUAUCAUUGUGACUAGGUGUCCCAACAUGAAGUUUUUCUCUCAAGGAUCGAUAGGGGCAUCAAAGUUAAAGAGAGUUCAAGUGUCAAAGGAAGUGUGGUUUUGGGCGGGAAAAUUCAACAUCACUAUCCAAAAUAUGUUUGAAGAAAUGGUAUGCACCAAUUACCAAAUUCCAUGCAUUUGGAUGGUUUUGACCACUAAAUGAAUAAUCGCUUUUUGCUAGCUAGAAGUUUACGCUUAACGAUGCAUUUUUUGACAGGGUACGUUUGCUGGAGUAGAGAAAAUGCUGCUGUCUGAGUUCCCAGGGCUGAGUGGAAAAUAGCAUAACAAACUUAGUCCCAUCAAGUUGUCUUGGCAAUUAAAAUCAAUGGUGGUAGAUAAAUCUCCGUUAUUUAUUAACGCUAUUCCAUCCAGAUUGAUGCUUGUCUUAGACAAUUUGGGCUAUUUGCAAGUGUGCAACUAUGAGUUGCUUGAAGAAAUAUUUGAUUUGGAAGGGCUGGAGGUUGUGGAAAGCACUCGAAUACUACCUCAACUAUGGGAAUUGAACUUGGCCAAUCUACCAAAAUUGAGGCGACUGUGGAAUAGAAAUCUUCAAGAAUCAAUGCGCUUUUAUUCUUUGGCUACUCUCAUACUUUAUAAUUGCAAUAACUUGGGACAAGCUUUUACUUCAUCAAUGGCUCAAUGCCUUGCCAGUCUUCAUCAAAUGGAAAUAAAGGAGUGUGGUCAAAUGGAAGAAGUGAUCGUAGAGGAAGAACGGCAGGGAAGUGCAGUGGAGAAGAUUACAUUCUCGAAGCUCCGGCAGAUGAAAUUGGAAUGGUUGCCCAAUUUGACUUGUUUCCUCUCGACAAAAAAUCAUACGCUGGAAUGCUCCAACUUACAAGUGCCGAGCAUUAACCAUUGCCCCAAGAUGAGAAGUUUGACUGGGCAAUCUUGGAUGGAGAAUGACCAUGGCACCCCUGCAUUUUUCACUUCCCAGGUCAGUCUUUCAAACAAAUGCAUCUUUGGCAUUUCAUUUGGAACAUGUUCUCAUAGUACUGGACAAUGCACGGUAUGAUGCAAAUUUUGUGCUUUGUGUGGGUUUAUAUACAUAAUCUUCUAAUAUUUAAUAAUAAGAUUAAAAAUAUUCUAAUCCUCAAUAAAUAUUACUAUUAUAUGUACAUCUCUAUAUUCUAUUAGAAGUGUUAAGUCGUUAUAAGUUCAUAAUUCAUAUCAUGUGCAGUACUUUAGAAUUAAUUAGUGAGGUUUUUAAAAAGGUGAUCACAACAACCAUAUAAAAACAUUAACUUUUUGCAAUUUCAAUUAUAAAGAACUAAAUAGCAAACACAAAAUAGCAUCUAAAAAUGGCAGAAAAAGUAUUAAGUAUUGCCCCUUCAUAUUUACUUGCGUGGAAGCAAAUUAGCGUCGUUCUAUUUAACAUGAAUAAAAGGGAAAAAAACUUCAUAUUUAUAAAAUCCAAUUUCCCAAAUUGCUUAACUAUUACAGCUCAUUAUACCAUAAUCAGUGAGUUGACUUUUUUAUUUCUUAAUAAUCAUCAAUACUUGAGCUAGGUCUUGAUAAUGAGAUAAAUAAAAAUAAAAAGGUCAAUAUGCAUGAAGUGGUUUGCCUUCUCCAUUCGUAAAUCAUUCUCCAUUCGCUAUACUCCAGCAACCUAUCAAAUUACGUACUUGUAUUAUAGAAUAAAUAUUAACUCUAGACUAUUAUAUUUAGUGAUAAUUAGUGUGAUAGUGCACACAAUCUAUGUUAGGCAAGAGAAAAUGUAGAUUACAUUUUCCAGAAAAAGAAAUGGCGAGAAAAAGGAAAAAAUAAAGAGAGAAAAUGACAACUGGAUAAUAAAUAGUAGCAAUUCCGUGGGCGAUUACUGACAUUGCAAGUCUUAUUUCAUAACUAAAUGACAAAAUUUAGUCGAUGUCCAAGCUAAAAUAAAAAUUUGAAAAAUUUAUCAAAUCAACAACACCACCGAAGGGAAAGUAUUAGGUGCAUUAAUUACAUAGCAUAGGAUUCAUAUUAAAUCAUCUGCAGAUCGACGCGUGUCAAUCGAACCAUCAAAAUUUUUGCUCCCCCCUCUCUUCAAAUAACGCCCCGUUACUGGAAAGCUCAACUCUGCUCUUCCUAGUGUGGCUUUUCUCUCUCGCUCUCUUUCCUCUGUGAAGGUGCAUCUCUAUACAUGAACCACACCUCGGCGUUGGCCUCCGUCGGUUGCGGUGCGCUCGCUGAACAACGGAAAAAAAAAACAUAAAAAGGAAGAAAUUAGACGAAGUCUAUUUGAUGUUUUAGCUUCUCUCUCCUUAAGAACUGUUCGCUCUGUCAUUUCGUUUCACCUUCCUCCUCCUCUUCGCGACGAGGGGGAAAAAAGAAAGUGAACCAAGUCUACACAGUCAAGUAACAAUAACUCUUCUUCCUCCUCCUUACCCCCCAUCCUCUACCUUCUUUUUUUGGGGCGAUUGAUAGGGUGAUCCAUCCAAUGGUUGAAUCGGAAGCUUCGGAAUCGCUUCUCUGAAGUAUGCCUCCUCUCUACACGCGUGCAUGUGUGGGUUUUGAGCAAUUACGCAAACUGGAGCUUGUUGCUUUUGGUGGGCCAAUGGGAUCUCCGAUGCGGAAGCGAUUUCAGCAUUGAUUCAGCUGGGGCAUUGAUUCUGGCGAAGAAAAAUUAAAAAAUCUUCUCUUCAGCCCUCCCUUCCUCCUCCUUCGUCCACAGCAGCCCAACCUCCGCCCCUCCUCCGCCGUCGCCCACGGUGGAGUUACCGGCACCUUGAUUAGGAUGACCCUCACUAUGUCUAAGCUGAGCAUGGCCGACUUCCUCUGAUUUGUCCGUCUCAUUGUUCUACAGAUCUCGAAAUUAGGCUGACCCUCACUAUGCUUGCGUUUUUUCUUAUUCUAAUACUUUUGCAUAAUUCUUUCUAUUGUUGCCUGCGAGUAGAAUGUUUAAUUAUGAGGAGUAUCUAUAUAUUUGUUUACUUUUUUAUCGUAACAGUUAUCACUAAUUAUUUAUUUACUUCUAAUGUCAUUUGCAUGUAUAAGUUGUCAUGUAAUAAUAGGUAUCCCCGCACAUUUUGAGGAUAUUUCAAAAACUUAUUGUUACACUGAAUCGAGAAUACUAAUAAAUUUGGGGAAGCAUAAAAAUAGUCAUAUGAUUUUUUGGUAGUGACAGGUUGUGAUAGCGUUAAUUUCAUUUUUGUGUCAAAUAUGCGCUGCCUGUAAUACUAAGUUGCUCCCACAUUGUUAGAUAAUUUCAAAUACUCAUCAAAAUGCUCAAUUAAGAAUAUUAAUAGACUAAGGGAAGUGUGGAAAGUCAUUUUGUUUUUUUGGUUGUGAGAAGUCCUAGUUGCGUUAACUUUAUUGUAACCAAAUGAAAAAUAUCAAUACUUUGCUUUUUAGUGGACAAUCAUAUUGUGGUCAUAACACGGUAAAAAAAGAAAAGAAAAAAAAACACAGUUGAAUUUCUCCAAACAAACGUAUUGUGGUCAUCCGCUUCUUUUUUCAGUUCUUUUUAUUUUUCUUUUAGUCUCCAACACCCGAACAAAACUCCAAAAUCCUCAAGACAAGGCAUCAAUUAAGGAUAAGAAAUUGGUUACCAUUUUUUGUGAGUGGUUGGCCCGCUAGCCCACUGCAAGAUUCUACCACAAAAGUGAAUAAAUAAUAUUUCAAGCAAAGUUAUUAAUGGUCCAAUGUAGAAUUAGUAAGUUGGCCCAACUUGCUAUUCUAUGAGAUCAUAAUAUAUGUUAAUUAUUCCAAUCAUUAUAUUGUCCGUGCCUAUUACAUAUUUAUUUUUUCUAAUACAAAAAUUUUUCUGCACAUAAUAAAGAAAAAACUUGUAAACAGUUGAAGUAAUUAUUAUUUUUAUCCGGUUCACCAUCUAAUUUGCAUGAUGCUCCUCAUUUGUGAACUUUAUUAAUUGAAGAUUCAUAAGUAAUGUUCGCCUAUUACAUAUUUAUUUUCUUUCAAUACAAAAAUUUUUCUGCACAUAAUAAAGAAAAAACUUGUAAACGAUUGAAGUUAUUAUUAUUUUUAUCCGGUUCACCAUCUAAUUUGCAUGACGCUUCUCAUUUGUGAACUUUAUUAAUUGAAGAUUCAUAAGUAAUGUUUCGCAAUUGGUAUUAGUGCUGAAUAAGUAGCGGUGCUCAUAGUAAAUAGAGGAAAUAAUUUCUAUCGCAGGAAGACACAUUUGAUGAGUGUCGGACUUGAGUUGCCAAUCAAUUGUAAGUGAAGAUGCACAAAUCUCACUUGUGCUCCCAUUCCAUGGCUUAUUGAUCCCAACCAUUGAUCUAUUUAAAAAGUUAUUUCUAGAAUUUAUUACUCAAUGCAUCAAUGAUUGAUGAUGAUUAAGGCACCAUAUGGCGAAAAAAUGGGUUAGUAUAUCUCCAUCCUUUCCAUAUAUACAUGGACAUACUUAUAUAAUCAUCUUCCAUGCCCAUGCUAUUAAAAAGCAAAUAAGCAUCAUUGUACAAGAUUUCUUAUGUCUGUACAAAUAAACGCAAUGUCCAUGCAGCUGAUUCACUUUUGCUAAUAAUUUUUUGAUUAUUCUAAAUCUACUAGAGAUGAAAAUGGGAAGUUAAUUUCUUUUAAUUGAUAAGAAAUAGAUGUAGAACCAGCUUAUACCUAUCGCUGAAGCAUCAUUAUAAUGCACCUAUCAGUGCGGCAUUGGAGCCAACAUAAGAAAGAGAGAGGAAUGACAUGUAUGCAUAUCUCGAUUGGAUUGCAAUGUGAAGCACAUGCAUCAAAGCUUCUUUGAACCAUGCUUCAGCUACAUUCAUUCCUUGAACCGAAUAAAUUUAAGAAAUUCUUACCUUAUCUAAUGUUGCAUUAUCAAAAAAUCAGUGCAAGCAACUUUGAUAAUGAUCAAUGCAAACAAAUGUGAAAGUUGGAGAAUCCAAGUAUUCAUCAUGAACUUUCCAAAAAUUAAAGGGAGAAGGUAUUGCUAGUAGUAAAUGUCAAUUGAGGCACUUAAAAUUCAAUGCUCAAUGUACUAUUGAUUAUAAAUGCAUUUAUAAUUUCAUGCUUGUUGCAAUGCAAUAUAAUUUGCCUUAGUCAUUAGUCAAUUUAAAUGAAAGCAUCAACUACUCUCUUUUUUUCACUAACAAGCUCUCGCAUACUCAUGUUUUGUGAGAGUGAGGGAAGUUUAGAAAUUCUUUCUUUGAGGUCAUAACUCAAUGUGAUCAUAUUCAUUAUGACAUUUUUCUCAAUAUGCUAGGUACAAUGUGUCCAGCUUAGGUGGAUUGUUCUCUCCCAUAUGGACAAUUUAAGCAAAAUAUGGAGUGACGGUCCUCAAGAAACUCUCACUUUUGACAAUUUACAGAAAGUGCAAGUUCACAAUUGUGGGAGCCUUGAAAGUGUGUUUCCGCAUUGGGUGGCUACAAGUCUAACCCAACUUAAGGAACUUCAAGUGGAGUCUUGUGGGAUUGAGGAAAUAGUCACUAGUGGGAAUGAGACUCCACAUUCCAAUACUACUCAAGAUCUUUUCCCAGAAUUAACCUCUCUAGUGUUACUGAUAUGCCACAACUUAAGAACUUCUGCACCAACUUGCCCACUUUGAAAUGGCCAUUCUUGAAGGAAUUGCGAGUGACUCACUGUGGUAAAGCAAACAUGAUGUCUUCUGUAGCAUCUAUGAGCAAUUGGGCUCAAAAAGAUUAUCAAUGGGGCCUUUCAGACCAAGAAGCACACUCUUUAUUUGAAAGGGUAUGAUUUCAGCUGCUCUCCCUUAGUUUCUAUUUUGUUCUUUAAAGCACUCAUUGAUCUCAUAUCCACUACAUAAUCAACCCACGUUAUAUUGCUAUAGAAAACAUGAUCUCUCUAAAUUAUUAGUUUGUUCACAACAUUAAAAUAUUUCUAAUAUCUUGAGUAUACUUUUCAUUUGUGGACACCCAUAAGAUAUUUCAUAAAUUAUAAUUACAAAAAUAAUUAUAGAUUUUUGUUGAAGGCACAAUAUAUUCCUAAUCUAGUCUAGUGGUGCUCCUUGGGGAAAUCAAUGAAAAUUUGACAUGAGGUCCACUUCAAUGUUGACACGUGUUGCACAUUUGAACUUUUCUUCUCUAUUUUGUCUUCUAAAAAAUCAAAAAAAUAAAAUAAAAAUCAAUACAAACGUUUAACAAAAAUAAGAUUAGUACCUUAAUGCACUAUUUUCUAUUGUAUUCCUUAAUUGAUCUCAUCUUAUACAUAGUCAUCCUGUUGUAUCACUAUAGACAACCCAAAAUUCCUUACCUAUGAGUUUGAAGACAAUAUAAGAUAUUUUAUUAUAUCUUAGGCACACUUUUAAGUUUAUGGACCCAUAUGUUUCAGUAAUAUCAUAUGUGCAUCCCAUUACAUAAGUUUCCGAAGAUGACUAAUUUUAGUUGACAAGAUAUUUCUAAUAAAAGAUGAAUUUGAUGAGCUUGGAGGGAUCUUGACAAGUUCACUCUAUAAACUUAACCAUACCAACUUCUAUUUGAGACUUUUAAAAGCUUGAGACUUGAAUGUAGGGCUCUUGAGAUAUAAUGAACUUUAAGAAGAUGGCCACCUUCCUUGUGAAUCAUCUUAAUAGGUUUACUUUUUACAGCACAUGAUUUAUUGUCAAAACUUUGCUGAAUUUACUUCUCUUGUUGUAUUGGCAAUUCGACAGGAUUUUCCCAACUUGGAGAAACUUUUUUUAGUCAAUAACAAUAUUCAAAUGAUACAAGAUGGAAAUUUUCCGGAUGACAUGUUUAGCGAGCUAGGAGCACUAACACUGGCAUGCUUUCAUGAUAAAAAGGCCGUCUUUCCUUCCAUAUUCCUCCUAGAGAGAUUUCAGAAUCUACAGAGCCUUGAGGUCUUCUGUAACUCCUUUGAAGAUUUAUUCCCGGACGAAGGGUUUGUUGAAGAAGGGAAACAUCCAAUGCUUGAAAAUUUAAGAGAAUUUAAAUUAAACAAGCUACGCAACUUAAAGUCUGUGUGGAGAGAAGACUCUUUAGUGUCGAAAAUUCUUUAGAGCAUCGAAACAUUAAAGGUUUGGGAUUGUCCUCAUUUGAUGACAAUAUUUCCGACCAUGACAUCCUUCCGGAAGCUGACGGGCUUAGAGGUGAAGAAUUGCGCUAGAUUGGUACAUCUAAUAAUAGCUUCAACGGUCACAAAUUUGGUGCAUUUCAAAAGGAUAACUAUAAUAGAAUGUGAAAGAAUGAAAGAAAUAGUAGCUGACGAUGGAAAUGGAAAAGGAAAAGUGAUUUCUUUUGGGAAUCUUUUGGAUUUGACACUCCAACAUCUACCGAGCUUAGAAUGCUUCUCCUCCAUUCCGAGUUGCAAUUUUACGUUCCCAUCCUUAUGAAGUAUUGGAGUAGAAGAGUGCCCGAAAAUGAAGACAUUUUCUAAGAGUAUGCUAAGCACACCACGACUAAUUUGGGUGAGACUAUUCAGAUACAAGUUGGAUGGGAACUGUGGGGAGGGUAAUGAUCUUAAUACAACCAUACAGAAGUUAUCAGCAUAAACAAACGCAUAGAAUUUGUAAGAUCCAAUUGACGUCAUUCUCUCAUCCAUUUUUAUUUUCUUUUUAUUUAUUUAUUUUUGGCAGUGCCGUAAGUUUUGAAAAAUUUUCUUCUUGUAACUUUUCUGUUAUUGAUUCCGUCAUAUCAGCAUCACCGUCAACCCUAUCGAUCGAUCUCGGCUCAUCCUUCACUAAACAGAAGGAAGCAAAGCAGGGCUCUCCUUCUCCUUCCUGACGCCAGAGGCUCUCUCCAUCUUUCUUCUUCCUCCUCGGUGGAGCAAAACUGGGGGGAACCUCUGCUGCCUUCACCGAGGACGGAGCGAAAAUGAAGCAUCAGGAAUUGCCAGGACUGCGAGACUGCGAGAAGCGAAGCUGCACUUAGCGGAGCGGAGCCAAGUAGAUUCAGUCGUCCGCUCACUUCAUCAAAGCAGAAGAAGAUCACACUCUCUCUCCGCGUUUGCAUCCGACAAAUCGUAAGUUCACGUUUCUUCCGAUUUUGGUGUCUUAUUGCGUGUGAAUUAGGUUGAAGCCGGAAGUUGGUUUCGUAGAGACCUUCCUCAAUCCUCGCCUCCUUCUUCUAUGGCUAGGGCCCUUUUCUUCAACCUAGCAAUUUUAUUGCCCCUAAAUCCACAUCUUCUGUGCUUUCCUCGCGAGCAUUGGCGAGAGAAACGCGUCUGCGUAGGACAUCUCUGCAUGUUUGAGCUCCCAUCGAUGGAGAUGAUAUAGGGAGAGAUAUCUCUCGAGCAUCAUGAAACUUGAAAAUAUUCAGAGAGAAUUCCAUGCCUUGUCAAAAAUAUGAGGGGGUCACUUUUACGCCUUGUUCUCAAUGUACUCCAGACUGCUCAUCCUCAUGAGAAUUUCUUGUGGUUUGACGUGUCUUUGUUUCUGCUUGCGUAACUCUCUUUCGCAUUGUUCUUUUCAAAUUCUAGAAUAAAUUUUAACAAGCCCUUUUACUUUGUCUUGAUUGGUUACGAGAUGCUGCAACGAUAAAAUUUGUUUCCAAUUUAUGCUAAAUAUUUUCAUAGCAAGUCAAACUGAUGAAGUGUGCUUAAAUUGCCUCUUCACAGAACUGUCCCUCUCGGUGCUUUGCUUGCCAUCCUCUUGUGGUCCAAUCCAGGUACAGUUGAGGCGCCGUCGUUGUCUCGCGUUUCUUUUAUGUAGAGCAAUAACAUGGUUUUAGCUUCAGUUUUCAUUCGGUUCCUUUCAAAUUUAAUUCGUACCUAUUCUGCUUCUGCAUUCUGCAUGUCUGGUCAAUGGGAGGGAACUCCCGGUGUUCAUCUUUUUUGUUGGGGGAAUGGUUAUUGGAAAAAGCGAAGGGUGUCUUCGAGCUUCUACCAUUGAGAAGGAUAAGGUUGUGUUUUUAGAUGUGCAUCCAUUACACAAGGUUUUCGCGGCUUGCGGUACUUGUUAUGAUAAGCUUUUGGAUAGUGGAUGCAUCUAGAGUUAGGUGGUCCUAUUGAUCAAUCGUUCGCCCUUUUUGAAGUCGAUGCAACUAGGAUGGUCAUGUAAGGAGUGUGCUUCGUUUCAUUGGCUAUAAAAGAAGAUGUCAAUGCGAGUAGAACAAUGUCGACAGUCUUUUUGACGCCUUGUUCUCCAUAAACUCCGGACUGCUCAUCAUCAUGAGAAUUUGGAGGGGUGACUUGCGGUUUAACAUAUCUUGUUUCUACAUUCCUAACUCUCUUUCUGUCUUUCUCUUCAAAUUCUAGAACAGUUUCUAAGAAGCUCUUGUUUUUAUCUUGAUUGAUUACUAAUGAUGUGGGGGAUACUUUUGACUUCUGAUCUAUGCUGAAUAUUUUCAUGGCAAGUGAAAUUUAAGUUGCCGUUUUUCAAGUACUAGGAGGACCAAACAGUUAGCGGAUUAAGGCAUCCUGAGCUGGUUUUUUUAUGGUCCCACUCACCCAAGGCCUCUCACUGUUUUUAAAUCGGCUGAUAACUUUCCCAAUGGAGUACCCUUUUUCGAGGUGGUGAUGAGGCCCUCUUAUGUUAAGCAUGGCUUGGUAUGAUCCCACGCUUAUUGACUCAGACUGGCAAUGUCCGAAAAUCAAAUAUAUCGAUGCUUUUUAGAUCUUUGCUUAUAAUCUAGUGUAUUUCCAAGUUUACUUCAUUGUAUAGUAUACCACACGAUACAUUAUUUCCUUGAAGUGUCUGCAUUUCCAAGUUUACUUCAUUGUGUAGUAUACCACAUGAUACAUUAUUUCCUUGAAGUGUCCGUGGGUGGUUGGAGGUUCGAAAAGAUAACAAUCGUCUUCUUCUUCUUGUUGGAUAGAUGUUGUUGGAAAAGCAAUUGCUGAGGCGUCUUAAGAAUAGAAUCCAAGUUCUCUAAUAUGGAGCAAUCGGACAAUGUUAUUCAAUGCUGUAAAUUUAGAAUAUAUAUGUAAAUCACACCAGGAGACUAGUUGAUAUGGACAAGCAAAUUGCAAAGAAUUGUUGCUGCCUCCAUGACUAAAGAGAAAGACCUGAUAGAUAAGGGGAUGGCUUGUUAUGAUUCUGAAAUUUCAUUGUAGAUCUAAUGAUUGAUAAUUUUGUUUUCAAAUGGGAGAUACUAUUGUACUUCGUUAUAUUAAUCAAAUUUAGGGGGGAAAAGAUGAUUUUACUUUGUCAAAUUGAACCAACGGUUUGAUAAAAACCUUAUUUGAGCUGCACUUGAAAGAAUCAAAUAACUUAGGUUUAAAUUUUCAAGUCUAUCGAUGAUCCAGUGAUCAAUGUAUUUGCUUUUUCCCCUGUGAUUGUGAUUCGUGUGUCUGAAAUUGAUAUGUUUUAAAUAUAUAUAGGAUCUGGAAGGUUUCUUCUGAAUGUAUACCCUUUUGCAUUCUCGGAGCAUAGAUUUGACCUUGACUUUGGAUUGAUGGCUUUCGUUAUAUGGUUAUUGUCUAUUAAACUCCUGAAACUAGCAAGUAAUGCCUUAAACUCACGACAUGUACGAUUUGAUUCUCUCAUUAGGGUAUGCUUAUGUCUUGGUCUGUUCUUCACUAUAUGUUGGUUUUUCAACCAUGUAGAUGGGCAGUGUGCUCCUGUUCAAUCCAUCGCGUGACAUAUUCAGGACAUUAAGCAAAUUGCCACUCUCGGGUAUUUGGAUAGGUCAUGGAUGGUGAAGGUAAGGAGUUGUAGAUGAGAAUUUUUUUUUUUUUUUUUUUUUUUUUGGGGUGGGUGGGGGGCAGGGGUUUCUUUUUCACUGGUUGGCCCACAUUUGGAAGAGAAAGUCAUCUGUAUGUAGAAACUCAUUGAUAGGGAUGAUUUUGUGUUCAGAGUCUAUACAUAUUUACUAGUGCUGGUUAGGACUUGACUUACAUUGAUUGAGAUGAAAUCUGGAAUUGUCACUUUUGCUGGUCCAAAGGAAUUCAGUAUUCCAAAUAAUAACCCCUUUAUAUAGUCUUGAGGAAUCAAGGAAGGGUACUUCUAUGCCGAUUGGGUUUUAUGAAGUUGAUCAUAAUCCAUAUGCACACUCAUUAAUGCCACAUUCCAAAUCUGAAUAAACCGAAAAGCAUGUGCUUCAAGAUGUCCUUUUUGGUUUAUGCAUUCUUGUUAUGUUGUUCUUCGUUUUGAAUUUGAAAUCAGGACUCAUAGGCUUAUUAAGAUUAUGGGUUUUAUUUUUUCCACAGGGAAUACCAAAAAGGUCCAAGAGGACGCUUUUGAGAGAAUGGUGCAAUUAUUUGGCCUGUGGAAUUGGAAAAAAUGUGAUGAGAUGAUUUGGCUAGCAACGGGUUGGAAUGAAUUUGCAGAGCAUUACUCUAUCUAUGAGGGCCAAUUUUUGGUCUUCUAAUCUGAAGGGGACUCCAUUUUCCAUGUCACCAUAAUUGAUGAAAUAAUGUCCGAGAUAGAAUAUCCAUCAAUCAAUGUCAAUGUGAGGAACCGAGCCUCAGCAAUUGUGGAAUUGUCUUGCUGAAAGUGGAAGAUGCCUUCGAUUGCUGUGAUGUUUCAGUCAAGCUUGAAGUCUAGGGAGAUGAAUUGCAUUCAGCCAAGUGUCCUCAGUCUUGUAUGGAAAUGGAAUUUGUUCAGGUUUGCAAAGUUCAUGGCGGUUCCUAUGCAUAUUCAUCAGUAGAGUUUGGGGAGGGACAGAAAUUCGAACUGCUCAUCACAAGAUUUUCCAGGUGUGAAUCUUAAUUUAUAAGCUAAUUCUCCCCUUGACUGUGUUGUUCUUGUGUUUGAUUCAAAUACUGUACAGGAGCUGUCCAUGUCGUUAGGCUAAGAGAAACUGCACUAGAGUUAAUGCUACGAGAAACUGUGUUAGAGCUAAUUCAUUUUCUUAGUGUUUCUCUGUCUCUAGAUCUCCCCUGUGUGCAUAUGUAUGUGUUGGGACUAAAUGUGCCGGCGAUUGCCGUGAUGUUUUGGUUGAGCUUGAAAUCUUGGGGGAUGAACUGCAUUCAGCCAAGUGUCCUUAGCUUUGUAUGCCAAUGAAACUUGAUCAGGUUUGCAAAGUUCAUCACAGUUCCCAUGCACAUUCGUUACCAGAAAGUUUGGGGAGGGACAGAAGUUCAAAUUGCUCAUCAUGAGAUUUUCCGGGUGUGAAUCUGAAUAUAUUAGUAAAUUCUGCCCUCGAUGUGUUGUUCUUGUGUUUGAUUCGAAUUCCAUCAGGAACUCUCCACAUUGUUAGGCUAAGAGAAAUUGUGUUGAAGCUAAUUCACUCUCGUAGUGUUUCUCUGUCUAUAGUUCUCCCGUGAAUAUGCAUGUGUUAGGGGAUCUCAUAAAUAAUGGAAACAAGCUAAGAAUCGUAUUGGUGUGCAUAUAGGCCUUGGGAAGCUAGACCAUUAGUAAGACUCAGAUUGAUUCAUUUAGGGUUGCUGGGUUGGCAGAUACGAGUUUUACAUAACAAGAAUAAGAUACAAAAGCAAAAGCUUUCUUCAUGUUCUGUUUGUGACUACUGCAGGUAAGCUGAAAAAGUGGCGCUUAUGCAGAGCUCUCGAACCAGCCAGCAAAUUUAUACUCGAUUAUCCUUUCUCUGAAAUUGCGGUGAGGUUAAUACAUCUGAAGAAAAACAAUGUGGUAAGAUCCUUGUAAUAAUGACGACUCUUGGAUUUAAAUCACAUAAAGCAACCUCAUACUGUCUUCCUCAGAAAUCCUUGGUUGUUUUCUUCUUUGUAAUGACAAAAUUGCGCAAUUUUUACUUGAGCAGAGAGUUCCUGGUUCAUUCCCAAAGACACACGUUAAGAAAAGCCUGCAGACCAUGGCUCUCAUAUUUCAAGAUAAAUCAUGGCCGUUGAAGCUCAUCAGCCACGAGCAUUAUGGAAAGUCAUCUGCCUGCACGAGAGAAACUUCUCUGAAGGUGGAAGAUGUGUGUGUGUGUUCAAGCUUUAUUGAAAGGGACAAAUAUCGGGUUCAGAGUAUCCAUCUUCAGAACCACUGAUAAGACUUGGGUGUAUAAUAAUACCAUGCAAUACGAUAAAGCAAAGGAAGCAUCGCCUUAGCUCACUUUUGGUGAGAAUAGAACUUACAGAAUUGCUAGGCUGAAUUUUGCUUCCGGUUCAGCAAAAUGGAUGAAAGCAUGAGUUUUGUUCCAAUGGAUGGAAUGGUCUUGAACGUGUACGAUACCUUUCCUUGAUCCUGGACUUAGUGAUCACCAUGUGGGCAAGAGUCGUGAGUUGGAGGGAGCUGAUAACUAAUCUGUAACUUCCAUUUCUAGAGAUGAUCUUUCAAAUUUGGUGCUUCUUUGAUGUUUCCGGUGGCUCAACCUGACCUUUGAAAUUGUCAAUGGUAGUAACGAUAAUUUUACAAGCUCCGGUGAACUUACAUCAGAUUCUUUUCGUCGUCUCUUUUCGAUUUUCUGAAGAUUUCGUGAUCAGUCUUUUCAUAUGUAAGUUUGUUAGUUUCUUCUCAUGUGAAGGGCUUUCAGAAUUUUUUUUAUUUCUAUUUUUUCAUAUAAACUGCAUGUUGAUAUGCAUGACAAAGCAAAUAUGCUGGCAUCUUUGCGUCACUGCAGCACGACUCUUCCGGAGGCUCUCUCUCGACACAGCAUCCGAGCCUCCAAUAGUGGCUUUUCGUCUUAGAAUCGGCAACAGCUUGGUGCUUUCGGACUCGCUCUCGCUGCCAGAUAAAGCUCUUCAAUUCUCUCUCUCUCUCUCUUCCUUGCAAGAGCUCAAUACCUCCUCCAAAGUCCAAAGUGCAACCGACGGCAAUGGAAAUUCGGGAGACGACAAGAGGAUGGGGGAAAACAAAAGCGAAACAUCCUGGAGAUGGGACGUCCCGGCAAUUGUGACUGUUGAUCAAGGAAACUACUCCGUGGUCAAGUUUCGCUGUCGUGGCUGCAAGGCGACUGGUAUCUUCGAAUCGGUAGCCACACUCUUUGUGCUUCCGUCGGUGCUGGAAGCAACAAUCGUCAGAGAACUCAAUCUCGAUGAAUCGUUGGUGGGUGCUCCAUUAACGGUUGGACUCUCUCCAGAUUUUCUCCGACUAAAUUUUUUUUGCAUCUUCUCUCUCUCUGGCUCUGGAUUCCCCUGAUUCAUCUCCACCAAUCCAGAUCAUCCCCACGGUGAAGCACACCAUCAGAUUCCAUAUUCGAGUCAUGGCCACUCUGAUUCGAGUCGUCGCUUUUCCUGUCCUUACCCAUGUCUGUCGCUGGGCCAUCUCAGGCUCACGCGGCCAUCACCGCCGAACCAUCAUCAGGGCCGUUUCAUGUCCGAUUUAAGUUCCAAGUCAAAUUCCGAUUCACUCCAUAAUACGUUCUGUUGACUCUUGCUUCGUUCUGUUCCACUCCCACUUCAUCGCCGUCUUUCAAUUCCAUCGUUUCGCCCAUCUAUGCCGCGUGCAAAGGGGAUGCUGAGUGGUGUGUUCACUGUUUACAAGAGCUUUAUCUGAUUGCCAAGGCUGAGGUUGGAUGGAUGAUCAUCUGGAUACGAUCCACCGAUUCGAAGGAUGAGAUUCUUCGGGUUUAGCUCUCGGCUCCCCCGCCGGUCCGGCCUCGCUUCAUCAACCACAACAGCCGAGGCCAAUCUGGGUAGUCAUCAUCAUCCGAGACGAUAUGCCAAGCGUGAAGAUUGGCGACGGUGAGCACGAAGAGAAAACAACGAAGAACAAAAAGGAGCGAAGCAGCGGAUGGAGAUGAUUUGGAUUUUGCGUGGGGAUUGUGGGGAAAACGGGACAAACGAGGUGAAGCCGAUGGUGGUUCUUUGGAUGAGAAGGAAAUAAAGUGUUGAAAAAAAAGAAAAAAAAAAAAGAGACGAAGGGAAAAAAUAGAGUGCCCACGAGAAAUCGAUCAAAAGGAAGACUUGCAGAAGAGAUGUAAUUCGUCAUUCCAUCGAGCACCUUCCUUGCAAACUCGAUCCCUCCUCCACAGUGCAACCAACGGCAAUGGAUCUUUGGAAGACGGCGAGAAAGAAUAGGAUAAAAACGAAUGGAAACAGAUAUCAACAGACGAAGUCAAAGCAUGUCGAAAUUAAUUCUAGAGUCAAAUCGAAGAUGAAAUGACAUGGUGAUAGGAACGACCGUCGAUCUGACAUAUAUUAUCAUCGCCUGAAUGUCAGCAAGGAACGGGCUAUCCAUGGAUAUUUCUUAUGGUGCGAUCUUCGUUCCUCCGUCUGUUGUUACAGAAUCGUUUCACUUUCUCUGUCUCUCUAAGCGCAAUUCAACGAACACCUUCUGCUCAGAGGACGCAGCACAUUCAAUGACCAGGAAACUCCGUGUGUCAAGUUCUUCGCCAUGCAUCGUUUUCUCUACGUCCAUCUUCAUUCUUCACCAAGUCUUCCUCCAUCAGGGUCGUUUCCUAUCCGAUUGAACUUCCGAGCCCAGUUUCGAUUCAUUCUAGAAUACGUUUUGUCGAUUCUUGCUUCGUUCUCUUCUCUCCCACUUCAUCGCCGCCUUUCGGAUUACAAAUGCAGUCGCUCGCGUCCUUCGUUUCGCCCGUCUAGGCCGCGCACAAAGGGGAUGUCGGGCUGGUGUAUAGGAUCCACUGAUUUGAAGGAUGAGAUUCUUCGGGUUCACUAGCGGCCCUCCUGCCGGUCCGAGAAGCCCGUUGAAAGGAAGACUUGCACAAAAGAUGGAAUUCCUUGAGAGGAAGAUUCAUCCCACAACUGAGCCAUCAUUUUCAUUUUCUUUUCCUUAGAAAAAGGCAUCAAAAACUCCAAACGACGCCAUUACCGCGUCUCUUCGCUUCACAUACCUUUGUCGGAUCUCUCCCUCCAUCUCGAUGCACUCCCUCGCUCAGUGAAUUCCGAGUCGCUCCACCAUCACCCUCACCGUCUACUGCUGCCUUGAAACCGAGUUGCACUCACCUAUUUCCAGUGCGAGCCUCGUGAUUGAUUCCGUCCCUCGCCGUCUUUAGAAACUUUCGGUGAUAAUUUUUUUUUUCCUUCUUCCGGUUUAAAUCGCGUUUUCGUAUUGUGGAUUCUUACGUGUUUUGACAGAGGCUUCAAUCUGGUGGCCUCGAGCAAUGUUUAAUGCUCGUCAUUUUGCUCAUCAAUGGAGUUCGUGUCAGAUUUUUUUUUUUCCUUUUUUCCUUGUUUCCAAUCGUGAAUCCGAGACCACUUGGAAACGAGCGAAGAUUGAACUGAAAACGUCGUGAGAAAUUGCCACAGCGAACAAGAGUUGUGCAGAGUUAAGCUCGGUCAAACAAUGGUUCCGUUUUCCUCUGUUUUUUGGCAUCCUAUCCUAUAGUUACUUCUGGAUUUAGUUGUGGUGCAAGGGUGACUUACUAGCCAUUCCUGAUCAGUCCUUCGGUUAAUGCUUUUCUCUAAAUCUCGACUUGAGGAAACCUCGGAACAUAAGUUUUUGCACUUCCUCAAAUAAUUUCAGUAGUUUGUCUCAAUAUUUUCCGUGCUCAGCUAGCUUCACAUUCUAUAUGGAAUCCAUCUACAAUGUAAUAAUCUCUUCUACUAUAUGUGAGAAUACCCUAGAGUUGUGUAAUGCGGUCGAUGGUACGAAAAGUGCUAGGUAUAAACAAUCGGUCUACCAACUUGGUGUGCAAAUGAGAUUUUUCCCAUCAUGUAGUCUUUUUGUACAAUCAAGUUACUAAACUUUGAUUUCAAUUGCCUGAUGCACUAACAUUAUUUUUCCCCCUAUCCAAUCAAUGCAUUAUGAAGACUUUUCAAACAAUUUUUCUACGCAUUAUUGACGUGGUGUCUUACAUAUCUGAUUGGAAAUGCUAUUACAACGACAUGAUGCCAUAUGGGUCUCAAUUAAGAAAAAAGCCAAAAACAAAAAGUUUAAAAAAAGAGAGGGUUACGUGGCCCUUGUGUUACGAGGGGAGGUUCUCAAGGCGUAAGCCGAUCAAGAGGAAGCUAAAGUGAUCAUAAGUAUCUAAAUCCUUUUUUAUCCCCAUUAGAUUUUUAAAGAUUUCUUUAAUUGAGUCCAUAAUUACUAUUUUCAUUUCAAUAAGUGAUUUUAGAGUCAUGAAAAAUCUAGUUGCUAGAAGCAAGCCAAACCAACACAAUGGUAAUUUCGUCACAUAUUUUUACCAACACAAUCGUAAUUUCAUCACAUAUUUUUACGCUCAAGGGCAUUGGUUUAUUUACUAAAAUAAUCAUUACUUAUUGAAGUUUGCCUCCACUAAGAAAAAUCUCUAGAUGCAUCCAUGGAUCAACCAUAAUUUGGUCGGGUUUCGAUUAAGUUACAAUUUCUGAAGUUCAUUCCGCAAUUGAAAUGAGAAUUUAAUGAUUGAUUGCAAAAAUGCGCUAUAUAAUUCAGUCAUCACAAUUGAUUUACCCUAAAUAAGUAGGUCUUAUAUUUUGAAGGUCAGUCUUAGUGCGUUUAAUAUUGUUCUUUAAGUAAGUAAUAGUAAUAUUUGUGUUCUUUUGGAUAUAUAACGCAAUUCCAACACAAGUCCACACUUUAACUUCUGGCCUAGCCUCAUCCGAUCAAACUUUCGCAAAAUUCCCAUCAAUCAAUCUCCUUUUCCUCUUCAACCGAGAGGCCAUUCGUAGCCACAAUCACCGCCUUCUCCCCAUCUUCAGUUGAAUGAAAACCUGCUGAAUGAGCGUCAUGCGAUCUUUUGCGGCCAUUUUGGCUCAGUCUUUGAAAGUUGAGCUGAAAACUUUUAGGGAAUAAAUAUCUGAAAUCAUUUGAUAUAGGACGACACACUCUGCUUCUGCUUUGGAAUCGUAGGUUAGUGUUAGUUUUUGAAUUUGUAUGUCAGAGAGAUGAGCUAGUCACGUAUCCAUCUUCAACUGUUGAAGUUUCUGCUGUAGGCAAAGGUGAAAUCAAGACUUGAUUAUGUGCAAGUGUUCUGCCUGGGUUUUCUCAUGUGAAAUCUAGGGAAACCAAACAACCUCUAAGCUGUGAUUUCUCCUAUUAUAGGUCUAGGAGAAAAUAGAAGAAAUGAUAGCGUAAAAUAUAUAUAUUUUUUCCUUUCGGGCGUUCCGAGAAAUUACUCAGAAGAGCUCUAUCUUUUGACCGGUGGUAAAAAAUCUGCCGUUUUAACCUGUGCGCAAUCCCAGAUUUUUAACUAGUACCAAUAUACAGGAUGUGGUGGCUUCUCAAAGGUGUUGUAGCACUUCUUUGUGUUCUCAUUUUGACAUCUAUCAAGCUAAAGUAGAAUGUGAUGAAUGGAUAUUCACUAGCGUAUCUACAGUUUUCUUUUUCUUUCUUUCUUUCUUUCUAUAACAUUUCAAACUCAUUCGUUUAUGAUUGUUUUCUGCAAUUAUGUUUGUCUCCCAGUUUCUGAUUAAUGUCUCUUUUUAUUUUAAAUGGACUGCUGUGAACGGACUCUUUUUGUUUUCUCUUCCUAUUUUGGCUGGAUCGAAAAGUCUUCUACUGUGUUGAUACAGCUGUAGUGUCGCAUGCUCCAAUAUUUUCGGACUUGCUGAACGGUAGUUCUUCAAUUUAUAGCGUCACCCCACUUCUUGCAUUGUAUCAAAUUAGGUGCUUUGAUGGUGGGUAUCUACUAUUCAUAACUGUCAAUUUAGUAAACAUCAAUUUUGUCACAAGAUGCGUACUAUGUAUGCUAGUGCUUCAUUCUCUCUUUCUUCGGUUCUAGUAGGUAUGGGUGGCUGCUACUAUUGGUGCCUUUUACUUUGCAUAAACAAAAGGGAUACACGCUUACUUACUUCGAUUAACUCCCACCUGAAGUAUCCUUCUCCCUCCACACUCCGACCUCGUUCUUUGUUUAUCUUCCUAUUUAUACCAGUUUCUCAAUUAAGAGUAUUUGAAACUAAGCAAGAAUAGACUUGUGGUGACUCUUGAUGGUGAUAUUUUGUCUAAUCCAUGUCGUACCACAUCAUUAGUACGCUUAGUACUUCGUCAUGAAGCAACCGAAAACAGCAUAUAAAAGGGACAUCCUUAUUAAAGAAGGAACCACAAGGACACUUCAAGGCCAGUAUCGCUAGUGCCAGCACAGUAGAAGGAAGAGAACUAUAGAAGGUAUAUCUAGGAAAUGUUCCAAUAUUCAAUGAGGUAAACCCAACAUAGCUAAGAAGUUCACCUAGACUGCAAACCUAGAACAUCUAAAAAGCAAUGAAUGAUGUACGUAAUCUAGCCUUUGUAGUAUGUAGCGUUCAGCAGGAAAGCUAUGUCUAGAAAUGAGAAGCCCGUAGAAAACUACUUUAAUGAACAUGCCUCAGAUGGACAGCAAAGCUGAAUGAUUGCUUAGUUGAGCAGAACAUGCCUAUGUGAUCUAAUAAAUUGCACAAUACCAUGUUAGGAGGGUAAAGAACCCAUGCAUGAACAGAAGUUAUAUGCCCUAUACACUUAAAACAUUUAGUGGACCGGUGAACCUCCCCGUUUGUCAUGAUUCUGAUCUUUUUUUCUUUUUUUUAAUAUGAUCUGCGUGUGGAAUGAGCUACGAAACAAUUCUUGUUCAAUUGAUCUUAUUGAUGAAUUAUCCGAUACUUCGGUUUGGCAGCAAUCCUGAUGCAAAAUCCUGCUGCAAUAUCAUCACCAUUUAAAAGAAAGGAAAAUGAUAUAAACAUAAUGGAUUGAAUCUAGCAUCAAUCGAAAGUCAAUCAACAAAUGUCCAAUUCCAUGACCUCAAUUUCACCUCAGAAGCAGCUAAGAAAACUUACGGGAAGAGGAGGGAGGAGCUAUGCGGUGAAAAGAGGAGGAACAGCUUGCUGUAGGAACUACAGUGGCAUUGCCGUGGUGGUACUCAAUCCCCAGGUACAUUGGAGGUCGCACUUCCACCCUGUUCUUUGCUUCAUUUUUCUUUCAAUUUAUAUCAGUUUCUCAAGUAAGAGUAUUUGACACUGAGCAAGAACAGACCUGUGAGCAUGAACAGAAUGAUAGCCCAUGGGGUGGUCACUCUUGCUGGCGAUAUUUGUAUAAUCCACGUCAUACCUACAUUGUUAGUACACUCAUUACUUCCUCAUGAAGCAGUCAAAAAGCUACAUAUGAAAGAGACUUCCUUAAAAUAUAAAAGAAACCACAAGGGCACUUUGAGGCCGGUAUCAUUAUGCCUGCAAAGCAAAAGGAAGAGAAUUAUGGAGGAUAUAUCUAGGAAAUGCUGCAAUAUUAGAUGAGGUAAACCCAACGUGGCUAAGAACUCACCCAAACUGCAAACCUAGAAAAUCUGAGAAGCCAUGGAGGAUACAUAACCAAGCCUCCGUAAUAUGUAGCGUUCAGCAGGAAAGCUACGCCUAGAAAUGAGAGAAUUUGCUUUGAGGAUUGGAAGCACAUAGAAAAGUGCUUUUCCAGAUGUGCCUCGGAUGGACAUCAAGUUGAAUGAUUAGCUUAGUUGAACACCCCUCUGUGAUUUGAUUCCAAUCAAACUAGUCAAAACACAUUAAUAACUUCCACAAUGCAAUGUUAGGAGGGUAAAGAACUCAUGCAUGCACAGGAGAUAGAUGUUCAAUGCAUACAUUUAAAACGUUUAGUGGACCUUGUGAACCACCCCGUUUGUCAUGAUUUUGAUCUGACUACAUCAGCAAUCGAACACACAUUAACAUAUAAGUAAACAGGAUUACAUGAUACAACCUCUUGGUUGAAGUGAUUCAUGUAGAACCAAAACAUACCCUCCAAGUUCUCAGUCUGUUCCUGUUUGUAAUGCCUAGCAUGGCAAUCAUGAAAAUGGUGACUACAUUCCCACCAAACACCACAAUUGCGGACAGCGUUAAGGAGAAGCCAAUCCAAGAAUAGUGAAACUGCCAUACUACUCCAUUUGAACCAGAAAAGACAAGGUAUCAAAUUUAAAGGAUAUAUAUUACUAAAGCAAUCGAAAAAUCUAUUUCCAUCCUACACUUGAAAAGCCACAAACGGAGCUGCUCAAUCAAAAUCCCCUAAAACAACAGAUGCUCCAUUAACUAGUUAACGAACGAAUGAAACUACUUAAACAUUAAUCAUCAUAUUACUUAUUUCCAUAGAGAAUGGGCCAUAGGGACGAGAGAGAAGUGUGCAGUGAAAGCUUGUUUAAGUGGAGUCCUGUGAUCAUUCUUUUUCUCUACAGUUGUAAUGGAACUUCGCACUUGUGGAUAUAUAUUAAAACCAGUAAGUGUGAGAGAUAGCUCGAUGAUCACCGAGUUGAAAUAAAAGGCCUUAACCAAAAAUUUGAAAGGUGAGAGCAUCACGUGAUCCGUUCUAAAUUUGGCAUCAAAAGUCAUUGCAUCUGACACAUAUCUAAAGAUACAGAAAUUACAUGCCGAGAAAAGAUUCAUUGAUGAAAAUAUGUAGAUAGAAGCCCCGAUCAAGACAAUGGCAAAAGAUCAGAAACACCACAAGCGCAAGGCGAAAGUGAUUUGUCAAAACCACUAUGGUUUGCGAGUAAAGCGAUCGGAAUGAGCAACAGAACAAUUCUCAUUCAACCGAUCUCACCGGAAGAGUUUUCCGAUACUCCGAUUUGGCAACAACCCCAAUGCGGAAACCUGCUGCGAUAUCAUCACCAAUUAAAAGAUGCAAAGGAAAAAAAAAUGAUAUCAAUAUAACGGACUGAAUCUAGCCAUCAUCGAAAUUCAAUCAAAAAACGUCAAAUUCCAAGAUCUCAAUUUCGCCUCAGAAGCAACUAAAAAAACCUACGGGAAGGGGAAGGGGCAGGAGCCGCAUGGUGUAAAAAGGAGGAACGGCCCACCGUAGGGACUACGGUGGUGAUGCCGUGGUGGCUCUCAAUCCUCGGAUACAUCGGAGAUCAGAUAUCCCAACGACGGUGAUGGCUUGGUGUGAAACGGAGGAGAGGAAGAAAUGGAGGAGUUUCCAAGAAGUGCAACAGAAGGGACCGGAAAACAUGAAAUUGAAAAGGAAAAAAGUAAUCCUGAUUCAUUUGGGAAUUUUUUAAAUUUUUUUUUACCCAAUAACAAAAUUUCCUCAAUUUAAAUCGCUAGAAAAUGCCGAUUGUAGUGAACAUUUGUCCGGUUGACGAGUUUAAAUUCUUAUUUAAAAUGAAAUCCAUUUUAAACUCAUUGUUAGAAAAAAAAAAUUAUCUCAUUUUAGAUUUUUAUUUGAAAUUUUUCUUAAAUUAUGUAAUGGCUAUUUUAGCGAUAAAUAAGUCCUCAAACAUGAAAAUGAAAAGGGUGAGGGGGUUCUGGUGGUGGUCCCCAAUAUGCUGAUGUUAGGAAGCUUGACAAUAUAAAAAUGCAGGAGCUGGACUUCAAAGAUUUUCAUAAAGGUUUGUUGGGCGAAAAUUAUUCAUCUUAUUGUCUAUCAACAUGCGGUGAAAACCUUUACCAAAAAAAAAAAAAAAAACAUGCGGUGAAAAUCUCCGUACUUUUUUUUUUCUUGAUUUUAAGCUUCCCUGGCAAUGGAGGAGCCGGUUGCACAAAGACUCGUGGACCUCGACUUGGAAAAGCUUUUGGACUAUUAUCAAAGAAAAAAUUGUUGGAUGAUGAUUAUUGACCUUUCAUUAUUUCCAUUUUGAAGAGUUUUGAUAUUCUAUAUGCUUAUUUAUCCUAUAUUCUUCUUCUUUACAAACGAAAUUGUCAGCAUGAAAUGACGAUUCAUUACAAAAGAUAUUUACCUGUAAUAAUUCUUUCUUUUAAUCAAUAUGAGAACUAAUAAGAUCCAUCCGUGUGAUCUCAAAUCCAACAAGAUUCCUUUUUUUUUUUUUGGGCACAUCAUCUCCAUCAAAAUUGAUGAGAUUUUAUUACUCAUUGUUAAGUUGCAAAGGUGGUAAUUUAACAUGUGUACAGCGGAGAGAUUAUUGUUUACUAAUUUAUUCGUGUAAUCUCCCACAUUUAAGUUUAUUAACCAAAUCGAUCCAUUACGAAAUAUGCAUGUUGGACUAGGUUGGGCUUUUUGAGGAUAACUUAUUUCCUAAAUCUCUCCAUUUGACAUCAAACCUAGUGAAAGGGCGUAAAAGGACAGAUAGAGCAUCCAUGCCUAUAAUCAAAUCCAGUGAACACGAAUCUAGCAACCUAAUGAGUCCAUCCAUUAUUUGUGUAAAGUUAAGACAUUGUAAGGAGAGGCCCGAGUUAUAUAUUGAAAAAGUAUCAACGUCAAGAAUGUGAAAAAUCCUCGAAGCUCAUUUCAUUAUAGUUCAAAGUAUCGAAACUCCAUACAACUACGGAAAUUUAUUAUAGGAAAAAAAAUACUCGGCAUUUCUAUUGGGCUUCAACUUGUCUGACAAAGCCCAGGCUGUCGGAGGGCCCGAAUAUAUACCAAGCCUAUUUUUCUGCCCAAGGCGUAGUUUCGAAUCUCGGUCCCAGCCCAAGCACGAAACUGAUCCAUACGGUCUAGCCCUCAACAUAAGGUAAGUUGAGGUCGUUCGUAAAGCAUGCUCGUUUGCGGGCGUGAAUUGACAAUGCAAUCCGAAGGAGAAAUUGGUCCAAAAGCGAGACUUGCCCUACUUGAUAAGCAAGCUUCGCACCCCCUAUAAUUACAUAAGUAUCGUUGCAGAGGAAUGGUGCCUUAACUUUAACACAUUUUGGCUCUCUUUCUCAUUUCACACCCCUAUAAAUACACUUAUUCUUUUCAAUAAAAAAAAAGAUUAUACUUACUUAACCUCUCUAUCUUGCAAUUAUUGCAUAUUAGUGAUCACUUCAUGUUAACAUUGCCAUUUUUUUUUCUUUUUUAUUUGUUAAAAAAGAUUCAAAUUGCAAAAUACACUUACUCUUUACUAUAAUAAAUUAAGCUUCCUAAACCCCCACGAUUGUAAUAGUUGAUUGGGGUGUCAGGGAUCUCCGAUUUGAGAAUUAGAGAUUGCUUGUUUGAAUCACAAAUACUGUAUGCAAGUUAUUCUGAGUUAUAGCCACCUAUACAGGUCAUAGCUUUAAGCUCAACCUAUUCAACUUGUAGUAUUUUUGUAAUGGGCUUUAAGUAGAAGAGUCUCCCUGCCCACGCCCAUGGAUUAUUAAAAAAAUAAAAAUAAAAACAUACUCUAGGAGAAUACUAAUAUAAUAUAGCAAUUUUUUUAUACGCUCUUCUUCCUCAUAAACUAGGUAAUCAACUUGGUUACAAGGAGAACGUCCCUUGGGACUUAAUAAAUCAUAUAUAUAUACACACACUUAUUUAUUUUCAUAUACAUACUUAUUUAUUUUCGAUUAGAUAUCAGUCAUCACCUUUUUGAAUAGGCAUAUUAAAUAUAUGAAUUUAUGAGCAAUUUGACAUGGUGUUCCAAUAAAUGAGGUUGGCAAGAAAAUUAAGCAACUUCAAGUAUACCUUUUGAACUGAGCCUUUUUUUUUUCACUUAUAGCGAUCAUUAUGAGAGCUUCCUAUCAAUAGAUCCAUGAAGAUUUGAAAGAUAAUACAUGGAAAGUCAAGACUAAUUUUCAAUUAAUGGUCAACAUUAAUUAGAUAAGGGGGUCUAAGUUAGCCCAAGUCUAACCUGUCAACAAGUAGUUCAAUAUCAAAAACUGCAAAUCAAUAUAUAAAUUAACGACAAGGUCACUUUAGAACUGUGAAUCGAAUGAUAUUAUGAUUACCAUCACUAAAAACAUAUCAAACACUCUGUAAUUUAUGACAUGAAUCAAAAUCUUAAUAUAGUAAAUAGGAAAAUUACCGGCUAAGCAGUUGAAUCAAUAGGAUAGGGCCACACAGAAGCACACGAGUGCAUACUAAAAUUCGGAUUUGACGAAUUUGUUCCUUCCAAAACUCAAGCAAAAAGGAAAACGAAGAAAAGAUAAAGAACCUUUACAGACAAAAAAAGCACAAUCAAUGCUUUGGAAUUUUGAUAAUGCUUGUUCCUUACCUACGGAAUGUUUCUGGCACUUUAAUACAAACCGUUCGAUUGAUAUUACUAAUUCUCAACCGUCGAUUAUCAGCUUUUCCAAUUAAAGGUUGCUGUGUUUCGACGCUUCCGUUCCUUCACCACUUCUUUGGGUGGGUCCGUUAAUUUGUCUUUUGACUUCUUUUUUUAAAAGUACUUAUUCUUUCGUCCACUUGGUAAGAUUCUAAGCGUAAUUCAUCGAAGGCAUCUUGAUAUCAAGCACACGAAUACUAUCUAUAUCUUUUCUCGUGUUCUCGGGUAUUGAUAAGUUGAUGUGGUUAGUGGACAAGAAGGUCUAGAUAAGUUUGUAGUCAUUUUAUAGAGCGGAAUCUACUCCUUGAAGAUAUGAGUACUCGGUAUUCAUUUCCAACUUUUCCGCUUUUGAAAAGUAAAAGAGUGAUAAAGGGCAAUGGGUGUCAACAAUACCCCGGGCAUUACCAUGGUCUAAAACUAUGGUAAGGAGGAGCUUCCAAACUUUACCGUUGGAACCAAAACCCCAUAUAUGUAAGAAGUCAUUUUCUCACUUCCUUGUUUCAGUUUACAUUUGUAAAUGAGACCACAUUCGAGUGAGCAAAGUCUAUUUUUGUUGGUUUGGGGCGAAAAAUUCUCUUAAGGUUUCCGGGCUUUGCACUUGAGUAAUUUUGACAUCAAUAUUGCAAUCAUAAUAUAUGUAGCACGGGCACUCUCCGAAAGUCUUUGUGUCGUGUCCAACACUCCGACACGCGGUCAACGAGUGUCGAAAAAUCCGACAUGUGGUCAACUCUCUCCGACACGCGAGUCCAGAAUUCUGACACACGAUUCCAACACGCACGGGUCAAUUUUAAAAAUUUCUAAUACUUGAGGGGUCAAAAUAUAAAUAUACACAAAAGAAGUAAUAAAAUUGCUAUAAAUAUACACGCAUGGGUCAAUUUUUCUUUUUAGUUUUGUUUUUUUAUAAUUGUUUUAGUUUUUUUAAAAGUCUUUUACUAUGAAAGAAGUAAUAAAAAAUGCUAUAUAUGAUAAAUAAAUAAAUUUAAAAAUAUCAUUUCAGCAUUUUUCUUUAAACAAUAUUUUUUUCCUCUAAGUUUUAUGUAUUAUUGUAACAAAUUAAAAUAAUGAAUGAUAUUAUUUAAUAUUUUUCGUGUAAAUUAAUUCUAGGCUAUUAUUAUUAUUAUUAUUAUUUAUGUAUUUAUAUAUAAAAAUAUAUUUAAUAUAUAACAUGUCGGAACGUGUCGAAAUUCUCCAUUUUUAAGAAAUGAUGUGUCGGCGUAUCGUAUAAUGUCAUGUCGUGUCGCGUGUCGCGUGUCGUGUGUUCGUGUCGGUGCUAUAUAGAUCGUAACAAUCAAUUGGAAGAAAACGAUUAUUAUGAUCAUGGCAUUGGAAAAAGAAUAUCAAGCAUUGUCUAAUUUCUGACGUGAAUUGAAGUUUCAACAUGGUAAAAAGGAAAACUUACCGCUGAAGUACUUGAAUCAAAAGGACGGGGCCUUGAAGAAAAGCACACAAGUGAAUAAGAAGUUUUGGAUCUGAUAAUCGUUCAUUAUGCAGCUCAAAGCAAAAAGGAGAAAAAAGAAAAAGAAAAAGUAAAGAGCCUCAACAUUCCAAGUUCUUACUUUACGGUCUUUUCUUAUGACAUCCUAUAAAAGUUAUUAUUUCCAAGAAAGCAGCCAAACAUUAUCACCAGAAUAAGAUGAUUGGACCAUUCAUGCAAAAAAUGGGUUCGAUAUGUAUUCUUUUGUCCGAUAAAGCUCUGUCAUUGGAAAAGAAAAAAAGCAUUGCAUGUUGCUCACGAAUAAUUUAACUAGACUUUGGAUAAUGGGGUGUCCCCACUCCCCACUCCCACUCCACUUCUACCAAAGAUGUUUCAUAAGAAAAGCUAAAAAGAUGAAAGCGUCAAUUAUUCGAUAAUGACUUGGCACAAGGAGCACCACACACGAGAGACUUUGGCUAUAUAAUGUGGAUUUGAUUAUUAUACUUGUUCUUUCUACUUUUAUGAUUGAAACAUUACGUAAAGAAUGAUUCGGCAUUUUAAUACCAAAUCUCAGCUGUUGAUUGUCGACUUUUCCAGCAAAAAGAGUAGCUGUGUUUCAACGCUACCCUUCCUUCAUCCACUUUUCUAGUGGCCCCGUCGAUUUGUCCUGGAUGCUUCCCUGAGAAUUGCUUCAUUGAACCGAAAGCAAAAAUUCACGAGGCUAUAAAAGAAAUAUUUCUCUAGUGAGCCUUCCAUUCCAUCAGAACCUUUGAAAAAUAGUUAAGAAAAUCUUCUAAAUUAACUAUACAUAUAGACAAACACACAUUUACGCUCCCAAUUUAGCUUAAAUCACAUCUUUCAUGUAAGCUGACCAAAAUGUUCUCCACACAUAAGUGUACACUUAAGCAUUAAUAGACCCGCCUUUUAUUUAAAAAGAAUAUAUUUGCCUUUUUCAUUUUCUCUCAAAUCUAUUGUCUUGCGUCUUUUCUUAUCUAUUGUAGACUCUUGAUAAGAGAUUUUGAUAUGAAUCCUCUCACUUACUCUUCUUAUUUCAGAAUUUUUUUUAUACAAGAAUCUAUCUUAAGAGCAUCUUCAGCCUAUGAAUCACCAACAUCAAUAAUAUCCAUAUAAAUAUUUAUAGAACCAUCCAUAUUAGUCAUAACUUUCAGAAAAAUGAUUCUUUUUAAAAAAGUUAAAAAUUAUUUUUCAAAGUAUGAUAAAGUAUGAAUGCUUGGAUUAGAAAUUCCGUGAUUGGGUACAGAUACUCUAACGUUGGUUUCCCAGCCCUUGACAGCGGGAUCGAGUCUAUCGAGGCCAGGUUCUAGACCUUAAUGCCCAUGCCUAGGUCGUUGACUCUUGAGUCCAAAUCUAUUGAGGCGAGGCUCGCGAUUUCUGUGCAUUCUGCCUUGGUAUAUGUUGAAUAUGUAGGUGUUAUAUACAUUUCAAAUUCAAAUUCACGCAAGCGAGCGCAUGCAAAUAUCUAUGAAAAUGUCUACUAUCAUGAGGAAGAAUAAAGUUGCCCUUUAAUGAAUUUUCUCAAGUAUUUUGCAAGUUCCGAGGGUCGACUCGUGCUUUCUUUCUGCCUCUGCCUUGGUAUAUGGUCCACAUGAUAAAUUGACAUGAUGGCAGACUAAGCAAAGUGACAUGUCACGUGUUCUCUUUCGUCAAACGGUACAAUAAUUGCUAUUCUACGUCAUGUCACGUGAAUGGCUUAAGUCGAAUCGUUUGUUUACUUUUUAAUAGCUGAUAAUCAUCUCUUUCUUUCUCCAUUCGAUCGCUAUUCCACGCUCCCCUUCAUCCAUUUUUGGCGCUCGAAUCUCUUCGCCAUCGUUCGUCUCUCGCUCUGUUUCGCUCUUUCUUCCCCUCGGCACACCCAUUCUUCCUCAUCCUCUUCCUGCUCUUCCUCCUCUUCAGUAUCUGCUGCUCUUUUUCAUCGUUCGAUUGCCUAUUCUACGCUCCCCUUCCUUCGUCCUUCUUUGGCACUCGAAUCUCUUCGCCUUGUUCGUCUCGCGCUCUGUUUCGCUCUUUCUUCUCCUCGGCACACCCAUUCUUCCUCAUCCUCUUCCUCCUGUCUUCCUCCUUUUUCUGUGCUCAAAUCUCUUGGCUUUGCUCGUCUCUUGCUCUGUUUCGCUCUUUCUUCUCGUCGGCUCAACCAUUCUUCUUCCUCCUCCUCCUCCUCCUCCUCCGCUUCCUCUUUAGUUUCUGCUGCUCCUUUUCAUCAUUCUCCCUCUCCGUCUCUCUUUUUUCUCGCUCUUUCUUUCUCUGAAAAAAAAAAUCAAAGAAAAAUGUCGGCAGAUUCUGUCGUUGGUAUUGGAUGGGAUGUCUUGAAGCGCUAUGUAAUUGUUCCCAUCGAACGUGGAUUCGGAUACGUGAUCUCCUCCAAGAGAUUCGCGAACCGUCUUCGGGGAGAAGUCCAGAAUCUGAAGAACGAGGUUCAGAGGGUCGAGGUUCUUGCGGAACAGGCUAGAAGCAAUGUUCGGAAAUUCAACGAUGUCUUCACGGCGUGGGAGGCAAAUGCUGGCAAGGCCUUGGAGGAGGCGCGAGAGCUGUUGGACGAGUUCGAAAAGGCGACCAAGACUUGCUGCUACGGGACUCUUCCCGACCCCAGAUCUCGCUACCAGUUCAGCAGGAAGGCCGAGGACAAGAGCGAGAUCAUUAAUCAACUCAGUCAAAAAUGCAACAGAUUCAACGGAUUGGACGAUAUCUCCUUCAUCGAUCCUGCUUUCAGGAAUGUCGCUGCCCCGAAUCCGGCCAGGAGAGAAGGCAAAGAUGUUGUUCACUCGACCACUGCAACAGCCUCUGCUUCUUUUGUGUCAACGUCAAUGAAGCUUAGGGACGGUGGCGUCUUUGAAUCCAGAGCUUUGAUGAUACGGAACAUCAUGGACGCUCUUGCUGAUAACGGCAAUAGCGUGGUUGGGAUUUACGGGAUGGGUGGGGUUGGCAAGUCCACUCUUUUGGCGGAUACCGAAAAAAUAAUAAGGGAAGAGAAGUCCUUCGAUCUGGUUGCUCAGGCCGACGUGUCCGAACAUCAAGACAUCAAGAGGAUUCAAGAAGAGAUUGCACACAAGUUGGGCCUAAGUGACCUAAAGAAUGAAGAGUAUGUCAGCGUGCGAGCGGAACUUCUGCACGGGAAGUUGAAAGUCGAGGAGAGCAACGAAAAGACGGUCCUCAUAAUACUAGACAACCUGUGGAAGGGGCUCGACUUGAAAUCGGUCGGCAUUCCUUGUGGACCUGACAACAAAGUCAUGGGAUGCAAGUUGUUGUUGACGUCGAGAGAUCGCGACGUUUUGCGAAGGGAUAUGGGCUGUGACAAGGACUUCCACCUUGGUGGGCUGAAGGAGGAAGAGGCAAAAACAUUGUUUGAGAGGAUGGUUGGAGACAAAGUUCACGACGAUGAGUUCAAACCUUGGGUGGAAGUAACACUCGACAAAUGUGCAGGUGUGCCUUUCUUAAUCAUUGCAGUGGCAAAGCGUUUUAAAGACGCCGGUUUAUCUGAAUGGAAGGAUACUUUGAAAAAAAUCGAGAAGUUUAAAGAUAACAAAAUCAAUGACUUGAUAAAUCAGAUGUUGAAAUGGAGUUAUGAUAGAUUAGAAGAGGAUGAGAAGUCAUUAUUACAACUUUGUGUCGUUUAUGGUAUCUCCACGCCUUCUCUUGAAAAUUUGGUGAGGUAUGGUCUCGGUAUGGGGUUAUUUAAGGAAGUUAGCAGCAUAGAAGACGCUAGAGAUAGGUUGAGCUCACAGAUUCGAACUCUUCAAGCCUCCUCCCUUUUGUUAGACAGUGAAGAUGUUGAUGGUUUCAAGAUACAUGACUUGGUUCGUGAGUUUGUUGCCUCUGUUGCAUCAAAAGAUCACCCUCUUCUCGUGUUGACAGUUAAAGAUAAGUCGAUAACAGAGUUGCUGAAGGACAAGCUUAAAAGUUGUAGAGCGGUAUGCUUUCCACACAUUGACAUGAAGGAGUUUCCUAAAGAAUUAGAUUGCCCCGAAUUACGCAUCUUUUUGCUUUUCACCAACAAUGAAUCUUUUGAGGUUCCAGAUUCAUAUUUCAACUCUAUGGAGAAACUCAUGGUCUUAACUCUUACUAGCACACAUCUCAUUCGUUCGCCAAAGCCAUUUCAGUUAUUAGAGAACUUACAUACUCUAUGUCUUGAGUAUUGUUCGCUAGAGGAUGUGGCCAUUCUUGGCAAGCUAAAAGGAUUACAAAUCCUCAGCAUUGUGGACUCUGAAAUUCAGCGAUUGCCGAAAGAAAUUGGGCAACUAGUAGAGCUAAGGUUGUUAGACUUGAGCCGUUGUUCACAACUUGAGGUAAUUGAACCGGGUGUGCUUGGAAGCUUGAUAAAAUUGGAGGAGUUGUAUAUGAUGAAUAGCUUUGCUCAAUGGAAUGCUGCGGAGCUGCCAACUCCACCAACUAAUGCAAGUCUUGUUGAGUUGAAUAACAUGAAGAAACUGUGCACUUUGUAUAUAUACAUUCCCAAUCCGAGUGUGCUCCCAAAGGACCUAAAUGUCGAGAAAUUAACCAAGUACGAAAUCCGAAUAGGUUAUGCAUGUCACCAAAGCGAUUUCGAAGGAUCGAGGACGUUAGAACUGAAUUUGAAUCGAACAAGCAAUAUUCUUCAGAAAGAAUGCAUACAAAAUAUCUUAGGCAAAACUGACAAUCUAUUUUUAGAUGGGUUGGACGGAAUUGAGCAAAGUAUUUGCGCAUUAUCCGAAAAAGGUUUUCCAAGAUUAAAGCAUCUACAGGUCGAGGAUAGUCCCUCUAUUCAUUACAUCAACCAAUCAUCUCAUACGUAUUUUAAGAGGUUGGAGUCGUUGAUUCUCAAUGAUCUCCUCAACGUGGAGAAGUUAUGCCACAACCAUAUCUACUAUAAGUCCUUCAAUGCAUUAAAGGUAGUACGAGUCAAAAGGUGUCACAAGAUGGAAGUUCUAUUUCCUCUUUCAUCACUAAGAGAACUUCCCUAUCUAGAAGAGAUCGAAGUUAUCAAUUGCAAGUCAAUACAAUGGAUUGUAGAAGCCGAUGAUUGUGGCAAUGUCGAGUUGUGUAAUUUGCAUGUAUUGAGCUUGUCUAACUUGCCAAUUUUCAAGAACUUUUUCAAUGUUGGGUCAACUCCUUUGAGUAGUAAGUCAAACGACCAAGUUGGCACUCAAAAUGCAUUCUUCAGUGGACAACAGGUAGGUUCUAUCAAAAUAAUUUACGCAAAUUAUGAUGCUUAUUUAUUUUUGUUAUUUUCAAUUUAUUUUUCCUAACUACCUUAUUUGUUCAUGUCUUCUCUGUAAUUAGAUAAAUCAAUUUUCCAUUUCUCUUAAUUGUGUAGAAAUCCAAGCAAUUAUAUGAAAUCCAUGUAAAUUUAGUUUGUGAUAAGUUUUGAGUUAUUUUCGACUUACGUGCUGCAAGUGUAUCUAUAUUAAUAGGGUUUAGUAAAGUAAAAUUGAAGGGAAUUUUGGCAUUAAAGUAAUUUCAUAAGUAAAGUAAUUUAUAAUCUUUCCAAAUGGAUUCCACUGAAUUUGGUUAUCAAAUCUUUGUUAUUAUCCUCCAAAUGUAUAAUACAAGCGACUCUUAAAAUCCAACACAAAGAAUGGGAAGGAGGGCCGGGUUUUAAAAUAAAAGCAACUGUGCUAAUAUUAUUGAUGCACUGUUUAAAUAAGCACUUAGUAAUUGCAUAGACCCCAUAGCUAUAAGAGUACACUAUUUUGUGCAUAGGUUUCUUGUAGUGAAUGUAGGCGUUGGCAAAUGUAUGAUUUUUAUUGUGUCACAACAAAGUUGUCAUUGCAAAUUUGGAAUUCUUGCUGUUGGAGUUCCAAAGUGAUCUUUACCAUUUCUCUAGUCCAUACGACAAAAUUAAGGCCAAGUUGUUACAAUAUAAAAUAAUGGAACUUGAUGCCUUGAUGGAAAAUUUACUAUCUUUUACGGGCCUUGUAUUUCGUUUUGGCUACUUAGUAUGUCAUAGUUUAAUUUCCGAAGCUUCAAGUGCUCCACAAUUUAAUCUUCAAAAAAAAUUUGGUGAAAUUUUGAGUUUUCUUUUUGCUGAGUCCCAUCCAAUUUGAAUUUUAACUUUUAUGUAACUCCAAUAGUUUAUCGGGACAAAUCUACAGGUUGCAUUAAAUAUCCUGUUAAAUUAAUUAUUGAUAUUGAUUUACUAACUUUAAAGAGAAGUUAGUAAGCAAAGGAUAAACAUUUGCCCACGUAUGCAAAGUGCGCGGCUACUUUAUACGGGGAAAGUUGCUGUCAGUGGAGCCUGUAGGCUGAUUAGAUAAAAUUGCCCUUUUAUAGCGGUGAUAUUAUCACUGAAGUUGGUGGUGGGGUCCAAGACUCACGUAAUAUAUAAGUUUUCCCAUCAGUAAAAGAUCUCAUUUUUUUCCCUGAUCGAAGGAACCUUUGCUCUCUGAAUUGCACGAGGAAAAGGUACCUGAGCCCUCUCCGUCGCCAAACUAAGCAGGUCCAGGGCUCCGGGAAUCAUCCCUUUUAGAUUUUACAUGAAUUGCAAGACCAAAGUGAUCAAUUCAGUGACUUCUCUAGGUGUACGGCAAUUUCAUUGAAGAAUUUCGUCCAUGUUGUAACUUAUAUAACCGUCUCUAAGUGAUUUAACAAAAGCUAUGUAUGCUAACCCAUUUCAUUCUUGGGCUAGCAAAAAAAGCAUAAAUUGUGAUUUGUUUAUUCUAGGAAAUUAACUAAAUUCAAGAGAGGGAGAGAUUUUAUUCAAAUUUGGGAUUAUGAGAGACUACUGUAAUUAUAUGAUAGUUGCAUGAGCACAUUUAAAUUACCAUAUUGCCAUUGUCAACAGAAUGUGGACAGUAUUCCUACUUUUUGUUUUGUUUCCCGUAAUUCCAAUAGCCUCCUCGUCUUGGAGUCGUUGACAUUAGUAUAUAGAUUUCUUUACUAACUUUUUUGACUUUAUUCAUUUUUCCCUUUCGCGCAACUUAAGACAGAAUCACCAAUUUCAUGAAGUUGUAAUUUUCAUCUUGGCACCCAUCUAUAUUUACAUCUUAGAAAUUCAUGAUUAACUCAUUCACCAAUUUCGUGAGUGAAUAUCGCAGGUUGCAUUUCCUAACUUGGAGACAUUAUAUAUCACUAACUUGAAUAAUAUCGAGAUGAUAUGGGACAAUCAAGUUGUUGCAGAAUCUUUCACCAAGCUCAAGUCACUUUGCGUGGAUGAAUGCAAUAAGCUUGUGAACAUUGUUCAUUCUUUCAUUCUAAGACGGCUCUUGAGCCUAGAAAGAUUGAAUGUAAAAGCAUGUGGUUCACUUGAAGUUGUUUUUGAAUUUUGGCCACUGAAACAUCUAGAUGGACAUCCUAUUGCUCUUCCAUUAAAAAAGCUGACAACAUCAGCAUUAUCAAAGCUAAAGCGUGUAUGGGAUAAGGAACUCCACUGUCAAGCUAAAUUCCAAUGUCUACAUUCAAUUAGUGUUUCUAAAUGUGAGAGCCUCACCUCUCUGUUUCCAACUUCAAUAGCCAAAGAUCUCAUGCAACUUGAGGAGUUAAAGAUCAAUGAAUGUGGCAUUGCGGAAAUCAUCGAGAAUGAAGAAGGACCAAUUCCCAAGUUUGUAUUCCCCAUGUUAACCUCCCUCGAUCUUAUGUUUCUAAGAAAGUUGAAGUGCCUCUACACUGGAUUACAUACUUCCCAUUGGCCGGCAUUGAAGAGCUUGAACGUGCAUGGAUGUGACAAAGUGGAGAUACUUGCAUCGCACCUUGAGAAUGAGAUGCCACUUGAUAAACAGCCUCUCUUCUUGAUAGAAAAGGUAUGACCCAAGAUUACUUCUUUUGCUUUGAUGGUGAAUAUUUGAAGUGAUGAUUAAGGUCACAACCAAGCAUCUCAUACAAGUAGCUCUACAUAGAAGAUAGACACUAUACGACUCACCUUCAAUCUAUGAAAAUAUUUCAACAUCGAAACAUCACAUGUUCUUCAAGUGCUAAUUGAACAUUCUUGUUAGAUGUAUCCAAUGCAUUUUUGUUGGUCCACUUUUAAUAAAGGUUUAGGCUAAUUCCAAUAGUUUAGCUCUCUCCUAAGUGCCAUGAAGAUGAAAACAUGUGGCACAUGUUGUGAUCUUAGCAGGGUACAAAUGUGUUGUCCAACUUGAAUCCUUUAAAGAUUACUAAUGUUUUGCUAAAAACAGAAAGAUGUGACAUUAUUGUUGACAUUAAUCACUGAAGUUGGUGCAACUAUAAUUGAUGCACAAGUUAUUUUACAAGGGAUUUAUCUUUAGAAUCAUGAAUGUAAGGCGUAACUUAAGCUCAAAUAUGGAUACAAGUUGAAUAUAAAAGUAAUUCAUAAUGUUUAUUUGAUGUAGGCACAUUUCUUUUUAUUGAAUCACAAGAGACUCAACAUUUCAUAAAUGUAAUUAUUGCGCACAACAUGCAGGACUUAUAUUAUAAUACAUGAAUGCUAUUUUAACCAAUCUGGCUUUAAAUUCCGAUUUGACUAUGUUCUCAGGACGCAUUCCCUAAUCUCCAAGAGUUAAAAUUGGACUUAUCAGAACGGAUGGAGAUAUGGCAUGGGCAUUUUCCUGAUGGAGAAUUCUUCAACAAGCUUAGAUUUCUUAAGUUGCGUCAUCUCUCCCAGGAGUCUUCAAUAUCAACAUGUCGUUUCGUUGAGAGUUUAACCAAUUUGGAUGAGCUAAUUGUAUGUGAAUCUUACCUAGAAGACCUAAACAGCAAUGAGGAAGCCAUAGAAGGCACAAGUCAUGAGCUAAAAGUAAUAUUACCUUUUCCAAGAUAUAUUCGACAUCUACAGACUCUAGAUGUGUCACAUUGUGACGGGUUAUCAAAACUGUUCACACCGACAAUUGCUAAAAAUUUGGUGGCACUCACAAAAUUGAAGAUAAGUAAUUGUAGAAUAUUGACAGAAGUCAUUAAUGAUGAGAAAGGUGGGGAGGGGCAUGUGGUGGCUUUCAAUCGAUUGAAGUAUAUGGAACUUGAUGGGUUGACAAGGUUGAGGAGUUUCAGCUCAAGUGGAUACACUUUGAUGUUCCCGCUCUUGGAAGAUAUCAUCGUGACUAGGUGUCCCAACAUGAAGUUUUUCUCUCAAGGACCAAUAGAGACAUCAAAGUUAAAGAGAGUUCAAGUAACAAAGGAAAAGUGGUUUUGGGCAGGAAACCUCAACAUCACCAUCCAAAAUAUGUUUGAAGAAAUGGUAUGCACUAGUUACCAAAUUCCAUGUAUUUGGAUGGUUUUGACCACUAACUUAAUAAUCACUUUUUGCUAGCUAGAAGUUUACGCUUAACAUUGCAUUUUUUUUUUUUGACAGGGCACGUUUGUUGGAGUAGAGAAAAUGCUGCUAUCUGACUUCCCCUGGCUGAUUGGAAAAUGGCACAGCGAACUUAAUCCCAUCAAGUCGUAUUGGCAAUUAAAAUCAAUGGUGGUAGAUAAAUGUUCAUCAUUUGUUAAUGCUAUUCCAUCCAGAUUGAUGCUUGUCCUAGACAAUCUAGACUAUUUGCAAGUGCGCGACUGCAAGUUGCUUGAAGAAAUAUUUGAUUUAGAAGGGCUGGAGGUUGUGGAAAGCACUCGAAUACUACCUCAGCUACAGAAAUUGGACUUAGUCAAUCUACCAAAAUUAGGGCGACUGUGGAACAGAGAUCUUCAAGAAUCAAUAUGUUUCGAUUCUCUAGAUACUCUCAUCCUUUACAAUUGCAGUAACUUGGGACAUGCUUUUACUUCAUCAAUGGCUCAGUGCCUUGCCAAUCUUUGUUUGAUGGAAAUAAAGGAGUGUGGUCAAAUGGAAGAAGUGAUCGUAGAGGAAGAAGGGCAGAGAAGCGCAGUGGAAAAGAUUACAUUCCCGAAGCUCUUGAUGAUGAAAUUGGAAUGGUUGCCCAAUUUGACUUGUUUCCUUUCAGGAAAAAAUCAUAUGCUAGAAUGCCCUGAAUUAGAAGUGAUGAUAAUUGCCCAUUGCCCUAAGAUGGAAAGUUUGAUUAGGCAAUCUCAUAUGGAGGAUGACCACGGCACCCCUUCAUUUUUCACUUCCCAGGUCAGUCUUUCAAACAAAUACGUCUUUGGUGUUUCAUUUUUCACUUCCCAAGUCGCCCCUUCAUAUUUAUUUGUGUGGAAGCAAACUAGCGUCGUUCUAUUAAACAUGAAUAAAAGGGAAAAAAAAAACUUUAUAGUCGUAAAAGCCAAUUUCACAAAUUGCUUAACUAUUAUAGCUCAUUAUACCAUAAUUAGUGGAGCCAACUUUUUUAUUUCUUAAUAUUCACCGAUGCUUGAGCUAAGUCUUGAUAAAAGGAAAAAAAAGGUCAAUAUGCCUGAAGUGGUUAGCCUUCCUUGUUCGUAAAUCAUAUUUGAAUUGCUAUGCUCCAACAACCUAUCAAAUUAUGCACCUAUAUUGUACAAUAAAUAUUAAUUUUGGAUUAUUAUAUUGAGUGAUAAUUAGUGUGAUACCGUGCACAAUCUAUAUUUGGCAAAAGAAAAUGCAUAUUACUUUUUCCAGAAAAAAGAAACGGCUAAAAAAAGGAAAAAAAAUGAAAGAGAAAAAAUGACAGCUGGAUAAUCCAAGGGCGGUUGCCAACAUUGCAAGUCUUAUUUCAAAACUAGAUGACAAUAUUUAGUCAAUGUCCUAGCUAAAAUAAAUUUUUUAAAAAUCGGAAUAAAUUAUCCAACCAACAACACCACCCAAGGGAAAAUAUUAGGUGCAUUAAAUACACUGCCUAGGAUUCGUAUUGAAUCAUCCGCAGACUGACACGUGACAAUGCCGGACCCACUUGUCAGUUGAACCGUUAAAAUUUUUGCUCCCCCUUUCUCUUCAAUAACGGCCCAUCACUUGAAAGCACUACUCUCCUCUUCCUGGUAUGGCUCUGCUCCCUCUCUCUCUUUCCUCUGCGAAGGUGCAUCUCUAUACUUGAACCACACCACCACCUUGGCCUCCAUCAAUUGCUGUGCGCUCACCGGACAGGAAAAAAAACAGAAAAAGGAAAAAAUUAGACAAAGUCUAUUUGGGGUUUUAGACUUCUCCCCCCUUAAGAAUUGUUCUCUCUCAGCCAUUUCAGUUCACCUUGAUCUUCCUUUUUGCAACGAGGAAAAGAAAAAAGUGAACCAAAUCUACAGAGUCAAGUAAUAGUAACUCUUCUUUCUUCCCCUCGCCCCCCUUCCUCUACUUUCUUUCUUUGGGCCGAUUGAUUGGGUGGUCCGUCCAGUGGUUGAAUCGGAAGCUUCGGAAUCGCUUCUCUGAAGCUCGCCUCCUCUCUGCACGCGUGCAUGCGUGGGUUCCGAGCGAUUACGCGAACUGGAGCUUGUUGGUUAUGGUGGAUCGAGGUGGAUCUCCGAUGCGGAAGCGAUUUCAGCGUCGAUUCGGUCGGGGCGUUGAUUCCGGCGAAGAAAAAUUAAAAAAAAUCUUCUCUUCAGCCCUCUCUUCCUCCUCCUUCGUCCACAGCUGCCCGACCUUCGCUCCUCCUCCGCCGUCGCCAACGGCGAAGUCACCAGCGCCUUAAUUAGGCUGACCCUUGCUAUGUCCAAGCCGAGCAUGGCCGUCUUCCUCUGUUUUGUCCGCCUCAUCGUUCUACAGAUCUUGAAAUCUAGCCGUCCAUAGCGACGGAGUUGCAGAUCUGGAAAUCGACCACCGUCGCUCGUAGCCAUGGACGAGCCGCUGUCGCUGUAGCCAUGGUUGCAGAUCUGGAAGUCCCGUCGCGAGUAAUGACGGCUUAUGGACUACCAUUGUCCCCUUCGUCGACGCCCACGGUCGGCUCGUGGUCGGCCCCAUCCAUGGCCGAGCCACCCCUCCAUCGUCACAACUGCUUGUGGUCGUUGCCCGUCCUGAUCUGGACUGGAGUUGUGCCUCCAGAUCUGGUUUCGUCCAUGGACGCAAGCCUAGCUCGUCCAUGGCUAGCGAGGAGGCUCCCCCAAAGAUCUAGCGACCACUGCUUGUCCAUGGCCAUGAGCCUUGACGGCGAGUUUGAGAUCUUGACGGCUAUGGAUUGCGAGAUCAAACGAAAGAAAAAACAGAGAAACAGAUGUCAGGGAAGAAUGGCCAUGGAUGAGAGGCCGGAGCUUGAACGCAGCCAUGGACGAGCGGCGUCAUGAACGGGCAGACCACAAAGACAACGGAGAGGGUUGGACGCCAAGCAAUAGUCGCCUUGGACGCGGCGCCGGGAACUCCGCCGGUGGCGACGGCGGAGGGAGGCGGGAAGGUUGGGCUCAAUGUGGAUGGAGAUGGAGAUGGAGAAGGAAAGUGAGGUGGAUUGAGAUUUUUAAUAUUUAGUCAAUGUCCUGGCUACAUAAAAAAUUAAAAAUAAUAGGAAUUGAUCAUCCAGUCAACACUUUCAUUCCGUCUCAUGAAGUUCUCCUCAUGUGAAGACUAAACGCAAUAAAUGACAACCUCCUCCGCCACUUCUCUUUUUUGGGUCGAAUCCUCAGGCACUUGAAAAUGCGCGAUAUCGACCCAAAUUUGAUUGUUUUGACCUUUUUUUUUUAUUACAGAUUCCAUGCAAGUUUUGUUUUGUUUUUUUUUUUCCUGUCGGAGGAAUUUUUUUUUUUUUUACUCAAAAUUCUGCGCAAUUCUUUCUAUUGUUUUAUGUGAGUAGAAUGUUUAAUUAUAACAAGUAUCUACACAUUUGUUUACUUUUUAAUUGUAAGAAUUAUCACUAAUUAUUUAUUUAUACUGUCAUUUGCAUGUAUAAGUUAUAUUUUAAUACCAAGCCCCGCAUUCUAAGAAUAUUUCAAAAAGUCAUUAUAACACUCAAUCAACAAUACUAAUAAAUUUGGGAAAGUAUGAAAAUAGUCAUCUAAUCUUUUGGUAGUGAUAAGUUGUAAUAGCGUUAAUUUCAUUUUAAUAUCAAAUAUGAGCUGUCAUAUACUAAUUGAUAGAUUUAAGGAAGUGUGGAAAGUCAAAUCUUUUUUUUUUUUUUGGUGACAGGUCAUAAUUGCAUUAAUUAUAUUGUAACCAAAUGAAAAAUAUCAAUACUUACUUUUCAAUGAAUAAUUCAUUGGAGGUCAUGAUGUAGUAAAAAAAAAAAUCUUGAUUUUCUCCGUACAAACAAAAUGCGAUCAGCGGGUGCACACCCACUUUUUGUCAAGGGGUGGAUCACUCGGUACACUGCAAGGUUCUAUUUUAUUUUUCCACCUCAAAUUUGAAUAAAUAUUAUUUCAAGGAUGUUAUUAAUGGUCCAAUGUAAAACUAGUAAAUUGACCCAACUUGUUUUUGCUGAGAUCAUAACAUUAUGUUAUUUAUUCAAGUCGUUAUGUUGCCCAUGCCUAUUAAGAAAUUAUUUUCUUUCAAUACAAAAAUUUUCCAUGCAUAAAAAAGAAAAAGGUUGUGAACAAUUGAAGUUAUUAUAUAUUUUUUUUUUAUAUCCGGUUCGCCAUAUAAAUUUCAUGACUCUUCUCUGCAGUGAAUUGUAUUAAUUUGAAGAUUCAUAAGUACUGUUCGCAAUUUAGUAUGAAUAAUUAGCAGUGCUCAUGGUAAAUAGAGGAAAUAAUGUUGAGCCAAGCAUUAGUUUCAUCCAUUCCUUAUUCAAUACAUACACUGCUUAAGUUCUUCGCACCCACUAUUCAUAUCAUUAGUUGACUAGCUCAUCAUCACCAUGCCCUUGCUUUUUCUCUAGUUGUUAUGCAUGUUCACCUUGAAGCAAACAAAUCUAAAACAUAACCGAUCUUUGCCAACUAACAUAACGGAAAUUUUCAGCUUGUAUCACUGAAUCUAAAUGUUGCUAUUUUCAAUAGUUCUAUCGGACUGCCUAGCAAGCUCCCUAAACCUUUUGCCAGUCUUCGUGCUUAUUCAUUACAAAAAUACAACUUGUCAUGCCUCCAUGGAACCAACAUUGUUUUGCGGGAUUCAUAUUUUGUUCUUCUUCGUCUUUGUCCUCAUUUAAUUGCAUAGAGAAACAGUUGAGUGAGCUAUCAUUGAUGUUUAGUCAACGGCUCCAUUCAUGCAUUAGCAUAAAUAGGAGGUCUCUCAUUUCUCUCUCUUUCAAUUUUGCAUUGUAGGUUUUCUUAUGCUUUAGAUGCUCUUGCAUCCAACUGGAAAUAACGCCUCUCUCUCUCCCUGUGAUUUUGACAUAAGAGCUAUUAUAAAAAAAAAAUAAAAAAUGAGGACUUAGGAGGAGGGGGAUUAGGAUGAAGUUGAAAGGUACAGAACCAGUCUUAGCAACCAUUUGAAUGAACCCAAGUUCCAUGUGCAUAAGGUCUAUCAGCCUAAUUCCCGGACUUUUAAGUUAUCGCUAUGAUUUGCCGAGUAAUUAAGAAAAGUCAACAUUGUCUGGUCACUCCAAAAUCUUAUAAAUGCAUUUAUAAUUUCAUGUUUGUUGCAAUGCAUUAUCUCUAGCCUUAGUCUUAAAUCAACUUGUAUAAAUGCAUCAAUCAACCCCUCUCUAUUUAUGUCACUAAUGAGAUCUUGACUUCUCAUGAGUUGUGAGAAUGAGGGAAGUCUGGAAAUUUCUUCUUUAAAGUCAUAACUCAAUGCAAUCACAUUCAUUGUGUCAUUUUUUUUUCUCAAUAUGGCAGGUACAAUUUCCUCAACUUAUGUGGAUGGAUCUUUCCCACAUGGGCAAUUUAAGCAAAAUAUGGACUGACGGUCCUCUAGAAACUCAGACUUUUGAUUGCUUACGGGUAGUGAAGGUUCUUAGUUGUAAGAGCCUUGAAAAUUUGUUUCCAUAUUGGGUGGCUACAAGUUUAACCCAACUUGGAAAACUUCAAGUGGAGUGUUGUGAGAUUGAGGAAAUAGUCGCUAGUGGGGAUGACACUCCAUGCUCCAAUACUACUCAAGAUCUUUUCCCAAAACUAACCUCUCUGGUGUUACAUGACAUGCCACGACUCAAGAGCUUUUGUCCUAACUUGCCUUUGAAUUUGCCAUUAUUGAAGGCAUUACGAGUGACUCAUUGUGAAAAACUGAGCAUGUUAUCCUUUGUGGCAUCCAUGAACAGAUGGGCUCAAAGAGAUGAUCAACAAGACCUUUCAGAUCAAGAAGCACACUCUUCAUUUGAGAGGGUAUGAUUAUAGUUGCUCUCCCUUAGUUUCUACUUUGUUCUUUAAAGCAGUCACUAAUAUCAUAUUCAUUGCAUAUCAUGUCGCGUUAUGAUGUUAUAGAAAACAUGAUCUCCCCUACCUAUUAGUUUGUCGACAACAUUAAGAUAUUUCUAAUAUCUUACGUACACUUCCAUUUGUGGACAUGCAUAAGAUAUUCCAUUACCUGGAGUUACAAAAAAAAUUACAGUAUUCUAUUGAUAACAUAAUAUAUUCCUAAUCUAACCUAAUGGUGCUCUUGGGCGACAUCAAUAAGGAUUUGCCAAGAGGUCCUCUCCAUUAUUGACACGUGUUGCACACUUGAACUUUUCUUCUCUAUUUCAUUUUCUACAAACUCUAAAAAAAUCAAUUCAAACAAUUUUUUUUAUAACAAAAAUAACAUUAGUACCUUAGUGCACUAUUUUCUACUGUAUUUUUUAAUACACUAGUCGUCGUGUUAUCCUGUUAUAAUACUAUAGAAAACUAGAAUCCCUUUCCUAUAAGUUUGCAGACAACAUAAGAUAUUUCUUAUAUCUUAAGCAUACUUCUGAAUUUAUGGACCCCAUAUGUUUUAGUGACAUCUUGAGUGCAUCCCGUUACAUAAGAUUCCAAAGAAGAUAAAUUUUUGUCAACAAGAUAAGAUAUUCCUUACAAAAGAUGAAUUUAGUGAGUGCAGGGAUCUUGAAUUUAGAUUCACUCUAUCCACUUGACCAGACCAACCUCUACAUGAGACUUUUAAAAGCUUGAGUCUUGAACACAAGGUUCUUGAGAUAUAAUGAACUUUAAGAAUAUGACCACCUUCCAUGCGAAUCAUCUUAAUAGGUUUACCUUUUACAGCACAUGAUUUAUUGUCGAAACUUUGUUGAAUUUACUUCUCUUGUUGUAUUGGCAAUUCGACAGGACUUUCCCAACUUGGAGAGACUUUUAUUAGUCGAUAACAAUAUUCAGAUGAUACAAGAUGGAAAUUUUUCGGAUGACAUGUUUAGCAAGCUAAAAGCACUAACACUAGCAUGCUUUCAUGAUAAAAAGGCCGCAUUUCCUUCCAUAUUCCUCCUAGAGAGAUUUCAGAAUUUACAAAGCCUUGAAGUCUUCUGCAGCUCCUUGGAAGAUUUAUUCCCGAAUGAAGGGCUUGUUGAAGAAAGGAAACAUCUGGUGCUUGAAAAUUUAAGAGAACUUAAGUUGAACAAGCUACACAACUUAGAGUGUGUGUGGAGAGAAGACUCUUUAGUGUCGAAAAUUCUUCAGAGCAUCAAAACAUUUGAGGUUUGGGAUUGUCCCAGUUUGACAACAAUAUUUCCAACCGAGACAUCCUUCCAGAAUCUGACAAAUUUACUGGUGAAGAAUUGCUCUGGAUUGGAACAUCUAGUAACGACUUCAGUAGUCACAAAUUUGGUACAUCUCACUUAUAUGGCUAUAAUAGGAUGUGAAAGAAUGAAAGAAGUAGUGGCCAACGAUGGAAAUAGAGAAGGAAAAGUGAUUUCUUUUGAAAAGCUAAGUGCGUUGACACUUGAACAUCUGCCAAACUUAGAAUGCUUCUCUUCCAUCCCAAGUUGCAUCUUUAGGUUCCCAUUCUUAUGGUAUAUUAAAGUAGAAGAGUGUCCAAAAAUGAAGAACUUUUCUAAGGGUACACUAAGUACGCCAGAACUAGAUGAUGUGUCACUGUUCAGAUACAAGUGGGAAGGGAAUUGGGAGAAGGGUGAUGAUCUCAAUACAACCAUACAUAAGUUAGCAGCAUAAAUCAAUGCACAUAGAAUUGGUAAGAUCCAAUUGAUCUCAUUCUCUCAUCCAUUUUUUUUUUCCUUUAGUCUUUCGGCAGCGCCGCAACUUUUUAAAAUUUUUCUUUUUGUGACUUUUCUAUUAUUGAUUUCGUCAAAUCAACAUCACCGUCAACCCUAUCGAUGGAUCUCGGCUCAUCCUUAACUGAACAGUAGGAAGCAAAGCGGGUCUCUCCUUCUCCUUCUCCUUCUUGACGCCAAAGGCUCUUUCUCCAUCUUUCUUCUUCUUCUUCCUCCGUGGAGCGAAACUGGGGGAAGCCUCUGCUGCCUUCACAAAGGACGGAGCAAAAAUGAAGCAUCAGGAAUUGCCAGGACUGCGAGAAGCGAAGCUGCAAUUAGCGGAGCGGAGCCAAGUAGAUUCAACCAGACGCUGUCGUUGUCGCCGUCAUCACCGCCGGAGGUGGCACAACCGAGUCUGGACAGUCAGUCGUCCACUCACUUCAUCAAAGAAGAAGAAGAUCACACUCUCUCUCCGCAUCUGUAUCCGACAAAUCGUAAGUUCAUGUUUCUUCCGAUUUUGGUGUAUUAUUGUGCGUGAAUUAGGGCUCUCUUCUUCAAAUUCGUUCCACAUUCGAGUCUAAAAACAGGAGUUACUCAAACAAGCAAUAUAUUGCCCUUAAAUCUACAUCUUCUGUGCUUCCCUCCCGAGCAUUGGCGAGAUUUCUGCGUGUUUGACCUCUCAUAGAUGGAGAUGAUAUAUUGUGUUCAAUGUCUCAUGUUGAAAUUUCUUUGGGUAGAGAUAUCUCUGUAACAUUGGGUACAAAUUCUAUCAGGAAAAAGGGAGAAAUCAUGGAACUUGAAAAUAUUCCGAGAAUUUUAUGCGUUGUCAAAAAUCUGAAAAGUCACUUUUACGCCUUGAUCGUAAUAUAGUCUGGACUGUCUGAGAAAUCACUUGUAAUCUUGAUUGGUUAAGUGAUGCUGGAAGGAUAAAAUUUAUCUCCAAUUUAUGCUAAAAUCUUCUCAUAGCAAGUCAAACUAAUGAAGUGUACUUAAAACUGUCUCUAAAGUUGUCGUUUUUUAAGUACAGGCAGGUCCAAACAUUCAAGCAGAUUGAGGCAUCCUGAGCUGGUUUAUUAUGGUCCCAUUCACCCAAGGCCUCUCACUGCUCUUACAUCGGCCAACAAAUUUCAAACGGCGCAUCCCUUUUUCAAAGGUUGUGAUGAGGCCCUCUUAUGUUUAGUUUGGCUUGGUAUGAUCCCACGCUUCGCAUGUCUGAAAAUCAAACAUAUGGAUGCUGUUUACAUCUUUGCUUAUACUAUAUUUUAUAACCAAGUUGACUUAAUGUAGUAAACCACAUGACAUGUUAUUUUCCUUGAACUGUUCAUGGGUAUAUGCUUAAAACCAGGUAUAUAUCUUAACAAUGAAGUAGUUGAAGUGGGGAAAAGAAUGAAAGGACAGUUAUUAGGACAUUAGCUGGUGGUCGAGGUUCGAAAAGCAGACAGUUGUCUCCUUUUAUGUGGAUAGAUGUUUUGGAAAGCAAUUGUUGAGGCAAGUGUCAAGAAUUAGAAUCCAAGUACUCUUAUAUGGAGAAAUUUGACAAUGAUAUUUAAUGUUGUAAAAGUAGAAUAUGUAUGUAAAUCACACAAGGAGACUAGUUGAUACGCACAAGCAUAUUGCAAAGAAUGUUGCUCCCCCUGUGACUAAAGGGAAAGACCUGAAAGAUAAAGGGUUGGCUAGUUAUGAUUCUGAAGUUUCAUUGUAGAUCUUGAUGACUCAUAAUAUUAAUGUCAAACAGGAGAUAAUGUUUUAUUCUGUUACAUUAAUAAGAUAUUUGAGAAAAAAAGAUGAGUUUACUUUGUCAAAUUGAAUUAGUAGUUUGAUAAAAUUUGAGCUGCAGUUGAAAGAAUGGAACAGCUUAGAUUAAAUUUUCACUUCCAUCAAUGUUCUGGUCAUUGAUGUCUUUGCCUUUUCCCCUGCACUUGUGGUCUAUGUGGCUGAAAUUCAUGGUCUCAAAUAUAUAUAUAGGACAGGGAAGGCUUUUUCUGGUUAUGUACCCUAUUGCACUCCAGGAGCAUAUAUCUUGACACUUGACUUUGGGUUGCAAGUUGAGAUUGUUUACUAGCAUUAUAUGGUUUAUUGUCAAUUGAAACUACUGAAACUAGCAACUACCACCUUAAAUUCAUGCUGUGUGAUUAGAUUCUCUCAUUAGUGUAUGCUUAUGUUUUGGUCUUUCUUCACCAUAAUUUGGUUGCAAAUGGGGACACUGCUCCUGUUCAAUUCAUCAGGCAACAUAAUCAGGAAAACAAGAAAAUUGCAACUCUUAGAAUAUUCAGACAUGUCGUGGACAUUUAAAGCUCAGGAGCCGUGGAUGUGGACGGGGGGCUUUUUUUUUUUCUGCUGGUUGGCCCACAUUUGCUAGAGAAGCUCAUCUGCAUGUGCUAGAUGUUGUGUGUUUGAGCUCAUUAAUGGGGAAGAUGUGUGUUCAAAGUCUACAUUUCCACUAGAGCUGGUAAGGACUUGGUUUACAUUGAUUGAAAUGAACUCUGGAAGUGUCACUUUGGCUCAUCCGAAAUAAAUCCUGUAUUCAUAGUUAUAUCUCCUUUGGUUAGCCUUGGUGAAUCAAUGAAGUAUACUUCUUCCAUUCCCAUUGUGUUUGUGAGGUUUGCAAUAAUCCAGAUGCUCACUCAUUAAUGUAGCAUCCCAAAUCUAAAUGAACCUAAAAAGAUGGGAUUCAAGAUUAGAGCGAAAGUUAAAACCUGAAAUGCUCAUCAUGAGAAUUCAGAGGUGUGACUUGUUGGUUUCUAAGUUAUGCUUAUGUGUACAACCUCACAUUAUUUUCCUUAGUCUCUCUCCAAACUUGUGAAAUUCUCCUAAUAAUCUUUUUGUAUAUUGAUUUGGUGGCAUUAUGAUUUAGGAGUUGCUAAGUGUAGUAAUCAGUUGUGUCUAACAUGAAGAACAUGUAGACGUUAGUACCAUGAUCACAGGGACUGAUGUGUAGAUCAUUGUAACUCAAUACAAGGUUGACAGUCGUACCUAUGAGAAUUCUCCUUUUUCUUUUGUGCAUAUCGAACCAAACAGUCUAAAUGUCAAGUAGCCCUCCUGAGCAAGUUUUGCAUGGUUCCACAUGUCCGUGGCCUCCCAUUGCUCUUGGAAAAACUAGAGAAUUUGAAUUGGAGGAUCCACUUUUGAAAUUGGUGAUGUGGCCACUUUUAUUAAGAAGAGAACUGCAGUAAGGGCCUAUGUCCUUUCAUAAUUGGCAUAUCUCAACCAUGAUGCCAUCUACAUCUUGCCCUAUAGUCUAAUGUUUUCACAUGUUGUUUUGGUUUUUACUGUAGAUGUUAUUUUCUUUGAAAUGUUUAUGGUUUUAUGAGUAAAAUUGGGGCAGUUUUGAUUUUGAAUUUUUAUUUAUUUAUUAUGGAUUCAGAAGAUUACAGAUUCUUAAAUAAUAGAUUGUACUUUCUCAUUAAUCAGGUCUAAAGAAGAUUGCUUUUAUUCAUAGAGUAAGAGGAUUGGUGGACAUGAUCAGUGUUAGCAACUCCUGAAGCGUUACCAUGACGAUUCAAAAAUUGUGUACAUUAUUGUAGAGUCUAUGAGCACUGUAUUGAGACACUUUAACUUCAAACUGCAGGUUGGAAUUGAAGACUUCUAUCAGCCAGUUAACACUGUUAAUAGAAUUUCCUGAAACUAGUAAAUACUAGCGUAUAUUAACAUUUUGUUUGCCUUUUCUCUCUAUUGUUUGUUUGUAUUUAAUCUUUUCCUCAUCAUGCUACAUUGGCAGAGUGUUCCUUGUGAAUUCAUAAAGAAGUACAUUCAGAAGAACCAGCAAAUCACUACUCUUAGGUAUCUGAACAAAUCACGGCUGGUGCAGCUCAAGACCUAUCAACACCAUUAUCCAACAUCUCUGUGGUUGCCUCAUGUUGGUGAGUGAAGCUUAUAAAGGGAUGUCUGCAUGCUUGAGCUCUCAUUGAUAUGGACGAUUUUCUGGUCAAAAUCUCCAUCGCCAAUUAUGCUUGUAAGGACCUCAUUUAGGUUGAUUGAGGUGAACAUUGGAAGCGUCACUUGAGGCUGUAUAUUAGUGAAGCAAUUUCUACCUCAUAUAUUCAGUUGCAACAAAUCAAUUGAAAGUGAACUUGCUUUUGGCUUUGCUUCUCUUUCUUGACCUACUUACAAUCUUAUCAGAAUUCUCUUUUUUCUUUUGUCUAGGUCAGAAUAGAUAAGUCAUGAAUGUCCAGUGAGCCCUCCUGAGCAAGUUUUUUCAUGAUUCCAAGUGUCCAAGGCCCCUCACUGCCCUUAAGGAAGCUAGAGAAUUCAAAUGGGAGUAUCCCUUUUUCAAACAAUGAUGUGGCCAUCUUUUCUUAAGAAAGAAGUGGCGGUAAGGCCCAAAUCUCCAUUCAUAAUUGGCAUAUCUCAAUUAGGCAUGCCACCUAUUCUAUAUAUAUGCGCCCCACCAUGCAAUUUUUUCCCACUUUAAAUUGGUUUUUAUAGAAACACAGGAUUAUGUUAUCUUCCUCAAAGUGAUCAUGGCUAUAUUUUUUAAACAGGCAUCUUAACAACCGAGUAAAGGGACUAGGGAAAAACAAUGAGUCGGGACAGUAAUCAGGAAAUAACCCAGUGACAGGUGGGUGCAGAGACAAGAUCAGAGGCUUGACAAAGGCAAUAACAACCAUAAGUUAGGAAUUUAAUGGUUUUUGAUUGAAGUAUAAAUUCCUCCCAAAGAUGACUACUUAGUACUUUCUCUUGCUUCCUAGGCUGGGGAAUAAGAGGCGACACGAAAUGUCCAGCUUAAGCCAUAGCUACUGCAACAGGCCUAGGCUUGGCAUGACUGAGUUCACUGCAAUAGCAUGGCAACACUAGUCGGGUGUUGCUCCCUAGCAACAAAUGGUUUACAAGAGCUACUAUUGCAAGCAGGUUCAAACUUGUGGUCGGAAAUGAAGGGAAGGUAGUGCGGCCUAGACCUCAAAAAUUAGUGCCACCAACUCGAUAGUAUAAAAAGAAGAAAAGAAGAUCACUUCUUUUUGGCCAGGCAGAAGAAGAUCACUUACUUUUUGUGUAUAUGUGUCCAUUUAGGACCCGAUGUGCAGCUUUUCAUGUUUGCUCGAUGCAUAUCACAAUGCAAGAUUGGUGACUCAGAUAUUCACCAAAUUCAACAUGUCUCUAUAUUGAUUACAUGUAUUUAAUGUAGAGUCUAAGAGCACAGGAUUAUGAUAUUCUGAUUUCAGAUUGCAAGUUGUGAUUCAAGGCCAUUUCAUCAAGCCUUUUAGACUGCUAAUAUGGACUUUGGAAACUAACAACUACUAGCAUAGAUGUACGUCUUGUUUGCCUUUUCGCUUUGGUGUAUGCUUACAUUCCUAUGUCUUAUCAUAUAGUGGCUGGUCAAAUGUCUUCAUGGCCAGAGCGUUCCUUAUAAAUUCAUAAAUACAUGCAUUCAAGAAAACCAGCAAAUUGUGGUUCUUGGGUACUCGGACACAUUGUGGCCGGUGACCAUCAGGACCUAUUGAUGCUGUAGCGAACUUCUGUGAUGGUUGGUCCAAGUUUGUGAGCCAAACUUGUCUUGAGUGAAGGGGAUGUCUGCGUGUUUGAGCUCAAUGAGAGGGACGAUGUUUAGGUUGAACUGGGAUUUACAUUGGAAGCCACUUUAGGCCUUAUACUAGUUGAAAGCAAUUUCUGCCAUUAUUCUAUUGUGAUGAAACGAGAUAAAAGUGCACUUAUAUUUGUAACCGUGCUCUUUUUUUUUUUUUGGUUACGAUCUUAUCAUUUCUAGGCCUGCACACAUUUCCUACUUUGGGUAUCUCUGUUGAGCUUGUCGCGCUUUUAUCAUUGCCUUUUUGGAAAGGAUCUCUGGUUCAGCACUCGCCUUGGUUCUAGGUUACUGAACUUGGUCUUUGUAUUACAAAAGAAAGUCAAAAGUGACCUGUUUUAGUUCUAGAAGGGAUAUGGAAAUUUAUACAACAUACCAUCACUCAUGGUCACCUGAUAGUUUUCAAAUAUGGGAGAGACAGACUCUAUACUCAUGUAAUUAUAUUUGAUAAAAGUGCUUAUAUAGAUACAUUAUCUCCAAGCAGUGAUGAAAUUGAAAACCCAGAGAGUGAAUUCCAUAUAAAUCUUGCCCUAUGGUCCAUUGUUUUCCCAAAUUGUUGUGGUUAUUCAUCGGAAUCACAUGGAUGUUAUUUUCCCUUAAGUGUUAAUGGCUAUAUGUGUAAAAUUUUGGUUUUGAAAUUUCAUUUUGUUAAUUUAUGGAUUCAUAAGAUUACCAAUUUUAAAACAAAAGAUUGUAUUUUUUUUUUAAUACUAAUCAGGGGUAAAGAACAUCACUAUUAUUCAUAGGCUAAGAGGAUGUGGUUCAAAAUAGUGUACACUACUGUAGGGUCUAUGAGCACUGUCCUAAGACAUUUUGACUUUAGAUUGCUGGUUGAGGAUCAGUUAAGACUAUUGAUUGACUAUUGAUUGAAACUCCUGAAGCUAAUAAAUACAAGCAUUUACUUACAUUUUGUUUGCCUUUUCUCUUUAUUGUUCGUUUGUAUUUAUUCUUUUCCUCGUCAUAUAUUGGUUCACAAAUAUCUACCUCGGCAAGAGUGUUCCUUUCGAAUUUAUAAAGAGAUACAUUUAUAAGAACCAGCAAAUUGUGACUUAAGUAUUUAGACAAAUCACGGUUGGUCCAGCUCAAGACAUCUGUUAUUCGGCAAACCUCUCUAGUGGUUGGCCCACGUUUGUGAGCUAUGUAACACCGACACGCAACACGCGAUACGACACGACACGACACGCCUACACAUCAUUUCUUAAAAAUAGAGAAUUUCGACACGUUCCGACAUGUUAUAUAUUAAAUAUAUUUUUAUAUAUAAAUAUAAAUAAUAAUAAUAAUAAUAAUAAUAAUAAUAAUAAUAAUAAUAAUAAUAAUAAUAAUAAUAGUAAUAGUAGUAAUAAUAAUAAUAAUAAUAAUAAUAAUAAUAAUAAUAAUAAUAAUAAUAAUAAUAAUAAUAAUAAUAGCCUAGAAUUAAUUUACAAGAAAAACAUUAAAUAAUAUCAUUCAUUAUUUUAAUUUGUUACAAUAAUACAUAAAACUUAGAGAAAAAAACAUUGUUUAAAGAAAAAUGCUGAAAUGAUAUUUUUAAAUGUAUUUAUUUAUCAUAUAGAGCAUUUUUUUUAUUACUUCUUUCACAGUAAAAGACUUUUAAAAAAAACUAAAACAAUUAUAAAAAAACAAAAUUGAAAAAAAAAAAUUGAUCCCGUGCGUGUAUAUUUAUAGCAAUUUCAUUACUUCUUUUAUUACUUAUUUUGUGUAUAUUUAUAUUUUGACCUCUCAAGUAUUAGAAAUUUUUAAAAUUGACCCCGUGCGUGUCGGAAUCGCGUGUCGGAAUUCUGGACUUGCGUGUCGGAGCGUGUCGGAGAGAGUUGACCACGUGUCGGAUUUUUCGACACUCAUUAACUGCGUGUCGGAGCUUGUCGGGACGUGUCGGAGCGUGUCAGACACGACACGAAGGCUUCCAGAAAGUGUCCGUGCUACAUAGUUUGUGAGAGAAGAUAGUCUGAAUGAAGGGGUUUCCUUGUGUUUGAACUCUUUGAUAGUGACAAUUUUAUGUUCAAAGUCUCCAUCUCAAUGCUGCUAGUAAGAACCUCACUUACUUUUGGAUUUGCCUCUCCUAUUUGAUCCAGUUACAGUCUUUACCAGGAUCAUCUUUUUCUUUUGGGCAGGUCAAGAAAAACAGUGUAAAUGUCCAAGAAGCCUUCCUGCGCAACAUUUUCAUGGUUCCAAGUGCCCAAGGCCUCUCACUGCUCGUGAGAAAGCUAGGGAAUUCAAAUUGAAGUAUCCUUUUUUUGACUACUUGGUGCUUUCUACGGCUGCCUAAGCUUGGGAAGAAGAGGUGACGCAAUAUGUCUAGCUUAAAUACUGCAUCAUGCCUAGGCUUGGCAUGAUUGAGCUCAUUGCAACAGCAACACCAGUCGGAUACUGUUCCCUUUGCAACAACUGUUUCAACUAGGCUAAGGCAUUCGUUAAAGUGACCAUAAAAAAGCAAACUGUUGGGUGAAGCUCCCCGGUGAGCAUGUAACUUGAAAUUAAAACGAAUUCCCAUGGGUCCCAUAUGAUCUCUCGAGGUUUUGAUUGUUCUGGGUGUAGUGAUCUAAUAGUCAUUCAAGCACGAAAUUCUUACAACCGAUCUAAUCCUCUUUGAGUAUGGAAAAUCAUUCAAAUAAACCUAACCUUUGUUUCAUAUGUGGUUCCCAAAAUAUCUUGGGAAGAAUUUUAGCAUCAAGGAUAAAUGCACUAACUUUGGUAUCAAUAAUUGCGAUGACCUGGAUAGGCAUAUUGUACUUAGUGGGUAUGAUAUGUAUGGGUAGAUAUGAAUAUAGUUCAUUUGAGUAUUUUCUUCGAAAGUACACUUUUCUCAACUUUUAUGAGUAUCACAAAAUUUAAGUGUAAGUUCAUUCUCUCAUCUUAUUCUUUCAUGAAUUUUUACUUUUGCAUUGAUCUUCACGAGAGCAAUCACUUUAAUAGAAGAAUGAGAUAUUAAAUCUAGUGGGCGAAUUGUUUUUAAUUAAACUUGGAAUGUGAAAUUUGUUUUUUAUAACCCCUCUCGAUUGCCUAGUGACUCCAAACCACUCUACGAGACUUCCCCAAAUGUAUAAUAUCCAAUAAUGAAAUAAAGACAAAGAAAUUGACGAAAUAAUUGGCUUCUCGCAUAAAAAUAUGCAGAGUAAAUAAAAAAUAAAUAUGAUGAAAUUAUAAACUCUCACAUUUUCUAAAUAGUGAAAUUUGUCAUGCUUUCGAUAAAAAAAAAAAAAAACAAAAGUUUGUCAUGCAAUUCAAGUUACGAAAGCGCAUUGCUCUUCAGAAAAGCUUCUAAACUUACAUAUAUUCUGAUAAUUUGAUGAGAACAAUAUACCCUUUUUUUGUUAUCAAGGAGUAGAAAAGGAAAAGAAAAGACAAGAAAGCAAGAGAAUAAAAAUAAAAAGAAAUUACUCUUUGCCAUGCCAAAUCUAACCUAAUGGUGAACAAGGGUCAACACGAUACAACCUCUCUUAUAUAACCACAAGAUUCUCAUAUGCUCUCCUCUAUUCAUUACUUGUCAACAUUUGCGGACUUGAUACAGUAUAUCGGAUCCUUUUCCCUAAAGAUGGACUUGCGGUGUCAUCAAAAUAUGAAGGAAUCAAUCAAUCACUCAAUGCAUUCAUAUUGCUCUUAUCUAAUUCUACAGUCAAAAAGCUAAAAUUGUGCACCGAGCAUGCACAACUCUUUAAUUUGACCACAAGCGAAAUCCAUGCAAGUAGUGCAAUCUGAUUGUGCCAGCCUGAUGGCACACGCUCUUGGACCGAAGCAUUUGGCAUUGCCGUAUGAAGCACUGAUGUAGUAGUUGAAUCCUCGGGUUGCAGUGUUGGACCUCAAAUCGGUCAUGACUUGAUCCAAAGCUUGUGCAUAAUCGUCUGAAUACUGCAUACCGUUGUAUAUCUUGUAGGUAAGUGUCAUGUCCGGGUCACUUUUUAUGAGACUUGGACCCUAUAGAAGCCCCAUGAACAUAAGUGGGAGUGUAUGUGAUGUGGACAAGGCCAUCCUAGCGCCCUUUUUCCUCCCUUUCGGCUCUCUUUGGUUUCCUAUAGAGAAAUACAAAAUUGCGUUUGGCUAUGAAAAGGGUUCGUCUCCGUAAGGCACCCUGUCAUUUAUUCGUUGUUCGUAGGCAAAGUCAGCCCCAAUUUUAGUCAUUUAUAAUGUCACAUGGAUUGUUUUUUUGACAACUUCCACAACUGUUUCUAUGUAUUAUUCACCCAUUAGUGUAUUAUGUUGUUGCCGUCUUUGCAAAUCCUAAUCUCAUAAUCUUCUCCCUCUCUCUCUCACUAUGCAUUAAAAAUUUAAAAUUAGGAUUCUCCAAGUUUACAAAAUAAAUUCACAUUAUCAUAAAUGACCCACUUCACUUAUUUUUGUCCUCUUUCUCCUCUUACUUUGCACACGUGUCUGCCUCACAUACGAAUCUUGAAUAUAUUUAUGUAUGUAAUGCUGUAAACUUUAGGUCAUGUAAUUAUUGGAGUUCAUGAUAGUUAUAUAGCCCAAAUAACAUCAUACUUCUGCUGCUGCUAAUACUACUACUCGAAGUGUAUCAAAAAAGGAAAUAGAAAAGGAAGAGCGAAAACUGGAUCGAACCACCCAUACUGGCCUGAUAGUUUUGGGCUCAAAUAGUUGGGCAGGCCCACUAGGCCCGAUCAUAGAUCAUAUGGUAUACAUAUAUAUGGCCUCUUUAUGUCAAUUCCCUUUCACACCUGUUGAAGGCUUGACUUCUCUCAUUCUCCCGUCUCUCACACUGGUCGAGAUCCAGCUACCGUCGUCCCACCAUCAUCAAGCCCCAUUUAUGCAGCCAUCACGCCCCACCACUCACCAUAUCUCCUCCCUCCAAUAUUUCCCACUCACUCUCUCAUUCCCUCUUACGCUUGCUUGCGUCUUGGUCUUCCUUAUGCUCCCUCACUCUCUAGCGGUAGAGAACAGGUUCUUACAAGCCUGUUUUGAUGUCUUAAGGCUUUUGAUUUUCGUACAUGCUAUUUGAAAAUUUUAUUUUAAAUUUUUAAAUGAUAGAUAGUCCCUCUUUAAAAAGAUGCAAUUACCUUUUUAUUAUUUUUGUUUCACAAUUUAUUAGUUACAAUUAGAUCGUGGAGAGCAGUGGAGAGGGCCAUAAUUGACGAUUUUCAUUUUUUAAGUACAAAAUGACAAAAAUCGCCCCUGAAUUCGUUUAAAAUUUUAUUGGAGUUAUUAUGAUAAUUGGACUUUUGAGGUAAUUUAGAUUGAGAGACAUAAGAUGAACCUCCCCCUUAAAGAAUUUACAAAUUUGUUUACGUUUUUACAAAUCAUACUCUUUGAUAUCCUCAUAUUUAAAUAAGAAUUUAUGUAAAAUAGCUGACUAGUGUUAGCACAAAAUAUGAUCCCUCAUCGAGCUAAUCGAGUUGGGAAAAUUAUUACUUACACCCGGUGCAUACUCUAUUCAUGAAUUGUUUGAGCUUGGGUUGAUGAUUUUUCGAGAACUAAUAUCUAGUCAAACUCUAACUUGAGCUACUCAAGUAUCUUACAAAUUGAAAGCUCGAGUUCGCCAAUAUUCAGUUUGAUAAAUUUUGUAAACAUACUUUCAAAAUUUUGAUUGUUACGUAAUUAUACAUAGACAUCCUCAUCCAACACACAAGUAUAUCUAGUGUAUCGACUUUUCGUUCGAAUCAAGCUCCAACAUAAGGAUGAAGUUAAUACUUGGUCAAGCUCAAAUCAAACAUUGAGUAAGGAGGUGAGCCGAUUUCAAGUUUGACACUGUAGCAGCUUGAUUAGAGACCUCUAAGCCCCAACUGUGUUGACAUCCAAUUCGAUUGAUAGAAGUCGACGUGUCUGUUAAUGGAAUUGAGAAUUCUGACAUGCAAAAUUCGAGUGCAAGGUUAUUACCGAGAAAUCUCAUUACUCAAGUGUAGUCAUGAUCUUCAUCACGCAAGUUUUAGCCCCCCAAUAAUUUUCAGUCCCUAUAUUAACCGAUAGCUCAUAUGAUAAAGGUAAGUGAAUACUAAUAAAUGUUGGAAAUCUUCAAAAGUCACAUUUCCUAAGUCCUAGCUAUAAACUCAUAGGGACGUAGCUUGGCUUUGAAAAUCCUUGCUGUAACUUUUCUCCGACAUAAUAGCACCCUAGUUCUAUGUAUUUGGUAUGUUUACUAAAAAAUGGGCCUUUACCACAAUUUUUUUUGCCAAAAAUAUACUUUCAAUUUCGAAUAACUAUUUGACAAUGAAAAAAUUCCUCAACCCAUGAUAAAUUUUUAAUACCAAACAUCCUCUUUUCUAUUUUUGCAUAAAUUAAAUCGGAGUUUACAUACAGAUAUCUUCGACAAUUUCAACUUUUUUGGAUUAAUAGGGAAAUCACUAGUCUACGUCAUGUCAUUCCCUUUUCCAAUAUGUACUCUCUAUUGUUUAAAGAAAAGUUUCACCUUUUAUCUUCCUUAACUUAAAUUUUUAAGAAAUAAUUUUUCAAACUUCCUAGGUUUAUAAUUGAAAAUUUUACCUAAUUUUAUCUCCAUUUAUCAAUAUAUCAUCAGCAUAAAUUAAAAAAUAACCAUAAAUGAAUUUUCUCUCCUCAAAGUAAACAGGGCAUAAUUUAAAAAAUCAACAAUUGUUAACAUCUGAGAAAUUAAAAGGGGAUGAUGAAGAAGAAGGAGAAGAUCCGUUAGGUUUUCCAGUUCUUGUGUUUCCAGCUUUCGGUCACUCUCUGCUUCUUCUCGAUUUCACUCUCUCUCCCCUCGAGCCAAGCUGCACCGCCGUAUCGCGGCCUCCGACCACCGUCGUCGCCGUCGCCGUAUCAUCCACGCCGCCAGGCCACCUUGGCGUUCGGCAGCAGCGCCGCCCCUCUCUCUGCCUCCUCCAAAACACCCUCCCCGAAACCCUAGCUCCCUCGCUUCGGUUCUCCGGGAUUGCUCGAAGAUGGACGAGGACCAGGAGAUGGAGAGGUUCGGGAUGGACAACGAUUACGACGACGGGCAGUGGAUCGACGGGGAGUUCUACUACCGGCGCCAAAGGAGAAGCGCGCCCAGACCAAGGACGACGUGCUCUACGGCGUCUUCGCGUCGGGGGACUCCGAUUCGGACUACGACGACUCCUCCAAGAGGAAGCGGAGGAAGAACAGGGACCUCCAUGGUAAGGCCGAUCUGUCGAAGCCCAUGAAUUUCGUGUCCACCGGCAUGGUCAUGCCGAACAGAGAGAUUGAUGAGAACUCGAAGACGGAGAAUGAGGAUGACGAGUCCGCUGACGUGGAUGAGGAUAGGCCGGGCUUGGGGAUGGUGCUGGGGUGGGUUUGGGGUUCAAGAAGCGAGACGAUGGUUUUGAUGAGAACGGCGAGGAGAAGGAUGGUUUCUUGCCGACGGCAUUUGGGCGGAAGAUCAAAGAGGGAGCGGAGAGGAGGAGAGAGCAAUCGAAAUUGGAGAAGAAAGCGGAGAGGAGGAGAGAGCAAUCGAAAUUGGAGAAGAAAGCGCAACAAGGUAAGAGGGGUUCUUAUGAAUCGGGAAACGUAUCAGCAGGGGGGAUUGUGACACCCAUUGAAGCAAAGUUGCGUCCUAAGAAUAUGGGUAUGGGUUUCAACGACUACAAAAGAAAUUAGAAUAUGGGUAUGGGUUUCAACGACUACAAAAGAAAUUCCUGCAAAGGCGCCUGUUGCCUCGUUGGAGCCAGAGGAAAAGAAGCCAUCACCUGAUGUGCCCGGUCAGGAGAAGCUUUGGUCUAAGCAAGUGAAGAAGGCGAUGCUGAAAAACAAAGCAAAAUAUAUUACAUCAGAAGAGCUGUUGGCGAAGAAGUAGGAUCAGGGUGUUGAAGUUGUGCAAGAGGUACUCGACAUGCGUGGACCUCUAAGGUUAGGGUGCUAGCUAACUUGGAGAAUCUGAACGUGGAAGAGAAGGCGAGGGAGAGCGAUGUUCCUAUGCCCAAGCUCCGGCAUGAUGUAAGGUCGAUUGUGGACCUGGCUGAGUUGGAUAUUCAGUAGAUCAUUACGGACCUGAGGAAUGAGAAGGAGAAGUUGCAAGCUGAGGCAGAACACCAGAAGAAACAACUAAAUUACGUGGAGAUAAUGAAUACACUAGACCGGAUUGAGGAGCAAAAGUCGAUGGGAACAUUGACGUUAGACUCGCUAGCCAAGUCUUUUGGUGACAUGCUAAGAAGGUUUCCUGAUGAUUAUAAACUUUGCAACUUAUCCUGCAUUGCUUGCUCAUUUGCACUCCCUCUGUUUAUCAGAGUAUUUCAGGGAUGGGAUCCUCUUCGGAAUCCCUCACAUGGGUUGGAAGUUGUUUCACGGUGGAAAUCUCUAUUGCAAGGACAGGAAUGUCUUGAUAUAUGGGAUUUGAGAUCCCCCUGAUACCCAGUUGGUUACAGAAUUUGUCUUGCCUGCUGUGUGAAUAUCAGGCAUUGACACUUGGGAGGCAGGGAAUCCGAAGCCAAUGCUUCGAUUUCUUGAAGAUUUUGUGAUCAGUCUUCUCGCAUGUGGGCGCAAAUUCAAGUUUGUCAGUUUCUUCUCAAGUGAAGAGCAUUUGGAAUUCAUUUAUUUCUGUUUUCAUAUUAACUGAAUGUUGAUAUUAAUGACAAAAGCAAGUAUGCUGGCAUCUUUGCGUCGCUGUGGCAUGACUCUUCUGCAGUCUCUCUCUCUCUCUCUCUCUCGACAAACACAGCAGCCGAGCCUCCGGCAGUGGCUUUUCGUCUUAGAAUCAGCAACAUCCCGGCGCUCUUGAACUCGAACUUGCUCUCCCCGCUGGAUAAAGCUCGCUGAUUUUCUCUUUCUAUCUCUCUUCCUUGCUAGAGCUCGAUACCUCCUCCAAAGUGCAAUCAACGGCAAUGGAAAAUUGGGAGAUGGCGAGAGGAUGGGAGAAAAUAAAAGCAAAACGGAAAUCAAACAGACGAAAUUUGGAAUGAAUUGAAGACAAUUCUAGAGUUCAAUCGGAGAUGGAACGUCCCGGUAUUUGUUGACUGUUGAUUGAGGAAACUCCGUGGUCAAGUUCCGCUGCCACGGCAGCGAGGCGAGCGGCAUCUUCAAACCGGUAGCGACGCUUUUUGUGCUUCGAUCAGCGCUGGAAGCGACAAUCGUCAGAGAGCUCAGUCUCGAUGAAUCGUUGGUGGGUACUCCUUUCGCGGUUGGAUUCUCUCUCUCCAGAUUUUCUCCGACCAGAUGUUCUUUUGCAUCUUUUCUCUCUCUCGAUUUGGAUUCUCCAUAUUCAUCUCUACCAAUUCAGAUCUAUCUCGGUUCAGAUUCCUACAGUGAACGACACCAUCAGAUUCCACAUUUUGAGUCGUGGCCACACUAAUUCCACUCUGAUUCUUGUCGUCGCUUUCCUGUCCUUGCACAUGUCUGGACCAGAUCUAUAUGUGGCCGGGCCAUCUCGAGCUCAUGCUGCCAUCGCCGCCAAACCAUCAUCAAGGGUGUUUCAUAUCCAAUUGAACUUCCGAGUUAAAAUUUUGAUUCACUCCAAAAUAUGUUCUGUCGAUUCUUGCUGCUUUCUGUUCGCUCCCACUUCAUCGCCAUCUUUCAAAUUCCUUUGUUUUGCCCAUCUACGCCUCGCCCAAAGGGAAUGCGGGUUGGUGUUCACUGCUCAAAAGAGCUUUAUCCGAUUGCUAAGGCUGAGGUUGGAUGGAUCAUCAUCAUCUGGACAGGAUCUGCCGAUUCGAAGGAUGAGAUUCUUCGGGUUCACUCCCGGCACUCCUGCCGGUCCGAGGUCGUUUCAUCAACCAACCGCAACAGAGGGCAAUCUGAGUCAUCAAAAUCAUCCGAAAAGAUACGCCAAGCAUGAAGAUUGGCGGUGGUGAGCACGGAGAGAAAACAAGGAAGAAUAAAAAGUCGCGAAGCGAAGCGACGCAGUGGAUGGAGAUGAUUCGGAUUUUGCGUGGGGACUGGGGAAAACGGGGCAAACAAGGUGAAGCCGGCGGUGGUUCUUUGGAUGAGAAGGAAGUAAAGUGUUGAAAUUUUAUAAAUAAAUAAAAAAGAAAUAAAAGACGAAAGGAAAAUAUAGAGAGCCCAUAAGAAAUCGGUCAAAAGGAAGACUUGCACGAAAAAUGAAAUUCGUCAUUAUAUCGAGCACCUUCAUUGCAAACUCGAUCCCUCCUCCACAGUGCAAUCGACAGCAAAGGGAAUUCGGAAGACGGCGAGAUAAUUGGAGAAAAACGAAAUGAAAUAGAUAUCGAUAGACGUAGUCAUUAUGUAUCGAAAUUAAUUCUAGAGUCGAAUCGGAGAUGAAAUUACCUGGUGGUGAGUACGAAUAUUGACCUGACAGAUAUCAUCAUUGUCCGAAUGUCAGCGAGGAACCGGCUUUCCGUGGAUAUUUCUUAUGGGUCGAUCUUCCUACCUCCGCUUUUUGUUACAGAAUCGUCUCACUCUCUAUUUCUCUUUGGGGCAACUCAACGAACACCUUCCCUAUGUCCAUCGUCAUUUUUCAGCAAGUCUUCCUCCAUCAGGGUCGUUUCCUAUCCGAUUGAACUUCCGAGUCCAAUUUCGAUUCAUUCCAGUAUACGUUCUGUCGAUUCUUGCUUUCCUUCAUCUCCGCCUUUCGGAUUCCAAAUGCCGUUGCUCGCGUCCUUCGUUUCGUCUCUCUAUGCCGCACACAAUGGGGAUGUCUGGCUGGUAGAUAGGAUCUGCCGAUUCGAAGGAUGAGAUUCUUUGGGUUCACUCUCGGCCCUCCCGCCGCUUCAAGAAGCAGCAAGACUUGCACAAAAGAUGGAAUUCUUGAGAGGAAGAUUCAUCCCAUAACUCAGCCAUCAUUUUCUUUUUCUUUUCCUUAGAAAAAGGCAUCAAAAACUCCAAACGACGCCAUCAAGGACGCCCAUUGCAUCUCUUCGCUUCAAGUACCUUUAUUGGAUCUCUCCCUCCAUCCCGACGCGCUCCCCGGCUCAGUGAGUUCCGAGUCGCUCCACCAUCACCCUCGCUAUCUACUCGCCUCGUGAUCGAUUCCGUCGCUCGCUGUCUUUAGAAACUUCGGUGAUCCUCUCUCUCUCUCUCUCUCUCUCUCUUUUCCUGUCCUUCUUCCGGUUCGAAUCAUGCAUUCGUUUUGUGGAUUCUUAGGUGUUUUGACUGUGGAUUCUUAGGUGUUUUGACGGAGGUUUGAAUCUGGUGUCCUUGAGUGAUUUUUAAUGCUAUUGUCGUUUUGCUCAUCAAUGGAGUUCAUGUCGGAUUUUUUUUUUUCUUUUUUCCUUGUUUCGGACCGUGAAUCCGAGACCACUUGGAAACGAGCGAUGAUUGAACUGAAAACGUCCUGAGAAAUCGCCGCAGUGAGCGAAAGUUGUGCAGAGUUAAGCUCGGUCGAACAGUGGUUCGGUUUUCCUCAAUUUUUUGGCAUUAUAUAGUCACUUCUGGAUUCAGUUGUGGUGCGAGGGUGACUCGCUAGCCGUUCCUGAUCGGUCCUUCGGUUAACGCUUUUCUCUGUAUCGAUUUCCGAGCGGCUUGGGACUUGGAGAUGGGAGUAGCACCGAUGAGUUAUAACAUGGAAGAGGGGACGCUGGAGAUCGGCAUGGGUGAGCUUUCGGCCCUCUCCGCUUUCCAAAAUUUUUUUUUUUUGGAGCUACGGACAAUAAAAAUCUGCUGGGAUGCUUAAACCUCGUAAUUAAGUUUUGUCUGUAUUGUGGGGAGUAGCUUUGUCUCCUUGUUCGUGGCUUAUUAUGUCUUUCGCCAUCUAAAUUUCACCGUGCUUGGAAUCAGAACUUUAGUCAUAGGAUAUUGUUGUUUUCUAGGCUUUCCAUAUAGCUUUCUCGUUUCUGAAAAGUUUAUGCUGCCCCUGUUAUGACAACGGUUAAUACAUUUAUUACUUAGAUCUACACAAUCUCUAUCAUUUCAUAUAUAUUGGCUGAGAGGUGAGGAAUGAUUUAGCUCUUGUCCGAGUCAAAUGUUUAGCAUGCCUUAGUCGCUGGGUCUUAGUUAUCAGUUGUUCAGACAAUUGCUUUGCUGCUUGCAGAGGAUAGGACCGUCUCUGGUGUUGCUGGGCCGUUGGUUACACUCGACAAAGUCAAGGUAAAUUUCACUGGUUUUAAUUUUAUGAGGUUCAGUGGACUCCUAUACUAACAUGUUGGCUUAAUUUUAUUGUAUAUCAGGGACCAAAGUAUCAAGAGAUAGUAAAUAUCCGCUUGGGUGAUGGAACGACUAGACGUGGGCAAGUCCUUGAAGUUGAUGGAGAGAAAGUUGCUGUGCAGGUUCAGUCUCAGUUGCCAGCCUCUUCUUUUUUCCUUUAGCUCUCUUGAUACUGCAUUUUUGUUGUUUGGACUACAAUACUUGGGUCAACUUUGCGUGCAAUACUUUUCAGCUGAUGACCCAGUGAAUUCUCUGUCAUUCAUUGCAAGCAUUAGAAAAAGCAGAACAUGAAGAGUAUUAUCUUAGGUAUAUGUGAUGAAAUGUGAGAACACCAUAUGGGAUGAUAAUUGAAAUGUGAUUGAAUUUCUUGAGAACAAUGUUAAGAGUCUAAUUAGCAUUCCGUUUAGUCAAUUAUAGAUCCUCUCUGCUCUCGAGUGAUGGAAGUCUAGUCAUGUUGUGGGUUAUUUUGGCUCUGCAAAAGGCUAAUAAUCUUUCCUAUAUGUCUCUAAUUGUUGUCAAACUUCUGUAGGUUCUGUUAUUCACUAGUUUCUCUGUCAAUAAAAUUUAGAUAUGAGUAUUCUACUCAUGCUUGUGUGAUCGGUGGUUGUUCAUCUUAGACUUCCAGUACGUAAAGCUUUCUGGUCAUCCAUGUUUCACUCUCUUGUUGCUAGGUUUAUGAAGGUACUUCUGGGAUUGAAAACAAAUACACCACUGUGCAAUUCAUUGGCGAAGUAAUUAUGCAUGCUGUUUGUUUUUGUUUUCCUAAUAAAACAAUGUUUCAUCAUUCUGUAGAAAGAAAGAGUUAGAUUUGUUUUUUUCCAUAUUUGGGAACUAAAUGCUCCUACAUGUUGGCAACAAGAUUUCACUUGUACCAUGAGAAAUAAUUUGGCAUAUGUCUUGGCCUUGGCCUCAUGAAAGGCUGUCAAAAGUGCAUUGUUUUCCUACCUUUACAAAUCUCUUCAGCUGUGUCAGCAUUUACUCUCUUUAAUCUUGGAUAAAUAAAAGAACCUUUAGAAAUUUAUUGUGGAGUUAUCACAUUUUUCUUUUAAUGCAGGUUCUGAAAACACUUGUGUCCUUGGAUACGCUUGGGUUCAUAUUUAAUGGUUCUAGAAAGCCCAUUGAUAAUGGCUCUCCAAUUCUGCCAGAGACUGACCAAAAAAAAUAAAUUCUGCCAGAGGCUUACCUGGAUAUUUCUGGUGAGUUGUCAUUGUGAUAGUAAUUUUGAUUGGCCAUGAAUCCAUUUAUACUCCAUGGCACCUAUGACAAUCCCAAGAACUUUCUUGCGGUGUCUUAUAUAAUAGAUAAACUUCCUCUUUUUUAGGAAGUUCUAUAAAUCCCAGCGAAAGAACCUACCUGGAAGAGAUGAUACAAACAGAAAUUUCCUCCAUUGAUGUAACGAAUUCCAUAGCUCGUGGACAAAAGAUCCCACCUUUCUUUACUGCUGGUCUUCCUCAUAACAAAAUAGCUACUCUGAUUUCCGCUAGGCUAGUCUUGUGAAGCGAUUGGAGAAGGCUGAUGGUAUUACCAAGAUAUAUGUUGCAUCUUUGUUGUAUACCAAUGUUAUAAUACCCUGCUCUAUGAGUUUUAUUGCCUCGAUAAUUUAAGGAACUACCAUUAGUUUUACAGAAUUUUCCUACGGUUUUGGAGUGCAGGUUCAGAAUUCACCUACACUGUAUUUUAUCCUUUGACUAACUAGCUCCACUAUUAUAUGCUAGACUCCUCAAUUGCUAAAUGCAUUCUUUGUGAAAAAAAUUUAUUUUAUUUUAUUUGUUGAUUUUUUGAGAAUUCGAUGUUAUGAGUCUUCAUCUUUCUAUUCCAAACACUCUCUUUCAAUAUCAUUUAUGAAAAUGUGCUGCAAAUUUAUGUAGGAUGACGAAGAGGACAAUUUUGCCAACAAUGUUGCCAUAGUAUUUGCUGCUAUGGGAGUGUACAUGGAAACUGCACAAUAUCUCAAACGUGACUUGGAGGAAAAUGGAUCAAUGGAGAGAGUGGUCCUUUUUCCUUAAUCUGGUAAUAUCUAAUGAGCUAAUAGUUAAUUGUCUCGCAGAUUGUUUCUUUCUGGCAAUUUUUGCAAGUUCGUAGAUUCUGUUCGUGACAUAUAUCCUUGCUGAUUAAAGGGUUGUACGGAUGCCUGUAUUUCAUUUUACGAAGUUUGCUAUUUUCUUUAGGCCAAUGAUCCAACUGUUGAAUGCAUCAUCACUCCAUGAGUGGCGGUCACAACUGCUGAAUAUCUGGCUUAAGAAUGUGACACAUCUAUAGUGAUUUUUUAUUUUAUUUUAUUUUUAUUUUUUUGUGAUGUCAGAAUCUCAAAAUUAUAUACAAUAUGGAUGAGGAUAGGCGGGGCUUGGGGGUCUUGGGAAGAACCAGCAGGGGAUUGUGACACCCAUCGAAGCAAAGUUGUGUCCUAAGAAUAUGGGUAUGGGUUUCAACGACUACCAAAGAAACCCCUGCAAAGGCGCCUGCUGCCUCGUUGGAGCUAGAGGAAAAGAAGCCAUCACCUGAUGUGCCUGGUAAGGAGAAGCUUUUGUCUAAGCAAGCGAACAAGACGAUGCUGAAAAACAAAGCGAAACACAUUACAGCAGAAGAGCUGUUGGCGAAGAAGCAGGAACAGGGUGUUGAAGUUGUGCAAAACGUACAUAACAUGAGUGGACCUCAGGUUAGGGUAUUAGCAAGCCUGGAGAAUUUGAACGUGGAAGAGAAGGUGAGGGAGAGUGAUGUUCCUAUGUGCGAGCUCCAGCACAAUAUAAGGUCGAUUAUGGACCUAGUUGAGUUGGAUAUUCAGAAGAUCGAUAGGGACCUGAGGAAUGAGAAGGAGAAAGCUCUGAGCUUGCAAGAGGAAAACAGAAGCUGCAAGCUGAGGCAGAACUCCAGAAGAAACAACUGAAUAAUCUAGCAACUAAAUUGUGCACAUGGAACAGCGGAAGCACAAUCACGGUAGAGUCUGAUUCCGUUAGUUUGUACCCCACCUGAUGAUGCCAAAUUGCACUGAGUUAGCAGCAUGCGAUUGGGGAGGGGUGACCCAUAGUGUCGGAGGUGUGCGAGAACAUAGCUACAUCCGAGGGAUCAUUGACAACUGUGGACAUCGAGUCGAGGCUCGGCUCGGCUCGGCUCUACGUCGGUCGAAGAGAGUGAUUUUGGUAUCGGCAGAGUGAAGAUUGGCGGUUAGGUGGGGGAUGUUGAGCUUGGAAGUAGCGGAUUGAGCCCGUCGGUUUCCUUCUUGCAGUGUCAAUAGGAGCUUCGGUUCUGAGUCGGGAAAGGUAGAACUCGAGCACCUUAGCUGUGUAGAAGGGAUUGAGCGGAGCUGCGGUGGCUCAGCAAUGGAUUACCGCUGGAAACAGGAUCACAAACUGCAAAACGAACACAUUUUCCAAUAAGAAAACUAUCACACCAGUCCCUGCGGAUUGUCAACGUUUAAUUUCAUUAAAACCAUCCAUCUCCUUUUGAGAAACGUUGACUUUGUUUUACGAUGAAUCGGUGCUUGUACGUCCCAGAAAACAACCCUUGGACCCGACAGAAAAUUCUCUUCAUGCUUUCCCCAUUUCAAUUUGUUCCUGUUCAAUUUGCACCACGCGCUCGCAGAAAUUUCAUGCCUCAGAUGCAAUUUUUUUUCAGUAGAAAUCGAUGCCAUUUCCGUCUAUCUGUUCUCGUAGUACUGUAAAACUCCAAGAAACAUCUACCUCUUUCUUUUCCAAGCUAUUUCCCAGUCCAUGUUUCGCAAGUCAUUGAUCUCAUCAUUAGAAAUUCAUCGUCGCCGCAAUCUUCCAGAUAUUGUGUUCUCGAAUUUAAACGGCAUCAUCCGUACUCACGAACAGACCGAGAUGACACAGACAUACCUUGAUGUUGUUGAGGAAAGUGAGCGUGACGGUGUCGGUGUGAGGCAGUGAUGAGCGCGGUGGUGCGGUUGACAAGCUCUUGCAGCUGCAUGUGCGUUAGGUCGAGCUCCUCGCAGGGGGAGACGGCUCUCUUGUUGGGGAAAUCCGACGUUGCCUUCUUCAAUAGGUCCGUGAGCGUAAGUUCUCCCAUCACUAACCACAGGGAACGAAUCGACGGGAAUUGGCUUCAGCCGAAAUCGAUCCCCUAGCUCUUGCAGCUGCAUGUGCGUUAGGUCGAGCUCCUCGCAGGGGGAGACGGCUCUCUUGUUGGGGAAAUCCGACGUUGCCUUCUUCAAUAGGUCCGUGAGCGUAAGUUCUCCCAUCACUAACCACAGGGAACGAAUCGACGGGAAUUGGCUUCAGCCGAAAUCGAUCCCCUAUCGAACUGAAGAGGGGCACGACAAUCGCUUGGCAAGAUGAGAAUGAAGGAUCGACAAGAAUAGGAAUUCGCACGAAGGAGAAUGGGGGAAACUGGAGCGUUCGAUGACGGAGGAGGAGGAGGAGGAGGAGGGAGGAGGGUUGCGUAUGCAUAUGGGAUGGAGAUGAGACCAGAGGGAGGGAGGGAAGUUGGCACCAUUGAGGUGGCUCGUUUAAGGUGGCGACUGAGACUUAACGGAUCAAAGGCUGGAACUAGUCUCACUAAUGUCUUUGCGAGAAAAUAUUCAAUAAACUAAUGAUAGCCACGUCAUCAAUACAUUUGUCGAUUCAGUGGAUGACAAAUGGCACUAUGGGGCCUGCUCUAUCAGCAAGUCUGCAAGUCCAUUCUGGACGACAAAACAAAUGUCGUCCAAAUUUGAGAUAAGAAAUGAAAACCACAGCAUCAGAAAAGGUCAUCGCCAAAGGAUUAAAAUCCAUUCCAAGUUUGGGGCAAUGGCGAUUCUGACGCUCUAUUCUUUGCAUGCGCACAUGCAGAUCUCGCGCUCCUUUACAACAGAUUACACAUUCAAAACUCGAUUCUGUUCAUACAGAACACUUUUAACUCAAACCAGAGAGAUCAGCAUGCCAUGAGACAGCAAUUUUCAGGUCAUUAUUCGAGCAUACGAGACGAGAAUCAUAACACCAUUUGACAAAUGAGCAUCCUAUUCCGACAAAGUCGGCCAUAAUAAGGCUUCGAUAAGUUGAGAACAAAUCUAAGUUAUGUAAUAUGAUUUUGUGGUUCGAGGAUUGAAUCGAAUUUACAUACUGAUCUAGUUCGAGCAUUUCACCGAACACCUGAUACGCAUUUUGAUCAAGGAGUUCAUACGCAAAUACAAACCGACGAUUUACUUUCAGAUCCUCACAACAACAGUACGAGUCCGAGUUUUUAAUUGAGCUUCAAUCUCAACUGAUUUACUCACAAACAUUAUUACCUAAAGCUCACGGGCUCUGUUUCGUUCAUAAGCGACAGAAAUAGAGUGUGUGGAAUUUAGCUUGAUGACAUUUAAGUUUUUGACCUCGGACUAUGAUAAUAUCACUAACAAAGCUCCUGGUGGUGUCGACGUCGAUGAUCGGGGCCGGCAAAAGCAGAACAACCAAGGUUCGUGAACUUGCGAGCGUCCUGACCAGAAAACAGAGCAGAACAAGAGUUGGCCUUGCUACAGUGAAAACGGCGAUAGGAGCAACUACGGUGGCAGCUAACACUGUCUGGAGGAUGACGGAGAAGGAGAACCGAUGAAGAAGCCUCUAGAAUUCCUGAGAAAGAGAAUUGCUUCGUCAGCUUCAGCGUAUGCGUUCUGUUGUGUUAUCGCUGAACUUGUGGCGGCCGUCCAUGGUGGUCGACGGUGGCUGUUUUGGUGAUUGGAGACGGCAACGAUAGAUUUCUGGUGUCGAUUAGCAAGAGAAAUUGUCUAGGCCAAGGCUUAAUCUGAUGGGCUUGGUGUGAUCUGGGCUACGCUUGUGCAUCAGGCCCAACAGAUCGACCAGGCCCUUUCAAUUUUGAGUUGGAGCUCCUUUUUUAUUUCUUUUUUUAUUUAUCUUUACAAAAAGCAUAUUCAACUUGCCGGCAAAGGAAUAACUGCACAUUCUGAUAUUUGGACGCAUGAUAGUUUCUUCGUUCACCGCCGAACCAUAUAUUUUCGUUCAUAGGCUCAUCGACAUUUAGUUGAAUAUCCUUGUGCGCCUGGACUUUCUUCAUUCCCGUGACCGGCACUUGAUCUUUUUCUACUCUUACCCCCAUGAAUUGAGAUAAACACUGAAAGCAUCGCUUUAUGCCUCAUAUUAGUUCAAACCAAUAUGCCACAUGUCAUUUUGUCUUUGUUCUCUUUUUAGAGCUAGUUGCAAUCUUAUCAUUUUUAGAUUUUCAGUAAAUCUAAUAAGUUGCUGUGAUGUUAUGAAUUGCUGUGAUCGCUCUUGUGACUCUGCCAUUGAAGAAUGCAAUUCUACUCUUGAAAGUUCGAGAUUGUGAAUCCGUUCUCCAAACAUACGUCAAGCCAAGCCCAUGAUUGAUAGCCAUGAAACUCAAGUGCAAGCUCAUUCUUGAUGAUGAUCUUGAAUAAUUGCACCUAUUGCAUCAAGACCGUCAACCGCAAUUUAUGUUAAAACAUAUCUGUAAACUUGAGGUUAUUUGUCUUAUCUCGACUAAUUGGGUGAUUGCGACAAUUAUCACUUUUAGAAUACAAACCAAUAAUUCACUUUCAGAUCAUCAUGACAAUAACAGUACAGGUCCGAGUUGUUAAUCGAGUUUCAACGGCAAUUGAUUUAGUAACAAACAUUAGUAGUUGAAGCUCACCGGCUCUGUUUCAUUCAUAAGCGGCAGAAACAGAGUGUGUGGAAUUUACCUUGAUUAGAGUGAAUUUUUGACCUCGGUCAGUGACCAAAUCAGAGAAAAAGUUCCCGAAGGCAAUGACAUCGAUGAUCGAGGUCAGUGAAGGGGGAACGACCAAGGGUCCUUGCACUUUCGGGCGUCCUAACCGGAAAAUAGAGCAGAACGAAAGGGGGCCUUGCUGCAACAAACCUGGCGAUGGCAGAGCUACAGUGGUGGCCACUGGCUAACGGUGUCUGGAGGACGAUGGAGAAGGGAAAACCGAUGAAGAAGCCUCUAGAAUGCCUAUAUGUGAUGCGUGCAAAGAUGAAACUGAUUCUGUAGAGAGAGAGAGAGAGAGAGAGAGAGAGAGAGAGAGAGAGAGAGAGAGGAGGGGGGGGGGGGGGAUUCCGUCGAUAUCUAGAGAUGAAUUCAUCACAAGCCUCCAUUCCCUUCUUCCUUUACGAGCUCGUGCAAAGAUAUUGGUUGUAUUUUACGUUUGGCUAAAUGGAUUAUAUGACACCAUUAUCAAGAUUAGCAUUUUCAUCACAUCACGCCUCAUUUCAUCUUGAGUCGAGGUUCUUUUUUUUUGGAUAUUCAUUCUAUCUAGACUAGCCUCUUUGUAAAAUUCGGUACAUCGUGCCGCAUUUAUUUCAAUCAAUCUCUUGGUUGCAGUAAAGAUUAAUUUGCCCAUUUUGCUCAUCCCUCUCCCAUCAGAGAUUGAUACAUGAUCUUAAACCCCCUGAAACUCUCUCACAAAGUUAAUUUCGCCGACGUGCUCGCAAUUUGAAAAAGACAUCGAAAAAAUGAAGACAAAAAAUUAGAGGUCCCCCACUUCAUAUCUGCCUUACAAAUGUUCCCUAGAAGGAUACAAAAGGAGAUAGAUUACUCCAUUAUUGAACAUAAUUGCAAUUUAUGCAAUUAUGUCCUUUGAUUUGUUGGAUUCGUAUAAUUCAACUAUGUCCUUUAAUUUGUUGGAUUUGUGCAAUUCAUAAUCUUUUUUCCUGUUUGCAUCUCUUCCUUAUGUAGCAUAUUCACAAAUGAUUCAAUUAUUGACUUGAACAUCUCCUUAUAUUCCAACAAAUCAAUUAUCAUAUUCACAUGAUUCUGGGUUCUCAUCAUAUUGAAAAACAACAAUGCAACAAAAGAGAAAGUGAAUACUUUACAUCUCGUCUAUUUUCUUUUUGUCCUUUCUGUUGGCCUCUGAAUGCGUAUUGUACUACGUAUUACAUAAUUUCACUGCGGUUGUGUCCUACGUACAUAUAUAUGCGCCUUUCAUUAAAAAAAGUGCGCUGGUCGGCUUCGCUGGUCGGCUUCCCUUCAUUGAGGCUUCUAAUUUUCAAUUGACAGCAAAGCGAAAAUGGCAACGGCAAGGACCUAACAAUUGUGUAUGGGCUUGUGCUUGAUGUGGUCUGGCGCGAAUGGGUUGACCGGCCAAGGUUUACUCCCAUGGGCUUCGAAUGGUCUGGGCCGCACUUGUGGAUUAGACCCAACAGACCGGACCUGGCUCUUUCGAUUAUGACUCAAUUGGAGCUUUUUUCAUUACUUUUUUUUUUGUUGGUGCUGGAGGAACCGACUUGCAGCCGAUAGUCGUGCCGUAAACCCCCAGGUGACACUUAAGCAGGUUUUUUCAUUACUUUCUUCCUCUUUUUUUCCCUCUUUUUAGUUCUCUUUUUUAUUUGGGUUUUUAUUUAUUUUUAAACAUUUUUAUAUCAUAUUUUUCUUUUUCUUUUUACCAUAACGCGUUUUUGACUUGCCGGCAAAAAUUCAAGUGUCAAUAGGGACAACAUUCCAUCAUCUCACCAAUGAAUUACUUUACCCCGAACUCUACUACAAUCCUUUAUUUACGCAAUACUGCGAUGUCAUUCAAUGAAAUAAUAGUCCUUGUACCUAACUCUACAAUCCUUGAGUUGAAUUUGAGCGCCAAUAACGUCCCUGAACUUGUGCUUAAGUUGAUUUUCUAGCAAUGCAUAGCCUGGGUGUUGAAGUAUACCAUUGCAUGCUCUAUUGGUGCAAAACGAUGUAGUGGAUUCAAUAUAUACAUGGUAUAGCAAGUGUAUUCAUGACUCGUCGUCUUAGCACUCAAGAUUUAGGAUGAUGUUCACUAUAGUUGCAUAUGGACCCAACGGGAAAUACUAUUGCCUACUAUAGAUUAUCUUCGACAUGGUCGUGUAGUGUUUACCGCACAACUUAUUGUGGUGCGUAAGAGGAAAGAGCUAGUGAUACAUACAAUUCCUUGAAAUGCCAUCAUGAUAUUCUUAUAGGUGCUCCAACUGCUACCUUUUUACAAGAAACAAGAUACAGGAUGCGGUGGCUCCUCAAAGAAGGUGUCAUAGCAUGUUCUCAUCUUGACAUCUAUCAAGCUAAAGUAGAACAUGAAUGGAGAUUCGCUAGCAUUCUUUUUCUUUCUAUAUCAUUUUAAAAUCCUUCAUUUUUUUUUAUUUAUUGUUUUCUGUGAUUAUGUUUGUCUCCUUGUUUCUGAUCAAUGUCUCUUUAAAUGUUACUUGAACUGCCCAGGACGAACUCUUUUUGUUUUCUCUUCCUAUUUGGCUGGAUAAAAAUGCUGUCUUCUACCGUGUUGAUACAUCUACCAUGUUGAUACAGCCGCGGUCUUCAAUUUUUAGUGUCACUUCACUUCUUGCAUUGUAUCAAAUUAAGCGCUUUGUUGGUGGGUAUCUACUAUUCAUACCUAUCAUUUUAGUAAAUGUUAAUUUUGUUGCAACACGCGGACUGUAUGUGCUAGUACUUCAAUCUCUCUUUAUUUCGUUCUCGUAUGUGUGGAUGGCUGCUGGUUUUGGUGCCUUUAUCUUUGCAUAGACAGAAGUUAUACACAUUUACUUCGAUUAGAUCCCACCCGAAGUAUCCUUCUCCCUCCGCACUCCCACCCCCUUCUUUGCUUUUCUUCCUAUUUAUAUCAGUUUCUCUAUUGAGAGUAUUUGAAACUAACAGAGAACAGACCUUAGAGCACGAAGAAGUGAUAGCCCUUGGGGUGGUCACUCUUUCUGGUGAUAUUUGCCUAAUCCACUUCAUACCUACAUUGUUAGUACACUCAGUACUUCCUCUUGGAGAAGUCAAAAAACUGCAUAUAAAAAAGACAUACUUAAAAUAUACAACAAAGCAUAAGGAAGAGAACUAUAAAAGGCAUAUCUAGGAAAUGUUGCAAUAUUCAAUGAGGUAAAACCAACAUAGCUAAGAAGCUCACCUAGACUACAAGCCUAGAACAUCUGACAAGCCAUGAAUGAUCUGUAACCAAGCCUCCAUAAUAUGAAGCUUUCAGCAGGAAAGCAAUAUAUAGAAAUGAGAGACUUUGCUCCAAGCAUUGGAAGCACAUAAAAGACUGCUUUUUCAAACAUGCAUUGGAUGGCCAGCAAAGCUAAAUGAUAAGCUUUUCUUAGUAGAACAUGCUUCUACAAUUCGAUUCUGAUCAAAAGUGAUCAAAACACAUUUAUAACUUCCACAAUGCAAUGUUAGGAGGAUAAAGAACUCGUGCAUGUACAAGAGUUAGAUCUCCAAUGCACACACUUAAAAUUUUAGCAGAUUGGUGAACCUCCCUAUUUGUCAUAAUUCUAAUAUGACUACAUCAGUAGCCGAGCACAGAUCAACAUAUUAGUAACUAGCAUUAUAUGAUACAACCUCUUGGUUGAAGUGAUUCAUGGAGAACCAAAACAUACCCUCCAAGUUCUCGAUUUGUUCCUGUUUGUAAUGCCUAGCAUGGCAAUCAUGAACUCGUGACUACAUUCCCACCAAAUGCCAAAACUAAGGACACCGUUAAGAAGAAGCCAAUCCAAGAAAAGUGGAACUACCAUACUAUUCCAUUUGAACCAGAAAAGACAAGGUACUGAAUUUUGAAGGAUAUAUAACAAACUCGGACAAUCUAUUUCAAUCCUACACUUGAAAAGCCGCAAACAGAGAUGUUCAAUCAAAAUCUACUAAUACAAUAGAUGCUCCAUUAACUAGUUAAAUAACGAAUGAAACUACAUGAACAUUACUAAUCAAAUUAUUACCUUCCACAAAGAUUGGACCAAAAAUGGGGCACAGGGAUGAAGAGAAGUGUGAACUUGGUCAUUAUUUUUCUCUAUAGUGAAACAGAGCACUUUUGGAUAUAUAUUAAGGCUAGUAAGUGUGGGAGCCAACUCAAUGAUCGCCAAGUCAAACUAGAAAGGGCUUAACUAUAAAUUUGAAAGGCAAAAGCAUCACAUGAUUGGCCCUAAAGCUAGCUCCAAAAGUGAUUGCAUCACUUAAAUUUCUAAAUAUACAAAAUUUACAUAUCAAGAAAUGAUGAGAAAAUAUGUAGCUAGAAGGACAGAUCAAUACAAUGAGACACAAGCUGGUUAAAAGCUAGAAAGUGAAAAUCCUAAGAGAUUUCAUUUCGACUAUGGAUAUGAUACGUUCCUUGGUGGGUAGCAUAAUAGUUCAAGAGUUACAGAUUCCGCAUCAAAUUGAAUAAUAUAAUCCAGCCCUAUACAUAAGAUUAAGAAUCACUAUGGCUCGCGUGUGAAGCCACUGGAAUGAGCUACAAAACGAUUCUUAUUCAACUGAUCUAAUUUGAUACUUCGGUUUCGCAGCAACCCUAAUGUCAAAUCAUGUGGCAACGUUUCGUAGCAACCCUAAUGUCAAAUCAUGUGGCAACCUCAUCACCACUUAAAAGAAGAGAAGGAAAAAAAAAUGAUAAAUGCAUUGAAUUUAGCAUCGAUCAAAAGUGAAUCGACAAAUGUCAAAUUCCAAGACCUCAAUCUUGCAUCAUAAGCAGCUUAAGAAAAACUUACAGUACUUCAUUCUCUCUUUCCAUGGUUCUUGUAUGCGUGGGUGGCUGCUACUAUUGGUGCGUUUUUUCUUUGCAUGAACAAAAGUGAUGCACCCUCCUUUAUUUCGUUAGCUCCCACCCAAUGUAUCAUUCUCCUUGUGGAAUCCCACCCCGUUCUUUGCUUUUCUUCCUAUUUAUAUCAGUUUCUAAUUUAAGAGUAUUUGAAACUGAGCAAGAAUAGACUUUUGAGCAUGAAGAAAAUCAUAGCCCUUGGGGUGGUCACUCUUGCUGGUGAUAUUUGUAUAAUCCUCGUCAUACCUACAUUGUUAGUAUUCUCAGUACUUCCUCAAGAAGCAAUCAAAAAACUACACAUGAAAGAGACAUCCUUAAAAUAUAGAAGAAACCACAAUGGCACUUCAAGGCCAGUAUCAUUACGCCUGCAAAGCAGAAGGAAGAGAACUACAGAAGACAUAUCUAGGAAAUGCAGCAUUAUUGAAUGAGGUAAAACCAACAUAGCUAAGCAACUCACCUAGACUGCAAACCGAGAAAAUCUGAAAAGCCAUGAAGGAAGCAUAAUCAAGCCUCCAUAAUAUGUAGCGUUCAGCAGGAAAGCUAUAUCAAGAAAUGAGAGACUUUGCUCAGAGGAUUGGAAGCACAUAGAAAACUGCUUUCCCGAACAUGCCUCAGAUUGACAACAAAGUUGAAUGAUUAGCUUAGCUGAGUAGAACAUGCCUCGCCUGUGAUUUGGUUCCUAUCAAGUUGGUCAAAAGACAUUAAUAACUUCCACAAUGCCAUGUUAGGAAGGUAAAGAACCCAUAUAGGCACAUGAGCUAUAUGCCUAAUGCACACACUUAAAAUGUUUGUUGGAUCGGUGAACCUCCCUAUUUGUCAUGAUUCUGAUCUGACUACAUCAGCAAUCAAACCCACAACAGCAUAUACAUAAACAAUGUUAUAUGAUACAACCUCUUGGUUGAAGAGACUCAUGGAGAACCAAAACAUACCCCACAAGUUCUUGCUUUGUUCCUAUUUGUAAUGCCUAGCAUGGCAAUCAUGAAAAUGGUAACUACAUUCCCACCAAAUACAACAACUAUGGAUACUGUUGAGGGGAAGCCAAUACAGGAAAAGUGAAACUGCCAUACUAUUCCAUUAGAACCAGAAAAGACAAGGUAUCAAAUUUAAAGGAUAUACAUUACUAAAGCACACAAACAAUCUAUUUCCAUCCUACACUUGAAAAGCCACGAACAGAGAAGUUCAAUCAAAAUCCGCUAAAACAACAGAUGCUCCGUUAACUAGUUAACAAAUGAAUGAAACUACAUACUUAAUCAUCAGAUUACUUACUACCACAAAGAAUGGGCCAAAAAUGGGGCAUAAGGACAAGAGAGAAAUGUGUAGCGAAAGCUCGUUUAAGUGGAGUCCUUUGAUUGUUAUUUUUCUCUACAGUUGUUGUGGAACUUAGCACUUGAGGAUAUAUAUAUUAAAACCAGUCAGUGUGGAAGACAACUCAAUGGUCACCAAGUCGAACUGGAAAGAGCUUAACCAGGAAUUUGAAAGGCUAAAGUAUCACAUGAUUCAUUCUAAAGCUAGCUACAAAAGUAAUUGCAUCACUUAACAUUUCUAAAUAUACACAAUUUACAUAUCGAGAAAUGAUGAUGAAAAUGUGUAGCUAGAAGCCUAGAUCAAGACAAUGAAACACAAGUUGGUUAAAGCUAAAAAGUGAAAAUCCUACUAGAUUUCAUUUCGCUAGAAGCCCAGAUCAAGACAAUGAAACACAAGCUGGUUAAAGCUAAAAAGUGAAAAUCCUAUGAUAUUUCAUUUCCACAAUGGAUACAUUCCUUGGUGGGUGGCAGAAUAAUUCAAGAGUUACAGAUUCUGCAUCAAAUUGGAUAAAAUAAUCCAAGCCUAGACAUAAGAUCAGGAACCACUAUGGUUUGCGUGUGAAGCCACUGAAAUGAGCUACAAAACAAUUCUCGCACAACUGAUCUGAUUUGAUACUCCGGUUUUGCAGCAACCCUAAUGGCGAAUCCUGCAGCAACAUUAUCACCAUGUAAAAGUAGUAGGAAAAAAAUGAUAAAUGCAUUGAAUCUAGCCUCGGUCGAAAGUAAAUCAACAAAUGUCAAAUUUCGAGACCUCAAUUUCACAUCAGAAGCAGCUUAAAAAUCCACGAAGAUACUUCCUUGAAUCUCCAUGAUCUGUAUUUCCAGAGAGCCUUUAUGUUAAUCUGAUGUCACUAGAUACAUGUAUACAAGAGAAACAAAUUCCCCAAAUGGCCUAUCAUCAAUGACAAUGCUGCCUAGGAGUGAACUUGAGGAGUUCGCCACUUUCAUACACUACAUUAUUACAGAAUGAAGCAACACAUAGUAUUAAUACUAAUAACCAUGAAGCAAAGCAGACCCAAAUAAAAAUUCAUUCAAUCCCUAGAACACCAGCGCACGUAAUUAAUAAAUCGAAUUUGACAUGACUGAAUCAUGGACUAAUUUAAAGAAUAGCAGUUCAACAAUAGGUCACCGAUCAAAGUUUAUGAGGGCAAAGAGUGUCAUUGAAUAGCAAAAGCAAUUACUACUUUGGAACAAGACAAGCAUGUCCAGAAUUUGCAAAUGAUUGCUUACGCUGCCAAACAAAAGAAGGCAGGAAAAGGAUGAAGGAGACAUGAAGCCUCCUGAGGCUAAUACCAAACAUUACAAGCUGAUUUGAUCAGUGUAAUAACAACGGCCUACAUUAUUAUAUUGAGCAUAGGGGCCAUGAUGGUACCGUCAUAUUCUCAACUGAAAAGGAGACUUGAGUAAACGUCGAUUAGAUUUGCAACCACGUAACCUAUCCACUCCUUGACGAGAAGGCCUUCAAAUAAUGCAACUAACACACCAUUAAGAAAUUGGUGACUGCAAAUCUGGAAAAAGCAGAGGAAGAGGAAGAACUCCGGUUGGAGGGACAUACCGGAGAUGUCACACCGCUCAUGAGCGACUCUCAUGUCACAUGGCAUGGACAAUUCUCACGUUCCAUAGACCAUAAGGGUGAUGAGUAAUCUCAUGAGGCUGGAUCCGGCAAAGCUUCCUCCAGUUGGGAUUGCGACAUCUUCGUAGAGCUUGGGAGAGUCGGGCAUCGACUCUUGCUGCAGCUCCUCUUGAAACUAUAGAGACUGAUAUAUCACCAGUUGACAUGCAGUUCAUCUUUACAGCAGAAUUUAUAAUGUGUUCAAUCGCCUGCAUAGCGAAAUUGAAGGUCAUAAAAUCCACGACAGGCCUGAGACCAUAGAAAGCAAUGCCGACUUUAACUCAAGAGAAGCCAGCCUCUGUGAUAACAGUAUCAACAACCCUCUCGGGUCCAUACUUCUGCCAAAGAAAAGAACCUUUAGACACAUUGAAAGACUCUAGGAUCUGCAGACAUUUCCUCAUCAAACACAGCAUUCAUAGCCUCUCUCACAAUCAUCUAUUUGCCUGCAGUAGCAUUACUACGUAAUGGCAUUUCUGUGGCACAACUCUUCCACAGCCUUUCUCUCGACAACACAGCUUCCAAGCCUCUAGCAGUGGCUUUUCGUAUUAGAAUCGACAACAUCAUGCCCUCUUGAACUCGAACUUGCUCUCACUUGUGAAAUCCCGAUUUUCCAAUUCUAUUUUCAAUAAAUUAAGAUGGGCAUUUCGUUAGCACGCAUAUAAUUCAUUUCCUUGAGUCGGCCACUCAUGUGAAAACUAGUUUAUCGGGUGAAGCCGUUAAGAAAUUCUAAUGCAUCAGACUCGAGAAUUUGACCAGGAAGCGAUCUUUCGACCGAGCUAAUCUGCAAGGCUCAUUACGGCACAAUUAAAAAUCGAUUAGAGAUCGAAGAUAGGUCGACUCGACAGAGGCAUGUGAUCAGGUGUGGGUGAUUCCACCAGAUUGCACAAUUUUUGUCGAUCGGCAUUGGAUCGACUUUUCUAUCGAUUGCGUACCCUGUGUUCGUAUUUGAAACCUUAAGAUUACCCCGAAAAUCGAAAGUCGCCAAUGUUUCAAAGAUAUACAUUGUGGCUUGAGAUGAUCAACCACAGGUCAAAUGCAGGAAAAUUUCUAAAGACUACCCGGUAGGUUGGGCCGCGCUAGUAUCGUGCCAAAGUGAAAUUAACCGUGGAAUUGAGAUUGAAUUCAGAAAUUGAGAGUCUGGGUGUGUCACAAAUCAUUUUAGGAAUAUUGACUAAUCUUCGGAAGAUUUUUCAUGCAAGCCGAGUUUUUCAGCAAAAUAAUCAGAGAAUGGCUAAUUUGGCUCGAGAAAUUAGUAGGCCCGCUUUUGGUCGUACUUUUGGGACUCAAGUUGUAUCUAUGAUAAAGUAAUUACGUAAAUUGAAAUGUGUUGAUAUUUGAUUAAUUUUAUGGAUUUCAAUUUGGUUCAAUUGAAAGAAAAAUUGAAGAAAUUUGAUGUAUAAGGAUUUGGACCCCGGCGGAAAUGAUAUUGCACCCAUUGAAGAAUGUUGUGGGAGAGGAGAUAGUGGAAGAUGACAUCAUGCGGGUGAUGUCAUGCUGAUUGAAGCCAAGGAUUGAGGGCUUGACAAGUGGAGGGUGGGGAUUUAAUCUCCAAAAAGGAGGCCAUCACCACCAUCUUCAACCUUGGGAAGGAGAGAGAGGAGAGGGGGGGAGAGAACCGGCGAAGGGGAGCUCUCCCGUCAACCAGCCAGCCGUGCGCCACUUCCCUCGCUGUUCGUCGUCGUCGUCGUGCCGAGCCGUUGUUGCUGCCGCGUUGUCCCACGCCUGCCAGCCCUGGGACCGUCUCUCCCUCCGCUCAGCCCCUCCGUUUGCUGCUCGAGAUCUCAGAUCUGGUAGGACGCCGGGCAGAAGCAGUAGCCGACGUUGCCGGGAGCCGUCACUCGCCGCACGCUAUCCUUGCCUCGCGUCGCCCGUCGCCGCUUGCCGUCUCACACUCCACCGCUGCCCGCGCUCGCCCGCGCUUGGCCGACACCUAGCUGCGUCUACCUCUGUCCAUGAGUUCCAGGAGCUGCCGAAGCUCGUCCCAGCCACCGUGAGGCCUCGCCUGGCCGCUGCCUCGCCCGUCCGAGCUACCGCCUCCUUCCUCCGCCGCUCCUUCGCCCAUUCCAACCCGAACCAGCUGCCAUUUGGCCCUCCUCCGCCUAUGAACAGCAGCUGCAGAAAAUGGGUAUGGCAGCCCAUGUUUGGCCCGUUUUGGCCGUCUUCCCGAGCCCGGAUGCUCGGCCCGCCUUGAGGAAAGUCAAUCCUCGCGUCGUCCCCGUUGUUUUGGUUCACUCGACUCGCUAAUCGGGUGAGUUUAGCUCACUAAAUCUUGAUUAGACGGUUAAUGAUGCCUUAAAUGUGCUUAGCCUAAGUUAAGUAAGCUUGGGUGAUUAGUUUAGUUUAUUUAAUUGUGAAUUAGAUUAAGAUGUUUGUUUAAUUUAAAGCAUGUUUAAUUAAAGGCUAAGAGAGUUUAUUUAAUGAUAGACCUUGAUGGGACAUAAUAGGAUUUUAAUUUUGAAUUAUUUAAUUGCUUCGAAAUUCUGGAAAUUAUAAUAUUAUAUUAUAAUCCGAAAUUAUUAAAAUAUUAUUAUUUAAAAAAAACGGAAAAAUUAUUUUUUACCCCGGUUGCUCAAAAUUUCGUGCCGAUCUCUGCUGUACAUUUAGAAUUUGAAAUUGAUGAUUGGUUAUGGCAAAUUGAGUGUGAUUGCGAUAAAUAGGGAUUAUUUAUAAAAUCCCAAGUGUCGAAAUUGAUGGGAGAUUGGCCGUGAUUAACCGGUCGUGCCUAGUGGAGCCGUGAUUAACUACUUAUUAGAGGUCGUGCCCAGUGGGGCCAUGAUUCGCCACUUGAUAAAGGUCGCGUCCAGUUGGGCUGUGAAUUGCCACCUGAUAAAGGUCAUGCCCAAUGGGGUCGUGAAUUGCCACCUGAUAAAGGUCGCGCCCAACCAGGCCGUGAAUUACCACCUAUUAGAGGUCGUGCCCAUCGGGCCGGGAUCUACCACCUUUUAAAGGUUGUGUCGAGUGGGGCCGUAAUGCCAUUAAUUCUAAUUUUGCUGAAUGGGGCCGUGAUUGAGAGCAAUGAUUGAUUUGCUAGAAUGACAUGUAAUUGGCCGAGUCGAUUGAUCGCUGAGACGAUCCAAGUGGUUGAAUUGUUCAGAUGAUGUGAUUGUACUGCAGUUGUUUGGUUAUCAUAAUUGCAUGUGGUUGAAUUAUACAAAUUGUGCUAACCUGCAAGAAGGAAUUGAUGCGAGGUAAGUUCUCUGUGUGAUGUGGCUAGGCCACCCUUGGGCGUAUUUUCUUUCUAAUAGAGGUUUAGGGGUUGAACUUGCUGAGACAUUGUCUCAUCCCGGUUUGGGGAUUACAAUUUCAAGUCCCUGGUGGACGAAGCGGCUAGAUAGCUUUGGUUGGCCUUGAGGAGUUGCAGAGUUGAAGCCAUAAGGAUUGGAGAGCGUGUCCGACUUGUUGGUUUCAGGAUAGUUCCUCUUUUGUCGAGUUGGUCUAUUUUGUAGACAGUCCAGUAUUGUAUUUAAACCUAUGUGUUUGUAAAUGAGUGUUUGCUAUUGUGAUUGAUUGCCUGCUUUUCUAUCCCAAGUUAAAUGUUGUCAGGGGAUUUGUUUUGCUUCUGCAUACGUAAAGAAAUGAAUGGGUCGGCGACGUAUCCUGAGAUGUCGCAUAUUUGAUCGACCGCAAUGGGAUGUGCGCGCGCUCGGGGUUCUGGGCGUGACAUCCCCACUGCCAGAUAAAGCUCACUAAUUCUCUCUCUCUCUCUCUCUCUCUCUCUCUCUCUCUCUCUCUCUCUCUCUCUCUCUCUCAAACGAGUAUCCUUGGAAACAGAGUCUAGCUUGGUCAUUCCAUCAAGCACCUUCCUUGCAAACUCGACGGAUUUUUUCUCCAACCAAUUUUUUUUUUUUUCACAUCUCUCUCUAGCUUUGGAUUCCCCUGAUUCAUCUCCAGCAAUUCAGAUCAUCCCCACAGUAAACCACACCAUUAGAUUCCACAUUCGAGUUGCGGCCACUCUGAUUCAAGUCCUCGCUUUCCUGUCCUUGCCAAUGUUUGGACCAGAUUUAUCUGUGGCCGGGCCAUCUCGGGCUUACACAGCCAUCACCAUUGAACCAUCAACAGGACCAUUUCAUGUCUGAUUGAACUUCCAAGUCAAAUUCCAAUUCACUCCAGAAUAUGUCAUGUCGACUCUUUGCUUCGUUCUGCUCACUCCCACUUCAUUGCCGCCUUUCGGAAUUCCAUUAUUUCGCCCAUCUAUGCCACGCGGAAAGGGGGACGCCGGGUGGUGUUCACUGUUUACAAGAGCCUUUUAUCCAAUUGCCAAGGCUGAGGUUGGAUGGAUCAUCAUCAUCAUCAUCAUCAUCAUCUGGAUACGAUCCGCCGAUUCGAAGGAUGAGAUUCUUUGGGUUUCGCUCUCGGCACCUCCACCGGUCCAACGUCGCUCCUUCAACCGAAGCAGCCAAGGCCGAUCUGAGUCGUCAUCAUCCGAGACGAUAUGCCGAGCAUGAAGAUUGGCAGCGGUGAAUACGAAGAAAAAACGACGGAGAAUUAAAAAAAAAGGCGCGAAGCGAAGCGAGGGGGUGGAUGGAGAUGUUUCAGAUUUUGUGUGGGAAAACGGGGCAAACGAGUGAAGCUAGUGGUUGUUCUUUGGAUGAAGAAGGAAUUGAAUUUGAAAAUAAAAGAGAAUAAAAAGGAAAAAUGAACCCACCGUCGUUUCCGAAAAAGUCGGCAAAAAACUCCAAAUUAUAUUUAUUUUUGUCGCAUUUAUUUUUGUUUUUGUUACGCAAAAGCUCAAAAUGAUGUAUAUGGCAUAUUUACUCUAAUUCUUAUGAUGUCAAAAAUCCUUAAUUUGUACAAAUAUGAUAUAUUUAUCUUAUGUCAAGAUUUUGUCUUACGAAUUCUAUAUUUUUAUUUUUUUGGUCAAAAAGUUGUUCUUAUUUCAUUGACGUCAACACCAUUUACAUUUCGUUGUUCAUUUAGGUAUUUUUUUUUAACGAUACCCAUUGACAGAGGAUAAAUGUAUCAUAUAAAUAUAGUUUGGAAUCUUUGGUGGCAUAAAAAAAAAAUUUAAGAUGGAUGUGUCGCAGUGGGCAUAUUUUAGGAUUUUUAGUGGUUUUUCUCCUCUUUUUUUUCAACUUCAUCAAUAAUCAAUCACAACUCAAAAUCGAGAAUGCAUCGAUCUCUCUUUGCUUGUCCCCUAUCGGUCAUCGCCGAGCUUCCAUCACCCUGUCCCUCCUACAUGUCCUUGGUGGUGAUUAUGUCGGAUGUUCUUGUCCCCUUUAUUGUUAGGAAGGCACUUUUGAUUGCUCGUAUAAUGAAUUUGCAGCUUAAAAUUCUCUUUCAUAAAUUAUAAGAGUAUGCUUCUUGUGACUUGUUCUAGCUUGAAUGAACUGUACUUUAAUAUCACUUGUGAAAGUAAAAUUCCACUUUUCUUUCUCAUAAUUUCAAUUCCAAAGAAAUUUAUUUAAUUUCCACAGGUCUAUUGGCUUGAGAUUUCAAAUUAAAUUUCCUAUUAUUGGAAAAUUGAGCCAUUGUCAUUUCCGAUUAAUGGCGUAGGACAACUAAUGGCAUCGGAAAUGAUGGGAUUAUGAUUUUAAGUGAUCUUCGGCUAGGAAUGGGUUGUGGCCUUAUUAGCAAAUAGGGUGGGCCAGAGGAACUGCAGCCAACCAAGCUUGAUGCACUUACGAUGAAAUUUCAUCUAGGGAGAGCUAAGUGAGUUGGGCCACGAACCAGAAGAGGCCCCCUUUUUUAACACCCAUCAUUUUCUAAGAGUUCUUAUUUUUUAAUUAGUUUAUCAUUUAUUUUUUUAUCCAUUCUUUUUAACUGCUUUUUGUUGUUUUUGCUAUUUUCCAUUUUUGUAAUUUUACAAGGACGGAUGCUUGAAUUGUUGAUAAAAAUUCAGGUGUAGACAACAUAUGUGAUAACACUAAAGUUAGUGCCAUGGAAAACUCAGUGCUGUUGUAAAAUUGUUGUUUAACAAUUGUAUUAUGCAUUGAUUAACACAUUCCUUGUAAAUAUUUUCCACAAAACCAAAAAUAAUAAUAAGGAUAAAAAGAAAAAGCCCCUCCCCUCCUUAAGAUUAGUCAAAUUUAAUAGUAUAGGAAUCAAAAUUACAUUCUAUAUUGGCAUUACCGAAAUUUUUUUGUUAAAUUGUUACUCCCCCAUCUUCUUGCGAACUCAUCUUUAGCUUUGAUACCCACGAAGCAUUUUCUAGAAUUAAAGCAUUUACAGGUCAAGAAUAGUCCCUCCGUCCAUUACAUCCUCCAAUUGCCAUCCCACACAAAGUUCAAGAUGUUGGAGUCAUUAAUUCUUGAGAAUCUCAUCAACUUGGAGAAGAUAUCCAAAAACAAUAUCACCUCGAAGUCCUUUAGUGCAUUAAAAGUACUACGAGUUGAAAGUUGCAACACGAUGGAAGUUCUAUUUCCUCUUUUAGUGGUGAGAGAACUUUCAAAGAUAGAAAAGACUGAAGUUGCCGGUUGCAAAGUAAUGCGCGGGAUUAUAGAAACUAAUGAUUGUGGCAAAGUAGAGUUGCAUAAUUUGCAUGUAUUGAAGUUCCAUAACUUGCCAAAUACCAAGAAAUUUUUUGCUGUUGGAAGUAGUACAUUAGACGACCAGGUUGGCACUCAAAUUGCAUUCUUCAAUGGGCAACAGGUAACUUUCUAUCAAAAGAGCUAGUGUGCUUGUGUACAACUUAUCUUUUUCCCAUGUUUUGAGCUUCCAUGAACAGAGCUCGCUUUCAAAGAUAAUGGAGCCAGAUCAAGGAAAUUUUGCCAAAAAGCUUUUGUGACCUUACCUUUUUUUUUUUUUUUUAACAUCGUAAUCUCGUGUAUUAGAUCAUUUUUGCAUCCUUUACACCAAGUUUAAAGAAGAUGACAACUUUUCAAGUUAAAAAAGGGGAACAAUUACAAAGUUGAUAAAUUAGAUUGUCACAGCAACAAUUAAUGUCAUUCAAUUGAAAUUGAGGGCGAUUAUUUGUAAUCUAUUGAAUUCUAGACUAGUAGGUGGAAAUGUAGUUAAUAGUUUAGCUAGCUUUAGUGAUAACAUUUUAUAGGAGAUCCUUUUGGCAUAAUAUCUACUCCUAGUUUGAAGAAGAUGACAAAUCAUGCAAACUAAAAAACAGAAGCAAUUAUAGGUGAAAAAUCCUUUGUUAUUUAUUUUUAUCAACGAAAAUGAUGUUAUGCCGCUGUCGAUAUAUUUUAUGGUCCUAUCUACACUUCUACAGAUAGAAAUUUACUAACAUGAAAGAAAAUUAGUAAACCAAGCAUAAACAAUGCCCCAAUCAAGGAAAGCUCCCAGCUGUAUGUUAAAUGGGGGGAAAACGUUGCAGGUAGAGGGUUUUAUUUGACUAGAUAAGGUUGCUCUUUCACAGUGGCGCAGGCCCAAGGCUCAUGCCAUACGUUAGUUUCCCUGUUGGGAGAUGUGAGUGGUGGGUCCCACAAGUUUUUGAUGUCAGAGUGACUUUUCUUCAACCCAUGCUUUGAGCUUCCAUGGAGAGAGCUUGCUUAAAAAAAAAAAUAGCGGAACUAGAUAGGGAAAUUUUGCAUAGAGCCUUUGUGGCUUCGCUUCUUCUUCUUCUUCUUCUUCUUCUUCUUCCUUCUUUUUUUUUUUUUUUUUUUUUUGUCGUAGUGUUUGCGGCUUUUAACUUUCUAGGAUUCUAAAUCUUCGUUAAAGAAUUAAUGUUGCCUUAGUACCUUUUUUAUUAUUAUUUUUUGAGUUAAAACCUAAAGAUGCAAAGAUCCAUGGGCUUAUAAUCAAAUGUUUCUUCAAACUGUAAUAAAUAUCCUCAGACAUUAUAAAGCGCUGGCAGCCUACAAAGGAGUAGUCUAAGAUUGGCUUUUCCAGGGAUAACAAUAGACUAAUGAACAAAACACAAAAAAGUUAAACUUGCAAAAAAAUGUAAAUAAAGCUUUUCAUUGUCAUGGGGACCAUAGGUCUCUUCACCUUUUGAGACAUGUUGGUUAAGGAAAUUAUGACGACAAGGAUGAAUAAUUAGGAUAGGCUACAUACACGUCCGACUUGAAAGGAAUACUCGAGGUAAUUUACAAAUGAUAAGUAAAAAGAAGUCCAAAUAAUCCCAAGUAAUUCACUAUUUUUCAAAGAUAGUUGUGAUCUCAACCGGUAGCCAUGACUAGUGACUACUUUGUUAUUCCAAUAUCCCAAUUGCUGACGUGUCUAAUUUUAUGUUGUUUUGCGGGUAAAUUAGUCCCUAUAUGCCUAAUAAAUUUGGAGAAAUUAGAGACAUCCAAGAAGAAAAAGACAAUAAAAUGCCUAUUUUAUUGGAUUUUAUCAAGGAAGCAGGUAAUAGCAGAGUGUGAAAGGUCCUCUCUACCUAAAUGGAUGAGAAUGACGUCACGUUCAGCUAUCAACUCCCUAUGUCCAUAAGUCAUAUUCAUAUAUCGUUGUUUGCCCAAGGUUUAAUUUUUUGAGUUGGGCUCGUUACUAGAUGAGAUAUAUAUAUAUAUAACGCACAAUCUCGCCUGAGACUAAUGGGAUAUAUGCUGUAUAUAUCUCCAUCUAAUUGAUAUAAUUUGGCAAUUAGACAAAUAUUUCAUGCAUAAAUUGAUUGUCAUUAGUAACCAAAAUGAGUGCGAAUUCUUGAUGAUUGCAAUUCCUGAUAUUGCUAGAAAAAUGCAAACAGAAUCCAUUCGUAAUAGCAGCCCUUGUUAUAUCAUAAAUAAAAGGUAAAGUACAUUAGUUGUCUUUUAAGGUCAUAAAUUAGCUUUUAUUUGUCAUAGAUUUUCAUAUGUGCGAAAUUAUUCUAAAGGAUGUACAUUAUCUUGCCUAUAAAUUUCUUCGGCAACCAUUUAUAAUACCCGCUAUAUCACAUAAUUUCUUGACGGUCCUUUGUAAUUGUAAAUACUAUGUUGAUGGGUUUGUCUAUCACAUUUCAAUCCCAUCCUUGUAGUCCUUGAUAAUGGAAGGACUUCUCAAUCCCAAAGAAAUAUGUUGUCAAACUAAUUGUAUGAAACCCUUGCAAAUUUAGUUUGUGAUCGGUUCUGAGUUAUCUCAAUUUACUGGUUGCAAGUAUAUUUAUAUUAAUGGAGUUUCGUCAAGACAAAUUGAAGGGAAUGUUGGCAUUGAAGUAAUUCCAUAAUUAAAGUAAUUUAUAAUCUUUUGAAAUGUGUUCCAUUAAAUUUAGUUAUCAAAAUAUGUUAUCAUCCACAAAAUGUAUAAUAUAGGUGACUCUCUUAGAAACCAAUACGAAGAAUGGGAAGGAGGACUGAAUUUUCAAAUAAAAGCAGCUAUGCUAAUCUAAUUGAUGCAUGCCUUUUGUAUAUCGUGUUUAAAUAGGCACUUAAUCAUUGCAUAGUCCCCAUAAUUGUAAGAGUACAUAAUUUUGUGCACAGUUUUUUUCUCUUUUAUAGUAAAAGUAGGCCUUGGCAAUUGUAUGGUUUUCAUUAUGUCACAACAAAGUCAUUCAUUGCAAAUUCGGAAUUCUUGCUCUUGGAGUUCCAAAGUGAUCUUUACCAUUUCUUUACUCCAUACAGCAGAAUUUGAAAUCCCCUAUGAUGAAAGAAAUUACUUUUGUAUAGCUCCAUAUCCUCCAUCAACUAGAGAAUGUCUCACCAUGUGGCUCAUGAGUAAGGCCAAGUCUGUAACAAGUCUCUAACAGAUUCACCUUAAAUGAUCAUCUUAUUUUGUGAUCACCCUUAGAUACUCCUAUGGGGGAGAUUGGGUCAUGUGAAUAAGGCCAAAGUAACAAUAUCCAAAAAUGGAACUUGAUGCCAUAAUGGAAAAUUCACUAUCUUAAAGUGCAAAUAAUUUUACAAAGACUUACUUCAAAUGUUUUGACGUGUCUUGUAUUUCAAUUCAGCUACUUAGUAUGUGUUAGUUUAGUUUCUGAAGCUUCAAGUGCUCCACAUUAUAAUCUUCAAGAAAUUUGUGCUGAAAUAUGAGUUUUUCUGUUGUUGAGUCCAUCCGAUUUAGAUUGUAACAUUUUAUGUAGUUUUUCUUAGCCAAUUUUCACCAUCCAAAUUAAGAAAAACCGAUGGUUGCCCAGUCUCGCAGAAUCAUAUGUGGUCAUUGCGCCGUUUCUCUCCAUGGCGAUCUACAAAUCUAAAUAUCAAGUCCUUUCAACUAAGUGUUUUUGCAUUUGGCCUUUAUAGUUAUGUAUAUAUAUAUAAUUGAAUGCACUUUUGGCAUCACGAACAAAAAUCCACAUAUUUAUGUUUGAUAUCCUAUUAAAUUGGUUAUUAAUAAUGAUUUACUAACAUUAAACUAAGGACAAACAAUUGCCUGGUUAAGAAAAGCGCACAACGAUUUUGUCCAGGAAAAGUUGAGGCGGCUAUUUCGUUGACCAGAAAAGAUUGCACUUUUAUAGUGGCAAUUAGCACAAAAGUUGGUGGGGCUCAAGACUCCUGCAAUGCGUUAAUUUUCCCGUCGGUCAGUAAAGGGUCCUGGACAUAUAUUUUGCGGGUCCCAUAAGGCAAUGUGUGUGAGUCUUUACGUCUUUGCUUUUUCUUAAUCGUCGCAGUCUUUGGAGCUUUUAACUUUCGCCAUAGUUCUCCUGGACGCCGGCCAUGGAUAUCAGUAAAACUUUUUUUUGGGCCAAAAUUUGAGGUUAAAAGUAUUAUUGGGUUUGCUUUAUAUAGAGAGAGAUAAGUAAUGCUGCACUUGCUAAUACAUUUUUGAUGGAUAAAUUCUUCGACGGAAUAAAACUAGCUCACCCAUCAAAUUAAGCUUAGCAUUGCAAGUUUUUUUAGCGAAGAAAGGACUUGAAAUUGGAAACAAUGCUAGUAUGGAGAUUUUUUUUACUCCAUUUUUUUGUUUUAUUCUAUUUUUUUUUCCUUUUGUGAAACUUAAUUAAUCCCCCUCUCCCCCUAGCACUCGUGUAUAAUUACGGAUUUGAGAUUUAAAUUAAUCACUAAUUCCAUGAACAAAUUCUGCAGGUUGCCUUUCAAAGAUUGGAGACAUUAGAAAUUAGUGGCUUAGAAAACAUCAGGUUUAUAUUUUUCCCAUCCAUGGUUAAAUCUCUCACACAACUGAAAAAGCUGACUAUAUCGAAUUGUAAGAAGACGAAGGUGAUCAUGAUGGAGGAAGAAUGAUUGGGAAUGGAAAAAUAAAAUUUUUUGGCAUUCUCGAUGUUAACCGAUUGACGUGCUUCUCUCAUGGAAAGUGUAAGAUUGGUUUUUUGGUUUUAUCAUUGAAGAUUGUCUUGUAAAUAUAUUCAUCUCUACAAUGCAGUUGGUGAUAUUCUUUUCAUCCAAUGAAAUACCAAUGACAGGUGCACGAGAAAGUUGAAGUCAAGAUUGCGUCAGAUCACACGCCACUACACUCUUCAAUCAAGAGGUACACAAUCAACAUUAUGUCAAAAUAUUAAAUAUACUGGAGACAAGCAUAGCCAAGAUAGAAACUUAGUUACUCUUAAUGUAUAUUUUGGUUAAAAUAUUUUAAUAGAAAAUGAGUGUCGUACAAGUAUAAGUGUUCAGAGUUGCUGACAUGUAUGAGUUGCAAUUUCUUACUAUUAAUUUCUCUAUAAAUAGUUUCCAUAAAGAUGGUUGAACAUCUUUUAAUAUACUUGUAAAAAGCAUGAAUGAUAAUAUGACUGCCAAAUAGGAUCUUUAAAAGCUUUCUAAUGUUCCCAAAAAAAAAAACUCAAAACUCUCAUCAGCCUCACAUGUAUGGGAUAGGCAUCGCACACAUCUACAGUGAAAGUGAGCAGUAAGGUUCGAGAGACACACAUCUACAGUGAAAGUGAGCAGUAAGGUUCAAGAGACUGGAGACGAAGGACCUUUGAGAUGCGCAUCGCACACAUCUACAGUGAAAGUGAGCAGUAAGGUUCGAGAGACUGGAGACGAAGGACCUUUGAGAUGCGCAUCGCACACAUCUACAGUGAAAGUGAGCAGUAAGGUUCGAGAGACUGGAGAUGAAGGACCUUUGAGAUGCUUACUUGACUUCAUUUGCACUUACAAGAUCUCUCUCUCUCUCUCUCUCUCUCUCUCUCUCUCUCUCUCUCUCUCUCUCUCUCUCUCUCUCUCUCUCUCUCUCUCUCUCUCUCUCUCUCUCUCCUUUCUGGUCGAAGGAAGCUUUACUCUCUUUCAAUUGCACCAGCAUAAGGAAUCUAAGCCCUCUCAGUUGCUAAACUGAGCAAAGAUCUCUAAGGUCCAGGGCUUCGGAAAUCACACUUUUAGUUCUUUCAUGAACCACAAGACCAAUUUUAUGAAACUCUUGCUAAAGAAAUAAAAUACACUUCACAAAUCAUCCAUUUCAGUUGAACCAUCUGACUUGUAAAGUGAAUAUGGGAAUCUGACCCAAAAAAAAAGAAGUGAAUAUGGGAAGAACAUUUGAGUGGAAAAUGAAAUAGACUAAUUUACAAGCAAGUUCCCUUUGACUAAACUAAAAGCAAUUUAGGCCGUUCACCUGAAAUGUUGUUUAUGCCGCCAAAGAGGCUUCAAAAAUGGGCACUCCCACAAGAUUAAUACAUCGACUUUCUUAAAUAAUUUUAAUUUUCUAUAAUGAGAUAUUCAGGAAAACUUUCAACUAUUUGAUUCGAGUACAUGUAGAAUCUGUCGUUGGCAUCUAACUAUUGGAUCCUCCAGCAUGGAUAAAAGAACACUGAAUUUUAAAAGGAAAAUUCAGUCGAUUAAGUAUACUGAGUUCUUUCAAGUGGGAAAUGAUGUGAGUAAGAUUUGUUCGUCUGACCCAAGCAAUUCCCUUUUCAAUUGUUUUUUCUUAGCCUCACUUUUUAAUUGAUUUAAAGCGAUGUAACAUUGAUUUAAGCCAUUCUGUAUUAGAUAAAAUCACACCUGCUACUAUACUGCACCUUUUGAUGGAUGAUUGGUUAGCUUUUUAAUCUCAAUCUCUCCAUCAUUUUGUUUAUGAUUGCUAAUAUUCUUACUCAAGCUAUCCUCGGCUGCAUUUUUCUUUACUACAUCAAUGUAGUGACUUCUAAGUUCCAACAUUAAUUACCCUUUUGGCGUGGUUCUUGUUUCUUUAAAUAGAUUCCUCCUCGUCUCAAGUGAUUUAACUAUUGCUACGUAUACUAGCUAAUUCAUUAUAUUAGGGAAGUAACUAAAUUGAAGAGGGAGAGAUUUUAUUUAAAUUCGGGUUCUAUGGAGACUAUUGUGAUUCUAAAAAUUUUUUAUGAGCAUAUCCAAAUUACAAUUUUCUCCAUUGUCAAUAGAAUCUGGUCAGAGCAGAAUUCCUACUUUUUGAUUUGUCUCUAGUAAUUCCAAUAGCCUUCUCAUCCUAGAGUCAUCGACAAUGGUAUGGAUUUUUCUUUUACUAACUUUUUUUUUCCUUUUUGUGGAACUUAGACGGAAUCGACAAUUCCAUGAAUUCAUAAUUUACAUCUUCACCCUCAUCCAUAUUUACAUCUUGGAAGUUCAUAAUUAACCGAAUUACCAAUUCUAUGAACGAAUAUCAUAGGUUGCAUUUCCUAACUUGGAGACAUUAAAUAUCACUAGCUUGGACAACAUCGAGAUGAUAUGGGACAAUCAAGUUGCUACAGAUUCUUUCCCCAAACUAAAAUCGCUUUUUGUGGAUAAAUGCAAUAAGGUUGUGAACGUUGUUCCUUCUUCCAUUCUGGGACGGCUCUUGUGCCUAGAAAGUUUAAAGACAAACACAUGUGGUUCAUUGGAAGUUGUUUUCGAAAUUCGGCCACUAAAUCCUAUAGAUGGACCUCAAGUUGCUCUUCUAUUAAAAAAGCUGAUGGUAUCAAGACUACCAAAGCUAAAGUGUGUAUGGAAAAAGGAACUCCACCAUCAAGUUAAAUUCCAAUGCCUACAUUCUAUUAGCAUUUCCGAAUGCAAGAGCCUCACCUCUCUAUUUCUAGCCUCAAUAGCCAAAGAUCUAGUCCAACUUGAGGAGUUAGAGAUCAAUGGAUGUGGCAUUGUGGAACUCAUUGAGAAGGAAGAAGGACUAGUUCCCAAGUUUGAUUUCCCAAAGUUAACCUCCCUCAAGCUUAAGCAUUUGACAGAGUUGAAGUGCAUCUACACCGAAACACAUGCUUUACAUUGGCCGACAUUGAAGACC